rnacentral:lncRNA from 1 species
CUAUGUGAAGAUGUUAAUAUACUCUCAAGCCUAAGAGAAGGGCUUUCUAUUUGAGUAUCUAAUUGGAAAAAAGAAAUAGUCCAUAUUAGACAAAUAAACCAGCAGAUGUUCAGAAAAAAGCACAAGUGGGCAUUCUUUGUGUGCGAUAGGUGCUGCUAAUUUUAAGGCCUCUUGGAGGUAACAUGAUAGUCUAAAGCCUGAGCAACUGGCUUUCUAUGUGAGUAAUUGACUGAUCAUCGUCGCCACUGAUUUUGCAUAGAGACACCAGAAAGAAAUGUUAGAUGAAGAUAAAUAGAAUGAAUACUACCGGUUGUCUUAAUCAUCGCAUUUCCAUUUGUGCCAUCAAUCUUCAGUUUAAACAUUCCACGACAUCCAAAAUGAUCAUCAUGUAGAGUAAUCCUAUUGUAAUAUUAAACCCUCCCCACAUAGAAACCUUCCCAGUAUCGAUGAUCCACCACCCUGACUACAUCUCAAAGACAGAGCCAGAGAGAGAGAGAGAGAACAAGGAUCUUGUAACUGAUGGUGUAACUUUUUAAGUAUUCAUAACAGCAAAGCUGUAGCAUAUAGCCUAGGAGAAAGAUGAAAACUACAAGGUAAAGGGUUCUAAGUAGCAAUUUCUACGACCAAUAGAGUACCGGCAGUGUUUAUACUGCCAUCCUCGAGGUAAAAUCAGGAUCAGCCGACCUCAGCCCAGCGAUGACCAACCCAGUGGGAGGAAAAACUUCUUACGACGGAUGAAACGAUCAAUUAAAGGGAGGCGGGGGGAAAACAUAAAGCCAGGAUACGGAAAAUAAACCAACUCCUCACAUCCAAAAGCCCAAAGCUAACACAUCCUCACGGUUCACGCCACCGGAUUUCCUCGCGAUUCAAGCAACGGUCGGGCACAAAAUCACAAAAAAUGAGGUAAAACACGACAGCUAGAAACGAACCCCCGCAAAACGACCGAAUACCCCUCGAUUUCGAAAGGAUCGCGACGGUAUCGCCGAACUUAUCCUCACGACAGGUGAUCGGAGCCGGAUAAUCGAGAAUUCCGCGGCACGCGAUCAUGAUCGGACCGUCUACGCAACCACAAGAACACGCAAACCGAAAAGAGAAGACAGACAAUCUUAAAAGCGAUGACCGAUCGAUCGAUCGAUGGAAGCGAGUUAGAAAGAGCUUCUGCGGGUGGGGGAGAGAGACUACCUCCGGGGUCGAUUCGAUCGCCGGUCGCCGCCGCGCCGAGGAGCAAUCGCUGAGAGCCAGAGAAAGCAAGCGAGGAAGCAAGCGAGAGAGAGAGAGAGAGAGAGAGUCCUUCGGUCGCAACAAGAGGGUGGUUUAUAUAAGGAGGUCUGGGGUGCGCUGCAGAGAUGACAAUCGAGAAAAACAAGAGGAGAAAAUUUGUUUGCUCUGCCGAGACGUUAUCGUAUUCCCUCUUCUGAGGUACGUAUCCGAAUACUUCUCCUGCACUUUACCAAUUAAUACGUGAAUCUUUUCUUUUGGUCGAAUUUGAUUAGUAAAUUAGAUUAGAUUAAACUAGGAGAUUACGUAUAUAGUUCACCCUCUUUAUCGAAGGACAAAAAUCGUAUGGAUUUUCGCUAUUUUCAUAGAAAAUAGCUUACGCAGCAAUCAUCAACAAAAUAAUAAUCGACUAUUAGAGAAUUUGGUUAGCCAAUCUUAGAAAAUGCAAUAAAAUUAAAUGUUAAGAAACAUGGUGAAGAAAGUAACAAAGUUAAUUUCUGAGCAGGAAGAAAAAUGAUGAGUCUGUUCUUUAUUUAUUUACUUUUUGUUAUUAUAAAGAAAUCGGCGGGGAGGGACGAUCGCCAAUGGCUCCUCUAUUGAUCGUGAUGUAUAUUGUAUGGGUGUCAUAUUCAUGUAUGGCAACGGUAAGGACACAUUUUCAAACUUAAACUCGUAUUUAAUAUCACCAUUUUGAUGAGUAUCUUGGGCACUUGUUAAAUAUUUUUUAGGUCUUAGUUGUGAAAAUGUAAUUAAGUCCUAAAACUUUUAAAAAAUACAAUUAAAUCUUAAAAAUUAUUAAGUUGAUAUAAUCAAGUCAUUUCGUUAACAUCGUUUAUCUAACAGAAACUUGGCAUUUUAAAGUUUAUGUAUUUAUCUUACGUGGCAUUUUUAUUAUUUUUUAAAAUCUUAUUUAAAUAAUAGUAAAAAAAAACUAAAGAAAAGCUAAAAUAAUUUAAAAAAUAAAAUUGGAAACGAAGAAAAGAAAAGGGCAAGGAUCAUGCUAGAAACGCUGCCGUUGCCACCCUCUGGCAAUCUCAUCAGCCCCAAGCAAUGUAGCGGCGGGGGGGGGGGGGGGGGGGGCAUAGUCCUCGCCAGCCUAGGUAAGGCCAUCGCCAAUCCAAGCCGCUUGGACUGGGUGAGGCUUGCCUAGAUUUGGGAGGCACCUUAGCUGGCCAGCAUGGCUUGCCCAAAAUUGGGUGAUGUUGGCCCUUGCUUAAGCUUAACGAGGGUCACCAACCCUCACUUGGGGUUGGCGGAGCCUCAUUUUGGGGCCGACAGGCUUGCUAGUCAUAGGCGACGGCCGGCAUCAUCUAGAUCUAGGCGAGCCUUGCCAACCCUUGCCUAUGCCGAUGAUGAGUUUGCCCGAGUUGACUAAGGCCACACUCCCUCUAGUUGCUAACCCCCUUCGAUGAUGGAUAGUGGCGGCAUGCCCAGCACGAUCCAUAGCCUUUUUCUUUUCUUUGUUUCCAAUUUUGUUUUUCAAAUUAUUUUAGCUUUUUAAAGUUUUUUUACUAUUAUUUAAAUAAUAUUUAAAGAGAAAAGUAAAAAAAAAAUGUAAUGUAAAAUAAAUUAAUUAAUUUAAAAAUGUAAUGUCGGCAUAUUUCGUUAGAAAAAUUGACAAUGUUAACGAAAAGACUUGGUUACACGAAUUUGAUAAAUUUUAAGACUUAAUGACACAUUUUGAAAAUUUUAGGCCUCCAUUAUAUUUUCACAAUAAGUUUUAAGACUUGUAAUAUACAUAUCUCAUAUUUUUAUUAAGGGGAUUUUUGAUCUUCAACAUGUAAUCAAGUAUAUUAUGAUGACAAUCAAGGUAUCAAGAGUCGCAAUAUUUUCUUAUUUAGUUGUUUAAUAAGUAUUUUCGAGGCACUUUUAAGUAAAUCCUUUAAAAAAUGGGUCCUUAUACUUUUUUAAGACACUUCGUUGCUUUGGCUUGGAUUAGUAAGUUCUUCGAAAGGACUAGAAAAACCUAGUGGAAAUUUCCAAGUAUUAUGCAAAGAAUACAAUCAAUUGGUAAACUUUUUGGUUUAGCACAUCAAUUUCUAAAUCUUCCGUGAGGAGAAAAGUUCAACGAGAUUUUCCCAUCAGAAAUUUGCCAUUGUUGCUAUAAAAAAUCGCUUUAGUGCACGUAUGACAAAUUAAAUAAAAUACAACCGAAAGAAUUUUCUGAUACUCUUUCUAAUAAAAAAAAAUUCAAGAUUCAACUAAACUAAUAAAAGGUUUAAAGCUCGAUUUGCAUUUUUCGUGUAAGAUUUUGGACAUGGUACUUUUCUUUUACGUCACCGUAUCGUACCAGGUACAAAAGGAAAGAAGAAGAAAGAUAGGCGGAUGCGUCACGCACAUAAAGGUGGCCAAAGGGAAGGUUAGGAUAAACAUCACCGGUUGGACCGGUUGCUUUUGGCCUUUCUUCUUUUCUUUCUUACUUUUGCUGCGUUUGGGCAAAGACGUACUUUCGUUUCUUGUUUGACGAGUUCCAAACCAAACCACCUUUUUUUUUUUUUUUUUUUAAAUUAAAGAAAGAGUUGCGAGUCUCUCCUGGCCGUUUGACAUGGUGGGAAUAGUUAUAUGGAUUAGGAGUUGUUUAUUGCCGUAAUUAAGAGGGAAAGACGCCCUAUAAUUAUGCCAAUCAAGCUUGACUGUAUUCCUUUCCCAUUAUUGAGAGGACUCCUUGUGCAAUUUUCUUGUUUUGCUUUCGCCUUGACUCAAAGUUGUCGAUCUCUUAUUUGCAUCUUCUUUCCUCCUCUCUUCCUUUUCUCAAUCUUCUCUCUGCUCAAAGUUUCACCGCAGGCCAUGGUCUCGCUCUGUAGUCUCCCUUCUUUCUUUCCUUUUCCUUUGUUUUUCUGUUGCAAUUCUCAAACUUCAUUGACGCUCAAGCUCAAAAUUAUGAUUAGCCAACAGCCACGACUUCGACUUAGUGGGUGAAUAACACAACAGCUACUCACGUCACUCGACAUGUAAAUGGAUCGAUCGUGCUGGCAAUUCUACUUCGAGGCAAAGGAGGUUCUGGCCCUACCUAUGCCUGCGGCUACUGUAAUGGUAACUGCAACACUUAUCUCUUCGUUGUUUUCAUCGUCACAAUUUAUGGUGGUGGCAUAAUUAUUGAAUACACUACUUGUGGAAUAUGGUUUGCCAAUCAAAACAAUCCCGUAAAGAUCGAGCGACCUUGGAGCUCAUGUUCGAAGGCGAUUUGGUGUCAAAAGAUGCUGAUGGUACGGUCGCUUAGUCCAUUAAUUCUUAUCGAAAGUCCGUUGUAGGCUUGAACUUGACAAAUCGUGUUGUUUGAUAAGGACAAUGUGACUGUUUUGCAGUCUUUUGAUGAGCCAACCGACUCACUUGUUGUCCGACAAAAGUUGAGGCGGGGGCAAAUAUUGAUGCUGAGUGUUUCCCAGGCAAAUUGGACUGUUAAUGAUAUGAUUUUUUUUUCCAUGAUUGGCGAUGUUUUACACACUCAAGUGGAGACUAAUCCUUCUCAUAUAUAUUUUGAGCAUGAAGGUUUAACUUGGAAUGCAAGCAUCGAGUUUCCAUAUGUUGAGUUUGUAAAUGAAAGCUUGUCUUGGAUCUCAUAUCCUAGCUGUAGUAAGGGCUUGAUAUCGUUCACUCUAGCAUCUUCUACACAAUACAUGAAGUUUGGGCCCGGAUGGGCCUUUGAGAUUGUAUGAUUAUGAUUGGUCCGGCAAGCAUAAAGAAGUGGCCGAUCUUUUCAAAGAUGAUCUCAGCGAUUGUGCCUAUCUGACACUAUGUGGGCGCUAUGGAAUUUGUUCCAACAGGCAAGGUAGUUGUCCGGCUUCGACUGGGGGACGAGCUAUUUCUAACAAGUAGAUGAUAGGUGGCCUAAUAUUGGGUGUUCUGAGAUGUUCCGUUGUCUUAUGGGGCUUCAAAAAAUCAAAUUCUUUUGGAGCUCGAAAAUGUCAUGUAUUUCACUUUCACUCUAGAUUUCGAGGACAUAAAUGCUUUAAGUUGUAUAGAGGCCUAUGCAAAGAACUGUUCCUGCAAAACAGCUAUAUUCCGGCAUGAAUCGAAUCGCACUAGUGGCAGUUGUUACUUAUCAAGUUAGAUGUUUUCAUAUAUGAACAUUGACAAGAAAACGUUUUUCUAUAAUUCUACUGCUUACCUUAAAGUACAAAAUGUUACCCUUAUACUCCAGUUGACAAUCGUAAGAGUAAUCGUCCCCCUAAAAUACUUGGGUCUAGCCUCCGAGCUCUCUUUGCCAUGAUGAUUCUCAUUGUAGCCUUAGUUUUGUUUGUUCAAAAGAGAGCAAAUGAAGAUUAUCUUGAUCAAGUACCUAGAGUGCCACUAGAUUCACGUAUGAUGAUUUGAAAACCAUCACAAAUGGAUUCAAUAAAAAGCUUGGCAAAUGCAGCUUUGGUUCUAUUUUCAAAAGUACUCUAAAUGACAUCACAAAAGUUGCAGUAAAACGCCUUGAUGGUUUUAGGUAGGUUAAGAAAUUCUUUCUAGUUGAAGUUGAGACUAUUGGCAGCAUCCGUCAUGUGAACUUGUACUGUGUUUGGUACGAGCUUUGGGGUAUUGUUUGUCCAGUGAAGAGUACUCUUUGGGCUAAUGUUUGGGUGUUUGGUAAAAAAUUUUAAUCCCACCUUGAGACAAAGUUUGCAUUUAAAAGGCUGAAAGCCCAGUCUAGUCUUAGGCUGCCUUGGGCUUUCAGCCUUCUUGAAAGGGGAAGUAAAAAAAUUUCUUCCAAUUUUAUCCUCAUUGAUUUUUUGAUUUUUCGACUUAGCCCUUGUUUGUGACUAUUCAUCUUCUUCUCUCUAGGACUGGCCGACAUAUUUGUUGUGACUGCGAGGGUCCGGCCAUGGGCUAAAAAGAGGUCAGCGACGUUGCUGGCGACCCAGGUGACCGUCGCCGAGAGGUCGUGCGACCCUCAUGAGGCUAACUGCGAUUGCUCGAUCCAAACAACAGAAGGUCCUCGGCGGUCGCACGACACUGGCGAGGGGCUACCUGGUGUUGGGUGACCUAGCUGGCCCUCGUUGGGGUCGAGCGACCUUCGCGAGGGUCAUGUCGGUGAGGGCCUAGGUUUGUAUGACCACCUGGCCCUUGCCGAGGUCGAGCAAGCGCCACCUAGCUAGCUCUCGCUAGGGGCGAGUGACCUCGGCGAGGGGUUGCGAUAACCCUAGCAAGGGGUUGUGCAACCUUCACCAAGGGUCCCUCGGCCCUAGUCGACCUUCGCCAAUGGUCCUUGGGGGUAGACGAUGACCACCGGCGAUCCGCCGGCAACAAAUCUGGAUCUCUAGCGACCAUAUGAUCUAUUAGGGGCAACUUUUUUUUUUUUUUAAUAACUAAAGUGCUUUGCAUGAGUAUAGUUUUUCCAAACGCAAUUUCACUUAAAAAUACUUCACAAUAGACUUUUAAAUCAUGAUUUAACAAACAUAAUUUGCAUUUUGGAAAAAUCCUUGUACUUAAAAUCCUUUGCAUUUUCUCAAACGCUUUCCCCAAAAGUCCAACCAAAUGCACCCUUGGUAAGACUCAUGGGAUUUUGCGCUGAGAAAUCCCACAAGCUCCUUAUCUAUGAGUAGAUGUCAAAUGGGUCUCUAGAUAGAUGGAUCUUUCACAAAUCCAAUGAAUGCGUUCUUCGUUGGCAACAAAGGAAGAAGAUCAUUCUUGAUAUAGCAAAAGGACUUAAUUAUCUUCAUUAAGAUUGUAGACAGAAGAUAUUUCACUUAGAAAUUAUAUCCCUAAAUAUCCUCUUGGAUGGAAAUUUAAAUGUAAAAGGUUGUUGAUUUUGGAUCCAUGUUAUCAUAAUCAUGAGAGGAACUCUUGGUUAUUUGGUCCUUGAAUGGUGGAGUAAAGCAAUCACUGAAAAGGUCGACAUGUAUAGCUUUGGUGUGGUAAUCUUGGAGAAGCAUGUGCGAGAAAAAUCUUGGAUCACUCUCUAGACGAAGAAGACAGGCAUUCACUAAGCCUUUUUUAGAGAAAGCAGCAGAGAAACGAUUGUUGGAUAUUAUGGAUAAGUCUAGCUAUGACAUGCAACUAAAUGGACCGCAUGCGCUGAAUAUGACGAGGACUGCUGCAUGGUGCUUGCAAGAAGACUAUACAAAUAGGCCCUCCAUGUCUAUGGCCAUCAAGGUAUUAAAGGGUGUCAUGGAAGUUCCACAAGACUUGGAUUAUGACUUUACUACCCAGGCUUCCACUAAUGGAGAAGCGAGAUUCGGUCGAAUGGACAUCGAAUUCAAUGCUACCACUACAUUAUUACCCUCGGAUUUAAGUGGUCCACGAUGACGCUACAAAUUUGUAAGAACAUUUCUUCCCAAUACGUCAAGUGGUAAAACGUGCAGGUGAUUGAAUUUUUCAGACUAUGAGGACUCCAUCUUGUCAUUCUCUUUUCAAGCCCAAAAAAGGCUUGUGGCGUGAUUUCAUUUUUUGUUUUCACUUUGCUAAUGAGUGGACUUCGCCAUAAUUUGGCAAAGGAUUGAGUUGGUUAGGAUAUUGCGAUUUGGUUUUAUUGCUUAUGUAGAAAUUGGUCAUACUCAAGUUUGUUGUGUGCUAGUCUAGGGAAAUGGGCAAUUUGCCGAGUCGUUUGUGCAAAAAGCUAUUAAAAGACUAGUCAACUGCUGGUAAUGUCUUUUGGUAGCUUUGCCACGUUGUGGAUCCAAAUCAGAUUUGCCUUUUGGUUCCAACACUUGAUAUCUUUCAAAUUCAAGGACUCUACCUUCCAUGUCUUCCUCAUUUCAAGGUUGGUGGCUAUUUUUAGUCCGUUCUGCAAGCACACGAUUAAAACUUAGAAAGAUAACGAGAGAAUUUCAUCACUAAUAAGUUUGGAUUCUUCCUAGCGACUCCUGAUGUAUCCUAGGUUAAUAAUCUUAACUUACAGCUUCUUAAGGAUCCAUCUAAGUCGUCCCGGGACAUAUAUUCACCAAAAAUAAAGAACCGAGAUGUUUGGGCGUUCAAGAUUCAACUUUACGAUCUUUAGAUAACACUGAUCAUUUGUAAUAACCUUGGCAUUUUCACGGUCAUUAAUCAACAUUGAACGCACACAGAUUCAUCAAAUUUAAUCUGGGAUAAGAAGCUUGUUCAUGUCUUAUUGGGUCCUGGAACUGUUCACACAAUUAACGAAAGUUCAAAGCGAUCUGACGAGGACCCCCCGCCAUGCCGUGGCACCUCUUGAUUGGAUCUGAUCACGGCCGGUCAACAAACCAGAUCCCCCGUGGAGCUCACCCAAAGGCCCAACCUACGGUAACCUCUCGCAAAGUCCUCGCUCUUCCCGGCACAACCCACUAGCGACGGAAGUAUUUCUUCUUAUUCUUCCAAUUCCUUUGCUUUGUGCCCUUCGCCUUCUCUUCUUGAAGUCUUCGAAUCGAAGUCGCCACAGUAACUUAUCGCAAAUCACGUAGAGAAAGGAUAAUCUCGCGAUGAAUCUGUCUAUCUUCUCCGCGGCCAUGGAAGGCAUUGCCUGGAGAGGAUGGCUCUACACGUUGUUCAUUCUGCACUUCGCGUUCGCUUGUCAGUUCCUUCAUCUUCAGCCUCUCGUCUCUACCCUAGGUACGUCAUUCUCGACUAAUCUGGGAACUCGUUGCCUGAUGGAGACUUUGAGAGGCUGUAGUGGGCUCUGAAGCCUGAGCUACUGGCUUUCUAUUUGAGUAAUUUCUCGAUCAUUGUGGCCCCCGACUUUGCAUAGAGACCGUGGAAAGAGAAUGCUAUAUGAAGAAAAUCAGAAUGAAUAGUACUGAUUGUGUUAAUCCACGUGUUCCCAUUUUUGCUUUUUGAUGAUUGUGAAUUUGAUUAGAAUAAACUGCGAAAAAAAUUAAUUUAGAUUAGAUUAAAUUAGAUUAUGUAACAUAACUCACGCUCUUUAUCAAGAAAAAAAACAAUUGUAUCAAUUUGCACUUUUUUCAUGAUAAAUAACUUAUUUCCGACCCAAAAAAAGAGAGAGUUAUAGAUGGUUUACACAACCAUCAAUUAAAUAAUACUUGACAUUAUUAUAUUAGAGAAAUCGAUUAACUAACCUUUUUUUUUUUUUUUUGAACUAGCGAUUAACUAACCUUAGAGAACGCAAUAAAUGCUAAGGAACAUAAUGAAGAAAGAGAUAAAGUUAAUUUUUGAGUAGGAUAAAAAUGAUAAGUCGAUCUUUUCUCUUUUUAAAGAAACGGGCAGGGAGGGGCAAUUGCUGGGUAGCCCUCCUGCUCCCCACUCCCCCUUCCCCCUCGAUUGUGAUGCGCAUUGUAUGCGUGCCAGAUUCAUGUAUGGCAAAGGUAAGAAUGUAUUUUCUAACUUUAACUCGUAUUUGAUAUCACUGAACUUUAUUUUGAUUAUGGACAGUUUUUUUUUUUUAUCAGUUUUACUCUACUCCUAUUCUAACUCUCGCUCUCAGAUUUUUGCUUUACCUCAUUGCAGGACGUGGGAAUCGAAAUCCACACUUAAAAUUAAUUCGUCUCGAUCCCAAUCCUUGAGAAUGUGGGGAUUCGAACCCCCACCCCCUUCCAACUUAAUGAGUAUCUUAAGCACUUGUUAAAUAUUUUUAUUAAGGAAUCUUUGAUCUUUGAUGUAUUAUCAGGUAUAUUAUGAUAAAAAUUAAUGUAUUGGGAGUCGCAAUAUUUUCUUAUUUAGUUGCUUAAUAAGCGUUUUUAUACACUUUUUAAGUAAAUCUUUUUUAUAUUGGGUCUUUAUACUUUUUAAAGACCCUUCACUGCUUCGGCAGAUUACAAGUUCUUUGGAAGGAAAAAUCUAGUGGAAAUUUCCAAAUAUUAUGCAAAGAAUGCAAUCGACCAGUGAAUUUUUCGAUUUGAUCCAAUCAAUUUCUAAAUAUUUUAUAAAGGGAAAAGUUCGACAAGAUCCUUCCACUGGAAAUUUGCAUUUGUUAUUAUAAAAAAAUUGCUUAAGUGCACUCAAGACGUAUCAAAUUAUUAAUAAUCAAAAGAAUCUCCCGAUGCCUUUUUUCAGUAGAAAAUUCAAGACUCAACUAAACUAUCAAAAGAUUUAGAGUCCGAUUGCAUUUAUUUUUUUUGUGUAACAUUUCGGACACGGCAAUUUUUUUUUUCCAAAUGCAUUCCGUACCUCAUGCCGUAUCAAAUUCGAGUAUUCUUUAAUAAAUGUCGCAAGAGGAGAGAAUAAGGAAGGUGGAUAACUCGCGCAUAUAAUGUAGCUGCGGGAAGGGGGACAUUAGGAUAAACACCGCCGGUUGUACCGGCUGUUUUUGGCCUUUCUUCUUUUCUUUUUCUUAGUGGUUUCGUAUGUAAAGAGAGAUACUUCGUUCCUUGUUUGACGAGUACAAAGUCUCUUCCAAUCCAAAUCACCAAAAAAAGUUGAAAAUAAAAAUGAGAGCUGCGAGCCUAAUGUUUGAUAUGGUAGACAGAGGCGAUGUUCAUUCGAUAGGCAGUCUAUCAGGAUAACAGCCUAACCCGGGGGGGGGGGGGGGGGGAUGCGUUUAUUUAAUGAAAGUUAAAUAAUUUGGAAAAUGUUUUUCUAAUAAUAAUUGCUUAUUUAACUUACAAGAAUGAAUGAAAGACAUUUUUAUUUUCCACGAAAAUAUUUAGAUAUAAAUUGUCGUCCAUGAUAAAAAUACUUUUAAUUGACAACUUAUUUCAAGAAUAGAAAUGAUCAAUUUUUUUUUUUCUGUUCCUUUGUUGUUUGGUAGUGCAGGUUUUGCCUGCCUUUUCCUUGUUCGCUGCCUUUUUGUGAGUGGCUUUUUGCAUUCGGCUCCCUUCCACUCAAGUUGACUUGUUGUCUUCUUAAGUUCAAGUUUUAUGGAGCCAAAUCUUGUGUGUAUUGUUGGUUAAGCUCAAUAUAUUAUUACCUUCUAAAAAAAAAAUUAGGAAGAUAUUCCCAAAUUAUUCUUUUUUCGAGAAACAAAUGAAAUAUUCAUGAGCCUUAAAACUUAUUUUGGGCCGGCUUCCCCUUUGCAUAAGGUUACGUGCAUCAGUUUGGCUCAUACUGUGCGGUGCGAUGGAUUAUGAGUCCAAUUUAACCACUCGACUAACGCACUAUAAAAUCUACGAGCAAAUUUGUGUGUUUUAGUAGCGUGCGUUCUUCCAUUUAUGGGAAAUUAGUAUACAUAUUUCAGCAUAAAUUAUUCGCAAAAUUGUAUCAUAUUCCAAAUAAAUCUCCCUCUCUGGAAUAAAACAAAGGGAGAAUUCUUAGUUCAAAUGAUGUGUUAAUGUAAAAUAUAAGACUUGAUAACAGUUAGGAAAUUGUUAAUUUUUGUUAUUAUAUGACAUAGGGAGAAUUUAUAUGUAAUCAAUGACACUAUUGUAAAUUUGAGAGAAAAAUAAUAAAAAUCUUUUAAGGAAAUACUCGAUAGGAAGAGUUGAAAAAAAAUGUAAGAAUUUUCAAUAAUUGCUAAUUUGCAACAUCAAAACUCAUUAAAACUAAUUUCUUUUCCUUUUUUGUUGAACAAACUCGUGUUAUUCAAUGAGGCAAAGUACAAAUUUUGGUCGAAAGCAAAAAUCAGUAGAGGGUGCCAAAAAGAAGUCCUUGAAAGGAGAGUGAUCAAUCCAUUCCAAUCUAGAGUUUUGGGAUAAUUCCAUUAAAAAUUAUAAAUUUCGUACUCCAUGGCGCAUUUAUUUAAACUAACUAAUAGAUGGUAGAUUUGCAUCAGAGGUAUAGAUUUGGUAUCUUUUGUGACAUGAAAAAUUAAUUUAGGGUAAAUGUGUCAUAGAAUGCUAAUUUAGAAUUUUGUGAGACAAAAGCUAAUUUGGGAUAAAUGUGUCAUGAGAGCAUCAAUUUGGAAUUUUAAUAAUAUUAACAUAGUUAUUGUUAGAGACAGUCCUUAAGGAAGAAUUCGGUCUAAUAUAUUUAAAUAAAUAGGAAAGUCAUCCGAAGAAAAUUUCUUCCUUGCAUUUGGGUCCACCAAUUUGAGUUCAAUAUUUUCUCUAGACAACCAUCCUUUCAUCAUUUUGAGGUGAUAGUGCAUUGCAUGCUUCAAGACGAUUCCCUGCUUUGAAUGAGUUUAGAUUUAGGAUUGUAGGUAUUAGAGUAACAAAAUAUAACUUUGAAAAGAUAAACGUAAAUGAAAAGCAAGCCUUGGGAGCAAAACAUAUUUUCGCUAUACAAAACAAGGCUUGAAAUCCUCAAUCUCGGAACCGUGUAACUCGAUUACAAAGCUUUGGUUCUAGCAAGUAGUGUCACAGCCCAUCAAGAAUUGAACCGUGGUUGCUAACAUGAACAAAUAAUAACAUAACCACAAAACCAAGGAGACAUUGCAAAAUUGCGGACGAAGAUUGCCACUGUAGCUAAGAAAAAAAAGCAAGAUCUGCAAUUACUAACACAAAUUUCUACAAAUAAAUAAAUAAAUAAAUAAAUUUUAUGCUCAUUACGAACAGAGAAUUCUUACUUGGGAAGAGAGCAAGAGUGAGGGCAAGUGUGAGAAAAUGACACAUGAAGAAGAGAGCUCGAGGGUGGCAGGUGUGGCGAAACAUGGUGUGAGGAAGAGAGCUCAAAGGUGGUGAGCAUAAGGGAAUGCGGCUUGAGGCACAAAAGAGGGGGAGUCGUGAGGCACGAGAGAGGCGAGUGAAGAGAGAGUAGUGUUCUUAGGGUUUUUAGUUCAUGAAAGGGCAAAAAUGAAAUUACAUCUAAUAAAUGAGAGUGGAUUGGGAAGCUAACAUAUUUUCAUUAAAUCAACGAACUAGCGUACUUCUAAUUCUCUAAUCACCUAAAGUCUUUUGCAUAUGCUUAAGAGACUUGAAGCCCUAAUGUCCAUUCCAAAUGCUAAACCAAAUAGAGAAACUUGGGCUUAGGCUUUGCAUUGAAAUGCUCCAAGUCUUGAUGAUGGGACUUUGGGGCUGGAUUGGGCCUGGAUUCAGAAGAGCCAGUCUCGUUCAUCACAUCAAGAACCCUAAAGAAAUACAGAUCCUGCAUGAAAGUUACAGGCCCAGAUAAAAAAGUUUUUGAAUUUGGUCCAAACCCGCUUGAUGGCAAAAGAUUUAUCCAGACCCAGUCAAAUAAUGAGUCGUCAAUUGGCAUCGGUCAUGGCGAGUCACCUCCACUUGUUCUGGUUUUAGGUCAAUCAUCGUGGAGAGGGCCCUGAGUCCAUCGUGGAUGUAGAUCACAAAUCAAUCGAAUCUUCUCUGUUCUCGACUUUAUUUGUUGCUUUGUCAAAAGCUAAUAGUGCACGUGGAUUGAUUGAAAAUGCUCGACUUCAUUUGUUACGUCUUCCUCGGGAGUCCCGAGGGCGGUCCACUUUCUCCCCAUCGUGGGGAGCACCAGAACCACCGUUCUUUCCUUGUUAAUUCUUUAAUCCGAGCUCUGUCAAAAGAGGGAAAAGAACUUCCAUUUUACCUCUGCUUUCUGUCUCUGUCUCGGUAUCUCUCUCCCCACCUUAUCUUGUCCCCAUAGCCUCAUGAAUCACGAUAACUUUUUCAUCUUCUGAUCUCCACCCGUGAAAUGCGUGCAAUGAGUCGUGCUCGGCCCGGAGCAACGAUCGUGAAGUCGGAAGUGCCCGCCCGCAUCGAUGUUGGAGCAGCUUUGGGCGUGCAUGGAAAUGUUCCAAAGAAACGUUUCUGGAACACUUCUGUACGGAUUUUGUUCCCGGGAACAAAAAAAGAACAGAAACGCGUUUGGUUGCGUUUAUGUUCUUUUUUUGUUUUUUUGUUUCCGGAACAAAAAAAAGAAACAACAAUUUGUUGUUGUUUCUUAUGAGAUGGAAUGUGGUACCUAAUUACAAAAAUAGGGUGUUAAGAUUGGAUUAAUUUAGGAGGUUAUGUAACAUAGUUCACCCUCUUUAUUGGGAAAAAAAAUUCAUAUGGAUCUUUGCUACUUUCAUAAGAAUAACUUACACAAUUAUUGACAAAAUAAUAAUUGAUGUUAAUAAAUUAGAGAAUUCGAUUAAUCAAUCUAAAAAAAUGCAUUAAAAUUAAAUGCUAAGUAGGGAGAGGCGAUCGCCGGGUGGCUCCUCCACCGAUUGUAAUGUGUAUUGUAUGGGUGCUAUAUUCAUGAAUGGCGAAGGCGAGGACACAUAUUUGAACGUUAACUUGUAUUUGAUAUAAAGCAAACUUUAUUUCGAUUUAUGGCCAUUUUAAUGAAUAUCCUGAACACCUGUUAAAUAUUUUUAUUAGGGGGAUUUUGACCAUUAAUGUAUAGUUGGGUAUAUUACAAUGACAAUCAAUGUAUUAGGAGUUGCAAUAUUUUCUUAUUUAGUCGCUUAAUGAGUGUUUUCGAGAGACUUUUUAAGUAAAUAUUAUUUAUCUCAGGUCUUUAUACUUUUUUAAGACACUUCAAUGCUUCGGCUUGGAUUAAUAAGUUCUUUCGAAGGGAAAACCUACUGGAUUUUUCCAAGUAUUAUGCAAAAAAAGCAAUUGAUCAAUAAACUUUCGGUUUGGUACGAUCAAUUUCUAAAUCUUGUAUAAAGAGAAAAAUAUAACGAAAUCCUUCCAUUGUAAAUUUGCUAUUCUUUCUGUUAAAAAACUGUUUAAGAAGCGUAUGUUGAAUCAAAUAAGGUAUAACUGAAAAAAAAUCUCUGAUACUCUUUCCAAUUAAAAAAACUUCAAGAUUCAACUAAUCCUCGAUUUUGAGCGUGAUUGCAUUUUUCGUGUAAGAUAUUGUACUCAGUAUUUCCCCCUUCUUGUCUUCCGUCCUCGUAUUGUACCAAUUUCGAGUACAAGAGAAAAGAAGAAGAAAGAUAGGCUGAUGCAUCAUUGCAUCACGCAUAUGCAGGUGUGCAAAGGGAAUAUUAGGAUAAACACCACCGGUCGGACCGGUUGCUUUCGGCUUUUCUUCUUUUCUUUCUUACUUUUGUUGCAUUUGGGCAACGACGCGGACUUCAUUUGUUGUUUGACGAGUUGCAAGUCUCUUCUUCCAUCCCAAAUCACUCCCAAAAAGAAGUUAAAAAAAAAAAAUUAAAGAAAGAGUUGCGAGUCUGUUCUUGCUUUUUGAUAGAGUGGAAAGAAGUUAUACGGAGUAGAUAAUUAUUUAAUGGGAUAACGAUGGGGGAAAGACACCCUGUAAUCAUGCUAAUCAUGCUUUGAAUGAUUUAGGCAAUUCACAUGCUAUUCAUCGAAAGGACGUCACUGCAUCCCAUUCACAUUAUUGACUGGAUUUCCUGUGCAAUUUUCCUAUUUUGCUUUCAUGUUUUGACUCAAAGUUGACUGCUUCUUUCCUCCUCUCUUCCUCUCUUCCAUUUCUCAAUCAUCUCUCUGCUCAAGAGUUUCAUUGCACGCCAUGGUUUCAAUCUUUAGUCUCCCUUCUUUCUUCCUUUCCAUAUCCUUCAUUUUACCAUGCCAUGGAUCCAAAUCCGAUUUGCAUUUUGGUUCCAACAUGUUACAUUCUUCGAAUUUAAUGACUCCACCUUCCAUGUCUUUCUCAUUUCAAGGUUAAUGGGCUAUUUUUUAGUCCAUUCUGCGAUCACAUGAUUAGAACCAAAAAACAUAAUAGGAGCAUUUCAUCAUUGGUAAGUUUGAAUUUUUCCUAGUAAGUCCUAAUGUAUCCCAAGUUUAAUAAUCUUAACUUCCAGCUUCUUAGCAAUCUAUUAUGGUUGUUUCGAGGCAUAUGUUUGCAAAAAAAUAAAGAAUCGGGAUGUUUGGACAUUCAAGAUUCAACUUUGUGAUCUUUAGAUAACACUGAUCAUUCUCGGCUUUUCCACUAUCUUUAAUCAUCAUGAUCUAAGCGUGUUGAUCCAUCGAAUUUAACCAGGGAUAAAAAGCUCAUUCAGGUCUUAUUUCAUCCUAGAACUGCUUACACAAUUAAGGAAAGCUCGCCCCCACCCCCCCCCAAUGCCAUGGCACCUCUUGAUUGGGCUUGACCGCAGCAGGUCAAGAGACCAGAACCCACGUGGAGCUCACCCAUGGACCGAGCUACUUGUAACCUCUCGGAGAGUCCUCCCUCUUCCUGGCACAAACUCAGUAGCAACGAACUAUUUCUUCAUCUUCCAAUUCCUCUGCUUUAUGGCCUUCUCCUCUCCUUGAAGUCUCCAAAUCGGAAUUGUCAUAGGAAGUUAUCUAUCACCUAUCGUGGAUUGAAACGCUGCUGGGAUAUAAUGUGCAGAAACGAUAUGAUCUUGCAAUUUAUGUCAACGCAAAAUCACCAAAGAAAUAAACGAGAAAAAUAAAGACAUCAGAAAUUUACGUGGUUCGGUCCGAUUAUCGGUACCUACGUCCACAAGAAGAGCCGGCAGCAAAUAAUCCACUAAAAUCGGAGUAUCAGAGUUUACAAUCGCUCAAACGCGCAAGUGUUUCUCACACUUAGAUUUAACUCUAAACCCUAAGUGUUUAUAAAUAAAUAACUCAGUAUAAACUUAUGGCACAAAAUUACUGUGCAUUCAAGCUCGAACGAAACACUCUACACACGUCAAACAAGAUUAACGUCUAUAUUUUUCUUCACAUACGUAUCCUCUUCGUAGGGCUUCUACAAGUGGCGCAGACGUUCGAAAAAAAACUUCUCUGAUGUGCGGCUCCUCUUUUUAUAUUGAUGAACGAAACCUUGCCCUUUUAAUAUUCUGUGUACGUGCGUGCCCAAGGUCAAAAGUUUGACCUUGGGUCCCACCAAUUUCAAUCUUCACGUGCAGAACGAAUCUGCGUGCGGGCUUCUUUCUUCGAUGGGCAUAUGACAUGCAUAAAUAAAAGAAAAUCUUUCAUUUUUCUUUUAUUUCCCCUUUUAGUAAUUCUUCGCGAGUCCAGCAAAUUUCGUUUUGUAAACACUCAAACUUGAGACAUAAUUUAACAAUUCUCCACCUUGACUUGAUGUUUGAAGUCAAGUUAUAGUGCUCAUCAUCCAUGCUGCUAUCCCAACGCCCCGACAGACACUCACUCUCCACAGAUGCCAAUAGAGCUCAAGCAGAGCUUAAGCUUCCCCAAAAGAAUAGACUUAGUCAUCAUAUCUGCCGGGUUAUCUACUGUAGGAAUCUUUUUGACAGUAACAUUACCCUUAGUUAAGACAUCUCGGAUGGAGUGGUACCUGAUAUUGAUAUGCUUUGUUCGCUUGUGAUAAACUGGAUUAUACACCAAAUAUAUGGCACCUUGGUUAUCACAGUGUAUAUCCACACUUUUUUGUUCUAACCCAAAGUCUAAGAGCAAACUCUGUAACCAUAUCGCCUUAUUCGCUACAAAGGUUAGUGUCAUGUACUCUGCCUCAGUCGAAGACAAUGCAAUGUGAUCCUGUAAGGACGCUUUCCAACUAACUGCAUCAUCCACUAGCGUAAAUACGUACCCUGCUAAAGACCUGCAAUCAUCCAAAUUACCGGUGUGAUCCGAAUCCACAAAACCAGUGGUCUCACUGUCAUUGUUGUCUUUCCGGUACACUAUCUCCACGUCUGUUGUCCCCUUCAAAUAUAUGAGGAUCCACUUCAUAGAUUCCUAAUGAGCUUUACCACACUUACAGCUUGUGAAAUAUCAGGCCUAGUGCAUACCAUAGCAUACAUAAUACUACCCACGACGAACACGGGACAUAUGCUCCUCCUUCUCCUCAAUCUGCGGUAAUAAUUUAUUUGAAAGUUUAAAGUGUUUCGCUAAAGGUGUACUUACAAAUUUUGCCGACUGCAUAUUAAAACAUACCACGAUUUUCUUAAUAUAUUUCUUUUGAGAUAGACGUUUGUCAUGCAAAAUCUCCUUACCCAAAAUUUUCUUUGUAGCACCUAAAUCUUUCAUCUCAAAUUCAGCAUUUAACCGCAUCUUCAGCACAUCAAUAUCAGACAUAUUCUUAAUAUCAUCAACAUAUAAGAGUAGAUAAAUAAAAUAACCAUUCUCCGAUCUCCUAUAGUAAACGCAGCUAUCCAUCUGACUUUUUGUGUAGUCUUAACUAGCUAUGAAAGCAUCAAAAUGUUUAUACCACUGUCUAGGAGACCGUUUUAGCCCAUACAAAGAUUUCUUUAACAAGCAAACAUGAUUUUCCUUACCCGGAAUAACAAAUCUCUCUGGUUGCCUCAUGUAAAUCUGCUCCUCCAACUCACCGUGAAGAAACACAGUUUUUACAUCUAGCUGCUCUAACUCGAGAUCCUGCGAAGCAACUAAGGCAAGUAAACAUGAAUAGAAGUAUGUCUUACCACAGGAAGAGAACACCUCAUUGUAGUCAAUGCUUUCACGCUGUGUAUAUCCCUUUGCCACAAGUCUCGCCUUAAACCUUGCUGCCUCGAUACCGAGAAUGCCCUAUUUCCGUUUAAAGACCCAUUUACUUCUGACAAUCUUUUGGCUCUUGGGUACUUUGACCAGCUCUUAUGUCUGAUUUCGAUGGAGAGAUUUAAUCUCUUUACUCAUAGCCCCUAGCCACUACGACAACUCCAAACUAGCCAUCGCCUCAGAGUAAGACGAAGGCUCAUUUGUCUCCAUCUCAUCACCUACAGUCAAUGCAUAAGCAAUAUCUGUAUAACCAUAACGUACCGAUGGUUUAAUUUGCCUUCUUUGUCUAUCUGCGGCUAUAGUCUGCUGUAGCUUUGCUGAUUGUUAAUUAUCACCGAUUUCAGGAACUGCGGCUUCAUCUGCAGUCUCAACUUUUGUUAUCUUCGAGGUCUCUAAAGUCUCCAUCUGAAGCUCCACCUCAUUAAUAACACCAUGAUCCAUCUUCUCUGCUGGUUGUGUCUCAGAAUUCCUCCGUUGAAGCAUUGCAGUCUCGUCAAAGAUCACAUCUCUGCUGAUUAGAAAACCGGGUGAUCUGGGAUCGGUGCACCACAACCUGUAGCCUUUCACCCCAUGUGCAUAACCCAGAAAUAUGCACUUCUUCGCCCUCGACUCAAGCUUACCAUCACUCGCAUGAGCAUACACAGGACAUCCGAAUAUACGUAAUCCGGAAUAAUUAACAGGUUUCCUCAACUAUACUUCCUCAGGAGUCUUCCACUUGAUAGCAAAUGAUGGAGAUCGAUUAACCAAGUAACAUGAUAUGUUCAUUGCUUCGGCCCAAAAUUCGUUGCCAAGUCUUGCAUGCGAAAGCAUACAUCGAGCUCGCUCAAGCAAAAUUCUGUUCUUUCGUUCUGCCACGCCAUUCUAUUGUGGUGUCCCAGGUACUGUGCUGUGUCUCACAAUACAUUCUUUCUCGCAGAACUUGGUAAAAUCCUACCGUAGAACUCUAUGCCAUUAUCGGUUCUUAGGUACUUGAUUUGUUUAUCUGACUGCUUCUCAAUCAAUGCCUUAAAUUUCUUAAACCGAUCAAACACUUCAUAUUUGUGCUUCAGAAAGUAUACUCAUACAUUCCUCGAAUAAUCAUCGAUAAAUGUUAGCAUAUAUCAGGCACCUCCUUUCGAAGGGACCAAAGACGGGCCCCAGACGUCUGAAUGAAUAUAUUCAACUGGUCGUUUGGUCGAAUGAAUAGCUGUUGUAAACUUAACUCGAUGCUGCUUCCCAUAGAUGCAGUGUUCACAUAAGUCCAGCUUCCCUGUCUUUUGACCAUUCAACAACCCCCUUUCACUCAGCAUUGUUAUACUUGCCUUGCUCAUGUGCCCUAAACGCAUAUGACAUAAUUGAGUCAAGUUAGAGUCUGACUUACCUGAUGAAAUUGCAGCGAUUCCGGUCACGGUCUCUCUUAGUAGAUGAUAGAGAGUAUUCAUUUUCUUCCAAUUCAUUAUUGUUAUGGCACCUCAAGAGACUUUCAGUACUCCACUUUCAGCGGUGUACCUACACCCGAUGUCAUCGAGUGUUCCCAGAGAAAUAAGGUUCUUCUUGAGCUCCGGUACAUGCCUCACAUCUGUCAAUGUGGGCACCACCCCAUCGUGCAUCCGGAUCCGAAUUGUCCCUAUCCCCACAGCCUUACAGACUGCAUUAUUCCCCAAAAGAACUCUACCACCAUCUGCAGCCUGAUAAGUAGUAAACCAGUUCUUAUGAGGUGUCAUGUGAUAAGAACACCCCGCAUCUAGCACCUAUUCGUCUUCUGACAGCAGUCACACAUAAGAUAGCUUCUGCAUCACCAUUGCUCCCAUCGGCAACGUUUGCCACAGUGCUUGUGGCAUUUUGCCUAUAAACUUUAUUCCUCCGCUGUGGACAGUCUCUUCUGAUGUGCCCCUUCUCGUGACACUCAAAGCACUUCACGCGUCCUUUGGACUUUCUAUGGUGUGAUUUUGAUUUGCUUUUACCUCUGCUACUACUAGGCUCUCGAUGUUGUUCUCUACCCCAAAUCGUCAGUGCUUACGCUGCUCCUUUCGCCAGACUGUCAUCUCGCAACUUUCUCUACCACUCCUUAGAGAAUAAGGCGGACUUUACAUUUUCUGAGGUAAUUAUAGUACGCUCCUACAACAGUGAAUCAGUAAAGUACUCCCAUGACUCUGGUAAAGAGGCUAACAAUAUCAUGACCUGUUCUUCAUCAUCAAGUAACUUACCAACGUUCUUUAGAUCCAACAUGAGUUUAUUAAAUUCAUUUAGGUGUGUUCUGAUAGACGUACUUUCAGUAUAUCUAAACUGAAAUAUAUUCUUCAACAUGUACAAGCGAUUGUUCAAACAUUUCUUCACAUAGAGUGCUUGAAGUUUUACCUAUAAUGCCACGGCAUCCUUCUCUUUAGCAACCUCUAUUAAGACAUCAUCCGAUAAAUUUAACACGAUUAUACUUUUUGCUUUUUCCAUCAGCUCUACCCUCUUAGAGGCUUUUAUUGUAAUCGGCAACUCAUCUUCACCAUUCAGUGCCUUGACUAAACCUUGUGUUUUCAAUAAUGCCCGCAUCUUGAUGCUCCAUAACACAAAGUUGUUGCUCCCAUCAAACUUUUCAAUCUCAGAUUUCCUCUCAGACAUAAUUGCAGUAACAGAAUUUCCAGAUAAUAAUCAGACAAGCAAAAGCUCCAAAUCACAAUCAAGAAAUCCAAUCCCAAGCUCUGAUAUCGAUUGUUGGGAUAUAAUACGCAGAAACGAUAUGAUCUUGUAAUUUAUGUUAACGCGAAAUCACCAGAGAAAUAAACAAGAAAAAUAAGGACACAAGAAAUUUACGUGAUCGGUCUGAGUAUCAGUACCUACGUCCACAUGGAGAGCCAGUAGCAAAUAAUUCACUAAAAUCGAAGUAUUAGAGUUUACAAUCGCUCAAACGCUCAAGUGUUUUCCACACCUAGAUUUAACUCCAAACCCUAAGUGUUUAUAAAUAAACAAUUCACUUGGGUAUAAACUCACGGCACAAAUUAUCGUGCAUUCAAGUUCCAACGAAACGCUCUACAUACGUCAAACAAGAACGGCGUCUAUAUUUUUCUUCACAUACGUAUCCUCUUCGUAGGGUUUCUGCAAGUGGCGCGGACGUUCGAAAAAAAACUUCUCUGACGUGCGGCUCCUCUUUUUAUAAUGAUGAACGAAACCUUGCCCUUUUUAUAUUUUGUGUACGUGUGUGCCCAAGGUCAAACUUUUGACCUUGGGCCCCACCAAUUUCUAUCUUCACGUGCAGAGCGAAUCCGCGUGAGGGCUUCUUUCUUUGAUGGGCAUAUGACGUGCGUAAAUAAAAGAAAAACUUUCCUUUUUCUUUUAUUUCCCCUUUUAGUAAUUCUUCGCAAAUCCAGUAAAUUUCAUUUUAUAAACACUCAAACUCGAGACAUAAUUUAACAAAUGCUAACCUCGCGAUGAAUCUAUCUUCUCCUCAGCCAUAGAAGGCAUCGCUUGGAGAGGAUGGCUCCACAAGGUGUUCAUUCUGGACUUCGUGUUCGCUAGCCAGUUUCUCCUCCUUCAGCCUCUACGGACACCAGACCAUCGAAAAACACUCCAAAGAAGCAGGGCACCAUAAAGUCAAGAAGAUGGGAUCACAAUCAAAAUAGGUAGCUUCUUCAAUCACCUGAUAAAUCAAAAAAGGACCUGCAUCGCCAUUUGCAGUUCAGAAUGUGUAUAGCAAAGGCUAUUAUUAAGCUAAAACUAGUCAUCAACAUCUAACUAAACGUGACUGCCAAAUGAAGUAAAAUGAAGACUAUAUAACCUGUUUUAAUCUGAAAACUGAAGAGAAGGCUGCAUAACCUCUUGAGCGCCCGUAUUUAUCAACUCAAACAAGACUGAAAAAGGGACUCAGGCAAGAAUUUUUCAGAGAGAGAGAGAGAGAGAGAGAGAGAGAGAGAGAGAGAGAGAGAGAGAGAGAGAGACUCAUGUAGGUGGAUGCCACACGAUCCAACAAUCCUUACCUGCAUCUGAAGACCAGUCCUUCCAAAUUAUCCAUAUAAUAAACGCCAAGCAAGAAAAAUCAUACCACCCGUACCCAACAGAACCUGCACAGCAGAAACAGGCAAACCUAGUCGAUGCCAGAGGUAAUUCAAUUUAACUCUAGAUCCGAAUGAUAUCAAGCCAUCUACUUGCAACAUUAAGGCUGGGAGACACUAUAAGCCCAGUCUACGCACUAUGACAUCCUUUGUGAUUUUCUUCUCAAUGACUUCGGUGUUUCUACAACUAUACAUAUAUCAGGCAUUAGGAAAAACUAAAUCAAAUGUACACUUUUAUGUGAGUAAAAGAACACCCCAAGUGUCAAAACUUGAAACAAUGGGAUAUUUAAAUAUCAAAAGUUAGAAAGUGACACUUAAGUGUCACUUUUAAAAAAAAAUUAGACACUUAAGUGCCACAUCCGGUGAACCCCGCUGGAAAUCUUACGUGAUAAUUUUUUAUUAAUUUUGCUCACUUACGUCGCUUGCUGGAAGGUUGACUCAGCAAAGAAACACAAAAACGAUGUCAUUUUCGCACUUAAAGAAUUUUAAUAUAAAAAUUAAUUAAAUCAAAUUUAAAACCCAAUAUAUAUAUAAGAAGAAGGAAGAUGAAUAGCAGCCGGUAGCUAAGGGCUCAGCACUUGCCGUCACCACCUCCCCAUUGUUGCGGGGAAGGUGGGGGGAGGGUCGGUCGAGGUUGCCGAGCCCUGGCCGCCUGCUGCUGUUCAUCUUCCUCCUUCCUUUUUUUCUUAAUUUGGUUUUUAAUUUAAUUUAAUUAAUUUUUAUAUUAAUUAUUUACCUAUGUUAGCAGCAAAACGACGUCGUUUUGGCACUAAUCUAAUCACGUUAGCGUGCAAAAUGACGUUGUUUUGCACUUGGCUUGUCGAAAAUUCGUCACAUUAGCGUUUUGGCCGGAUUUUUUUGCCAUUGGCACUUAACUAAUCCAUUUUACUUCGAUUGUGGCAUUUAAAUAUCACUUUCCUAACUUUUAGCACUUAAAUAUUCCCUUGUGCAAAAUUUUUGUACUUUAGAUAUGUCGGACUCCUUUUAUGUGCAUCAUAAAACGAUGAUGAAGUAAAAAUUACGUCUACUUCAAUUGAUAUGAAACUGGUAGAUAACCAGAAAAACUAUAAGCUCUGGCUAGGUACUUAUUAUAUAUAAUCAUUGCAAUAUACUUGUUGGUCUAUGUGAAGAUGUUAAUAUACUUUCAAACCUAAAGGAGGACUUUCUAUUUGGGUAUCUAAUUGGAAAAAAAGAUGUCCAUAUUAGACAAAAGAAACCAGCAGAUGUUCAGAAAAAAUCACAAGUGGGCAUUUUUUGUGUUCAAUAGGCGCUGCUAAUUUGAAGGCCUCUUGGAGGUCACAUGAUAGUCUAAAGCCUAAGCAACUGGCUUUCUAUUUGAGAAAUUUAUUGAUCAUCGUUGCCAUUGAUUUUGCAAAGAGACAUUGGAAAGAGAAUGUUAGAUGAGGAAAAUUAGAAUGAAUAGUAUUGGUUGUGUUAAUUCAGUGUUUUCAUUUUUGCCAUCAUAGUACGGAGUUGGAAAUAAAGAUGCAUAAAGCAACAGCUGUCCUUGUCCACCCUCCUUUCAAACUUCAUUGUAGCAUCAAUUGACCCAGAAAGUUCGGUUUAAACAUUCCACGACAUUUUAAAUGAUCAUCGCGUAAGGUAAUCGUAUUAUACCCUCCCCAAAUAGAAAACUUCCUGGUGUCAAUAAUCCAUUACCCUGACUUCCACUCAAAGACAGAGCCGGAGAGAGAGAGAGAGAGAGAGAGAGAGAGAGAGAGAGAGAGAGAGAGAGAGAGAGAGAGAGAGAGAGAGAGAGAGCGGAACUUGUAACUGAUGGUGUAACUUCUUAAGUAUUCAUAACAGCGAAGCUCUAGCAUAUAGCCUAGGAGAAAGAUGGAAACAACAAGGUAAAGGUUCUAAAUAGCAACUUCUAUGAUCAUUAACGUACCGAUAGACACUAUUUAGAAUCGCCAUCCACGUGAGAAAAUAGGAUCAAAGAGCUUCCGUGGGAGAGACUACCUUCGAGGUCGAUUCGAUCGCAGGUCGCUGCACUAGCGAGGAAGCGAGAGAGAGAGAGAGAGAGAGAGAGAGAGAGAGAGAGAGAGAGAGAGAGAUUUUGUCCAGCCAGAGAGUGACUAUGGAAGCAUUUGGGUUCGUUGCAGAGAUGAUAAUUACGAAAAACAAAGAGGUGAGAAUUUGUUUGCUCUGCCCUGACAAUUAUUGGUAUUUCGCUCGUGUCCAAAUACCUUUCANNNNNNNNNNNNNNNNNNNNNNNNNNNNNNNNNNNNNNNNNNNNNNNNNNNNNNNNNNNNNNNNNNNNNNNNNNNNNNNNNNNNNNNNNNNNNNNNNNNNACAUCAUAAAACAAUGAUUAAGUAAAAAUUAUGUCCACUUUAAUUGAUAUGAAUCUGGUAGAUAACCAGAAAACCAUAAGCACUGGGCAGGUACUUAUUAUAUAUAAUCAUUGCAAUAUGCUUGUUGGCCUAUGUGAAGAUGUUAAUAUACUCUCAAGCCUAAGAGAAGGACUUCCUAUUCGAGUAUCUAAUUGGUAAAAAAAUGUCCAUAUUAGACAAAUAAACCAGCAGAUGUUCAGAAAAAAAGCACAAAUGGGCAUUCUUUGUGUGCAAUAGGUGCUGCUAAUUUUAAGGCCUCUUGGAGGUAACAUGAUAUUCUAAAGCCUGAGCAACUGGCUUUCUACGUGAGUAAUUGAUUGAUCAUCGUCGCCACUGAUUUUGCAUAGAGACACCAGAAAGAAACGUUAGACGAAGAAAAUAGAAUGAAUACUACCGGUUGUCUUAAUCAACAUAUUUCCAUUUUUGCCAUCAAUCUUCAGUUUAAACAUUCCAACGACAUCUGAAAUGAUCAUCGCGUAAAGUAAUCAUAUUGUAAUGUUAAACCCUCCCCACAUAGAAACCUUCCCAGUAUCAAUGAUCCACCACCCUGGCUACAGCUCAAAUACAGAGCCACAGAGAGAGAGAGAGAGAGAGAGAGAGCAAGGAUCUUGUAACCGAUGGUGUUACUUUUUAAGUAUUCAUAACAGCAAAGCUGUAGCAUAUAGCCUAGGAGAAAGAUGAAAACAACAAGGUAAAGGGUUCUAAAUAGCAAUUUCUUUGACAAAAAGAGUACCGGCAGUGUUUAUAAUCACCAUCCUCGCGGUAAAAUCAGGAUCAGCCGACCUCAGCUCAGCGAUGACUAACCCAGUGGGAGGAAAAACUUCUUACGACGCAUGAAACGAUCAAUUAAAGGGAGGCGGGGGGAAAACAUAGAGCCAGGAUACGGAAAAUGAACCAACUCCUCACAUCCAAAAGCCCAAAGCUAACACAUCCUCACGGUUCACGCCACCGGAUUUCCUCGCGAUUCAAGCACUUCGCGCACAAAAUUACAAAAAUGAGGUUAAACGCGACAGCUAGAAACGAACCCACGCAAAAUGACCGGAGACCCCUCGAUUUCGAAAGGAUCGCGAAGGCAUUGCCGAACUUAUCCUCACGACAGGUGAUCGGGCCGGAUAAUCGAGAAUUCCAUGGCACGUGAUCAUGAUUGGACCGUCUACGCCACCGCCCAUCGUUGGAGGGGGCCAACAACCUCAUUGGCCCUAGGUGGUGGAGGGGGGGCAGCCCUCGCCAGCCCGGGUGAGGCCACCGUUGGCCUAGGCAAGGUCGGGCGAGGCCACCGUCGGCCCAAGCAAGGUCAAGCAAGGCUCGCCCAAAUCUAGACAACGCCCUAUGGGUCACCUAGAUCUAAGUGAUGCCGGUCCUUGCCUGGGGCUGACCAAUGAGGCCUCACUUGGGGCUGGUGAGGUCUCGCCGGUCAUAGGGGAGGAUUGACGUCGCCCGAAUCUAGGCAACCCUCUUCUGGCGUUGAGGCAUCGCCUAGAUCUGGGCGAACCUCACUUAGGCCUAAGUUGAGGCGUCCUCCAAAUCUAGGUGAGCCUCAUCGGCCCUUGCCUAGGCUGGCAAUGGCCUCACCUGGACCGACGAGGGCCCUCCCCCACUUUGCUGCCUAAGGCUGACAACCUUAUUGGCCCCCUCUGACGAUGGGUGGUAGCGGCGUCAUGCCCAACACAAUCCCUGCCUUCAUUUUUCUUUGUUUUCAAUUUUGAUUUUUAAAUUGUUUUAGUUUUUAAAAAAAAAAUUUACUAUAAUAAACAUAAGAUUUGAAGAAAAAAGUAAUAUAAAAUGCCACGUAAGAUAAAUAAAUAAACUUAAAAAUGCUAUGUUAGCAUAUUCCGUUAGAUAAAUUGACGGUGUUAAUGCAAGGACUUGAUUGCACUAAUUUGACAAAUUUUAAGAUUUAAUUGCACUUUUUGAAAGUUUUAGGGUUCUACUGUACUUUUGUGACAAGUUUUAGGACUUAUAGUAUACAUAUCAUAUAUUUUUAUUAAGGGGAUCUUUGAUCUUUGAUAUGUGAUCGGGUAUAUUACGAUCACAAUAUUUUCUUAUUUAGUUGCUUAAUAAGUGUUUUUGAGGCACUUUUUAAGUAAAUCCUUUAUAAAUCUGGUCUUUAUACCUUUUUCAGACACUUUGUUGCUUCAGCUUGGAUCUUCAUAAAGAAAAACCUAGUGAAAAUUUCCAAGUAUUAUGCAAAGAAAGCAAUCGACCGGUAAACUUUUCGGGUUAGUACAUCAAUUUCUAAAUCUUUCAUAAAGGGGAAAGUUCAACGAGAUCCUCCCAUCAGGAAAUUUUUUUUGUUGUUAUAAAAAAUCACUUAAGUGCUCAUAUGACAAAUUAAAUAAGGUAUAGAUACUCUUUCUAAUAAAAAAAAUUUCAAGAUUCAACUAAACCAAUGAAAGGUUUAAGGCUUGAUUGCAUUUUUUGUAUAAGAUUUUGGACACAGUAUUUAUCUUUUUGGUCAUUGUAUCGUACCGAGUACAAGAGGAAAGAAGAAGGAUAGGCGGAUAUGUCACGCAUAUAUGGGUACCCGAAGGGAAGGUUAGGAUAAACAUCACCGGUCAGACCGGUUGCUUUUGGCCUUUCUUAUUUUCUUUCGUACUUUUGUUGCGUUUGGGCAAAGACGUACCUGGUUUCUUGUCUGACGAGUUCCAACCCAAACCACCAUUUAAAAAAAAAAAAAAUUAAAGAAAGAGUUGCGAGUCUCUCCUAGCUGUUUGACAUGGUAGGAAUAGUAAUAUGGAUUAGUAGUUGUUUAUUGCGAUAAUUAAGGGGGAAAGACACCAUAUAAUUAUGCCAAUCACGCUUGACUCCAUUCCUUUCACAUUAAUGAGAGGACUUCCUGUGCAAUUUUCCUGUUUUGCUUUCGUCUUGACUCAAAGUUGUCGGUCUCUUAUUUGCAUUUUCUUUCCUGCCCUCUUCCUUUUCUCAAUCUUCUCUCUGCUCAAAGUAUCACCGCAGGCCAUGGUCUCGCUUUACGGUCUCCCCUCCUUCUUUCUUUCAUUUUCCUUCGUUUUUCUAUCGCAAUUCUCAAACUUCAUUGACACUCAAGCUCAAGAUUAUGAUUACCUAGCUGCCACGAUUUCAACUCAGUGGGUGAAUAACGUAAUAGCUACUCACGUCACUCGACAUGUAGAUGGAUCGAUUGUGCAGGCAAUUCUACUCCGAGGCAAAGGAGGUUCUGGCCCUGCCUACGCUUGCAGCUUCUACUGUAAUGGUAAUUGCAACACUUUGCCUCUUUGUUGUUUUCAUCGUCACAGUUUAUGGUAGUGGCGUAACUGUUGAAUACACUAUUCCACAAGCAGUGUGAUCUGCCAAUAGAAACAAUCCUGUAAAGAUCGAAGCAACAUUGAAGCUCAAGUCCGAAGGUGAUUUGGUGUUGAAACAUGCUGAUGGUACGGUUGCUUGGUCCACAAAUACUUCUGGAAAGUCCGUUGUAGGCUUGAACUUGACAGAUUUGGGGAACCUCGUGUUGUUUGGUAAGGACAAUGUGGCUGUUUGGCAGUCUUUGAUGAGCUAACCGACUUGCUUUGUCCUUAGAAAAAAGUUGANNNNNNNNNNNNNNNNNNNNNNNNNNNNNNNNNNNNNNNNNNNNNNNNNNNNNNNNNNNNNNNNNNNNNNNNNNNNNNNNNNNNNNNNNNNNNNNNNNNNNNNNNNNNNNNNNNNNNNNNNNNNNNNNNNNNNNNNNNNNNNNNNNNNNNNNNNNNNNNNNNNNNNNNNNNNNNNNNNNNNNNNNNNNNNNNNNNNNNNNNNNNNNNNNNNNNNNNNNNNNNNNNNNNNNNNNNNNNNNNNNNNNNNNNNNNNNNNAUCGAUACAUGAAGUGGGCUCGGAUGGCAUUGAGAGUGUAUGUAUACAAUUGAUUGGUGAGCAUAAAGAAGUGCAAAUCUUUUCAUAGGGUUUGGCGAGGACUGUGCCUAUCCAACAAUGUGCGGGCGAUAUGGAAUUUGUUCCAAUGGGCAAUGUAAUUGUGAAAGCUAGUACGAGCACCUAGAGGGGAGUGAAUAGGUGUAAAAACAAAUUUCCCGAGAGAAGUGUGCAACACUAAUCAACAAUGGAUUAUGAAAAGGAAAUUAGACUCUUGUAAACAAAUUGAGUUACGAUCAAAGUAAAAGAGCGUAGGAGAGAGAAUAAGAACAUAGGGUUUAUAAUGUCGGCUUAAUCCAAGCCUACGUCCACUCUUCCGCACUGACAGCUCACUGGCUGGAUUUCACUAUGAAUUAAAAGAGUUGUUAUAGUAAAGCUCUUCCUUGAUUCCACUGUGUAGAGACUCUGCUACACUUCCUCAAGGUCUCACAAAGAUAUAAACUCUCUUUUAAGUACAAGAUUUCGCUCAACAAUUGAAUUGACUAAGAAACAAGGAGCUUUAGACUUUGGAAUUCUUCUAUCGCGCACAUACUUGAACAACUGGAAUGUCUUCCUUAUAUACUCUUUCAUGCCAUCACACCCAUCGACACUUACCAAAGGAGUUCUUCCAAUCUACCCGUUGGACAGAAUCAAUUAAGAAGAUUUCGAGUUAUUUAAGGAAUAUGACGAUAGCCCACCAAACUUGCUCGCCCAUACAAUCAGGAUCUAGGUUUCCAUAAGUAGAACCUUCCAAGUAUACUUUGCCAAUCAACAGAUCCAAAAUCCCUGAAUCAAUCUCAAUUUAAUUAAUGGAUUCCAACAUGUUGUAUCCAGCCAAGAGAUCUUCUUCAGUCGAUAGAAUCAAAUCCUCAACGAAACACUCAAUUCUGGAUAAGCCUUCUUUGACGGUCUAGAAACUGUCAAUGAGGAUAGACUUUGGGUCUUGAAUCUGACAGUCCGGAGGUUUUCAGAUUUUGAUGGAAGAGUCUACAAGUCUUUAGACUAGAUUGAUGGAAACGUUUUGUCAACUUCAAAACACUCAAGGAAGUUUUCUCCAACAAUCUCUCCCUUUUUGAUGGUGACAAAACUUUCCUACAGAUUUGGAUAACUUUGACCUGCAAAACAAUACUCAAGCAAACAUGGAUAUUUCACAAAAGAUAAUUGGCUUAGUAAAGAUAACAUUAAAAUCUGCAUCCACAGAAAAUAGGUUAGUCCUGUAAACGAGCAACUAUCUUUGCCAUAAAAUACUAGUAGUGCUUAAGAUAAACAAAUAGUCAAAUCCAAAUCUAGUCCAAAUCCAAACAGUCAAACACAAAAGUAAAGUCAAUCAAAUACAAAAGUCACAAAAGUCAAGAGUUCAAGAGUUUAAAUCUCAAAUCUGCACGACAUCUCUCCCCCUUUUUGUUAGCAUUAAAAAGGUAGAGAUGAAACAAGAAUGGAAUUAUGAUUGCUUGGGAACACAAACAAGCUGGAAAUCUCUCAUUGACUGGACAAUCCCUUCCAGCUUUUUCAAAUCUUCUUUCAGCUGAGUCACAUCUUCACCCUUGGCAUUUACUUGAACUUGAAGAGCAAGGGCAUGGAGUUGAUCAUGCAAAGAAAUUGAAGAGGUUUGACCUGCAUUUUGCAAGUUCUGUACUUUACAUCCCAGAGUAUAAAUUUGGCCUCGCAUCUCCAAGAGAACAUCAAGCACUCUGUGAAAGUCUGCUGAAUUGUCAGUCUGAGUACUGGCUUCUGCUCGAUCAGAUGGUGUAUUGGUAGAUGAUGGGCAAGUUAGCAUGAUCACGCAGAUUGGGCGAUGAAACCUCAUGGCCUUUCUCAGGAAAUUGAGAAGCGUAGAUGUCUUCUGGAUCUGCUGGAGAACGACUUACUCCUUCACUGGUGGCAGCAAUUGAGGACAUACCUCUUUUCUCAGGAUCUCCCCCUGUUUCAAUGCCUUUAGGCUGUGAGAAGUACUCCUCAUGUUCUGCUUCUUCUUGUCCUCCUCUACCCUCUUCUUCCUCUUCCACAAUCCUUUCCUCCUCUGCUUCUUUCUCCAAUGAUUCUCUCUCUCCAGUCCUCUGUUCAAUCUCAUCCUUGUCUUGUUCCUGUCUCUCCUUUGUCUCUGGAACAGAACGACUCAAGUUCUUCAAUGUAAGAGCAUAAAUUGUGAUAUCAUCCUCAUCCUCUUCAUCCUCCAAGAUGAGUGCUCUUCUUUUAUUGGAUGAAGCAACCAUAGGCUCCUUCCUUUUCCGCUUUGCAGCCGAAGAGACUGGGUGAGUCUUGACAAGGGUUUUCACCUUGAAUUGCUCCAAAGCCUUGUCGAGUUCCUUCAGACGCAUUUUAGAGACCAUUUUCAGUCCCACCACCAUUUGAUCGCAUGUUCGAACAUAAAGAAUUCGGAGAGGCUGAAUGUUCAAAUGUCUAAAUAACUUUGUGACAAAUGCUGAGUAAGGAAGUUGGCCAUUGUCCUUCACCAUCGUUUUGUACAUGUAGAACAUAAUAGUGUGUGGAAGAGAGAACUUUUUGCCAGCGUUGAUGGCAUACAUCAGCUUUGCCUCUGAGUUUGAAAUGUCGAUUUUUGAAGUUGAUUUGGGUCUGAGGUAGUUGAUCACUAUCUUGUGAAGCAAAAUGUUUGAGGCAUUCAUCCUUGAAUAUGAAAUCUUUCCUUCCGUCAUUCUAUCCUGAACAAGCUCUAUCAUCGCAUGACCAAUAGACACAAUGAUUGGUUGUUAUCUUCCUCUUUCAACCCCAAUCACAUCAGCCAAUGUAUUCAUGUCAACCACAUAAUCCUGAUCUCGAACACUGAAAGAGAAUCUAUUCGUAUCCAAGAAACUGAGAUUCAAAUAGAAGUAAGUAGUAAGUUCAGCAUGAGCCUCUGUCGUUUCAAAACAAAACCGUUCAAGUUGAAGAAGAUUGAAUUUCUCUCGCAGAUUAGCAUUCAGAGAAUCAAGAAAAUCAAAGUCCACACUUCUAGGGUUAAUCACACCACGCUUUAGCAACUUAGAGUACAGUUGCUUGUGUUCCUCCGAACGAAAUAGAUCUGUCCUUUUGCUUCGGAUUUUCGCUGCAACACCCAUUCUAGGUUUAAAUUGAGUGUACAUCCUAUCAUCAUCAUUCCCAUUCGGUUGACUCAGCCCUCCAACACGUGGAUCACUUGGGAUAUUUGCAAAUGCUUCUUCUACUGACCCCGCAGGGGCAAUUCCUAAUCGUUCCAUUGUGCGUAAAAAGUAGGUUUCAUUUCGAUACCAUUUGUCUUUCAAAAAUUCAUCAAUGUAGUUCAAAGGAGUAUCGUCCCUUUUCAAAGCACGGUAAAGCUUAAAAGUAAAAGCUGGCUUUUGAGUUCUUACAGAUUCUGUAUCUUCAAUGAUUUCUUCAUCUUCUCGAUAUUCAAUAUUCUGAGGUCUAGAUGGAGGAGAUGGACGCUGUUGAGAAUGUUGUGGGCUCUGCUGUUGUCUAGGAGAUUUUUCUUCCUCGGUGAGAUCAAAAUGUGUAGGUCCCUCACGCAUUUGCAGUGGUCUCCUAUUCGCGAUCCUCGAAGACUUUCUUUACGAUGACAUUUUUCACAGUUUUUGAGAGAUUCCAAGCUUGUUUCGCAAGAAAGAUGAAAACUUUCGAGGAUUAAAAAAUAGAAGAAGAUAGAAGUGGAAGAUUUGUGCUCUCUUAGGGUUUUUGUGAGUAAAACGAAGAAGAACCAACAGUAUAUAAGGCAGUCGAAGUGAGGCAUAUGGAACGUCGUAAAAAGGAAAUAUAAAAAUGCCUUUAAAAAAAAAUAACUGCCUUUUCAAAAACCGAAUAACUAUCAUUUCAAAAAUAACUUCUUUUUUGAAAAGGAAAGAUUGCAAUAAUCACGAAAACUAGGAAAUAGCAUCAAUCAAUUACGGAUAGAUGAUCGUACAUUUUCGAGAUUUGAUCUGAGAGAUAAGUUUCUAAAAUAGAAGUAACUUACAGUUGUAAAUCUCGAUCGUCUGAGUCUGAGUGUCUUUAGACUUUCAAUCCUAAGUCUAAACUUCCUCAGGCUUUAAGAUAUUGAGUUUGGAACAAAUAACUUCAAAUUAAUUUUUCUCCAAAAGCUUUGUAAAUAUAUCUGACAGUUGAUUCUUUGAAUUAAUAAACUAAAUCAAAACUUCUCCAUUUUGAACAUGAUCUCUAAUGAAAUUAUGUCGAAUCUCUAUAUGUUUUGCUUUUGAGUGAAGAUUCAGAUUCUUGGUAAGAUUGAUUGCGCUAGUGCUGUCACAUUUGAUCUCAGUGCAUGAAUCUUCAAUUCCAAAGUCUCUUAGUUGUUGUUUUAUCCACAGAAUUUGUGAACAAUAACUUCCAAGAGCUAUAUAUUCUGCUUCUGCCGUCGAAAGAGCUACGGUACUUUGCUUCCUUGAAAACCAAGACACCAUCCUGUUUCCAAGUAAUUGACAGGUGCCCGAAGUGCUCUUUCUAUCAACUCUGCAUCCUACUAGAUCAGCGUCUGAGUAUCCAAGAAGUGUGAAGUCUCCUUAUUUAGGAUACCAGAGACCUAAAUUUGAAGUUGAGGCAAUGUAUUUGAUAAUACGCUUUGUAGCACUUAAAUGAGAUUCUUUAGGGUCUGAUUGAAAUCUGGCACAAAUACAAAUGCUAAACAAAAUGUCAGGUUUAGAAGCAGUAAAAUAAAGAAGUGAACCAAUAAUACUCCUGUAUAGCUUCUGGUCAACUUUCUUUCCUCCUUCAUCUUUGUCCAGCUUCAAAGAACUUGACAUUGGUAUAUCAGUCUUUUUGCAAUUCUCCAGUCCAAACUUUUUAACAAGUUCUUUAGCAUAUUUUUCUUGAUGAAUAAAGGUCCCCUCCUUCAGUUGUUUCACUUGAAGCCCGAGAAAGAAGAUUAGUUCACCCAUCAUGCUCAUUUCAAAUUCAUCCUGCAUAGACUUAGAGAAUUUCUUAUACAGAUUUUCAUUAGAAGAUCCAAAAAUAAUAUCAUCAACAUAAAUUUGAACAAGUAAAAAACUUUUGCUUUCUCUUUUGAUAACAAUGUAGUAUCUACUUUACCUUUGACAAAACCAUUUUGAAUUAAAAACUUACUUAGUCUAUCGUACCAAGUUCGAGGUGCUUGCUUUAAACCAUAUAGAGCCUUUUUCAGUCUGAAUAUAGAGUUCGGUUCCCUUAGAUCUUCAAAAUUGGGUGGUUGUUCCACAUAGACUUCCUCUUGAAUAAAUCUAUUUAGGAAAGCAUUUUUGAUGUCUAUUUGGAAUAACCUGAAAUUCUUAUGACAAGUAAAAGCAAGUAAUAAUCUGAUUACUUCUAACCUUGCUACUGGCGCGUAAGUCUCAUCAUAGUCUAUCCCUUAUUCUUGCGUAUAUCCCUUGGCCACGAGUCUUGCUUUGUUUCUUAUGACUUUUCCUUUCUUGUUCAUUUUGUUCCUGAAAACCCAUUUAGCUCCAAUGAUGGAUUUUCCUUUUGGUUUAGGAGUCAAUUCCCAGACAUCAUUGAUACUGAAUUGCCUAAGUUCUUCUUGCAUAGCUUCAAUCCAGCUUUCAUCAGUUAUAGCUUCUUCUAUGCUUUUGGAUUCUAUUUCAGAAAUAAGAGCCACAGCACUAGACUCUUCAUGUCUUUUGAAUCUUGUGCGAAUUCCUUUAUUAAUAUCACCAAUAAUGAGAUCUUUGGGAUGACUGGACUUAUGCUUCCAGUUGCUGGUUGAUUUGUCAGAUUGUUGAUCAUUUUUCUCAUUUGAAUCUUCAAUUAUCAUUUGUUGCUGGUCUUCUGAAGUCUGAGCUGCUUCUGGAGAUUUAGAAUUUGUAGAGUCUAGAGCAGGUUCAGAUUCUUCAAGUUAAGUCUGAAUCGAUUGAUUUUGCAUAAAGUCUUGAAAUUUGACAUUCAUCGAUUCCUCCAUAGAUUGAGUCGUUUUGUUGUAUACUCUGUAAGCUUUGUUUGUAAUAGAAUAUCCAAGGAAGAUACCUUCAUCUAAUUUUUCUUCAAAUUUACCAACUCGAUCAUUUGCAUUUUUUUAAUAUAAACAUUUACAUUCAAACACAUGAAAAUACGAAACAAUUGGCUUCUUUCCUUUGAAUAACUCAUAGGGAGUUUUCUCUAGAAUAAGCCUUAAAAAGACUUUAUUAAUAAUAUAGCACGCUGUAGAAACUGCUUCAGCCCAAAAACGAGAAGAGAUGUUACUUUUAAUUAAAAGAGUUCUAGCCAUUUCCUGCAGCGAUCUAUUCUUUCUUUCAACAACUCCAUUUUGCUCUGGAGUAUAUGGUGAAGAGAACACGUGCUGAAAACCAGAUUCAUCACAGAAUUUUGCAAAGUCUUGAUUUUCAAAUUCACCUCUAUGGUUUGUCUGUAUACUUGAAAUAACAUAUCCUUUAUCAUUUUGGACAUUUUUAGCAAACUUUAUAAAAUAAGAAAAUGUUUCAGACUUGCUAGGAAAUAUACCUAAGUGAAUCGUGAAUAGUCAUCCACAAAUAGUAAGCAAUAUUUCUUACCUCCAAUGCUCUGAGUUCUGGUUGGUCCAAAAAGAUCCAUGUGCAAGAGCUAUAGCACACGAUUAGUGCAUACUUGAUUUAUUGGUUUGAAUGAGUUUUUUACCUGUUUUCCCAACACACAUGGUGUGCAUAGAUCAGACUUUAGGUAUAUCAGUUUGGAUAGUCCACGAACAAGCUUCUUUGCUGAGAUUUUGGCUAUUUGCUUCAUGUUGAUGUGCCCAAGUUUUCUGUGCCAUAAGUUUGCUUCCUCUUGAAUUGAGAUUAGAUAUUGGCUUUGCCCCGUGAAAGACUGAGAGGAAUCUUUAUUGGUUCCUAAACAUAUUUCUUCUUGAAAGUUAAUUUUGAAACCAGUGUCGCACAGUUGACUGAUACUCAGCAAAUUGUAGUUGAGUCCUUCCACUAAGGAAACAUUACUGAUUGUGAUGCUUCCAAUCUUUACAGUUUCGUAUUCCACAAUUCUUUCUUUGCUAUUUCCUCCAAAAGAAACUUUUCCACCAUUAACUUGUACAAGUUUUAUGAAGCAAUUUGAGUCUCCUGUCAUAUGUCUUGAGUAUCCACUAUCCAAGUACCAUUUAACAUUUUUCUUGAUAGUGACCUGCAUUUAGAAAAAAGACUCAAGCUUUCUUUGGUACCCAUAUUUUCUUGGGUCCAUUGGUGUUAGUGUAAUAUACAGUCUUUGCCUAUACCUUCUUAACAUGUUUUCAAAUCAUAGGACAUUAUUUCUCAAAAUGAUCUAAGCUAUUGCACUUAGAACAUUUAAGAGCACUGCGGCCUACAGGUUUUACAAAAAAAAAUUGGAAAUGAUUUUUGUAAGAAUCUCUUGUAGGUCUUUGCUUAAUUCUUUCCUUUACUUUAGGAAAAUCAAUUAGAGGAAUGGUUUCAGCAGUCAUUCCUAAUCCUGAUUUGUUGAAGUAAGGUCUUUAUGUUGAAAGGAUUUUUUCAAGUUUCUCAGAUCCUAUAAAAAAUCUUUUAAAGAUAUUUGAGAUAUCAUUUUUCAAGAAUGCAUUUUCUUUUGAAAGAUUGUCUGCAUUUUCUUUCAAAGUAGUAACACUUUUGUCUAAACUUUUGACCUUUUCUUGCCAAACAUUUUCCUGUUGUUUCAGUGUAGAAUUUUCCCUUUUAAGUUCUGAAAUCCUUUUAAGAGAGGUUUUGAGACUAAGACACAAUUAAUCAAUGUAUCUAGAAACUUUAGUAGGGAUUUUUAAAUUACUUACCUCGAUUUCACUAUCUGAGUCUGAGCCUGAAUCUGAAUCUGAGUCUGAUUGUGCCAUGAGACAAAUAUUGGCAUACUCAUCAUCACUUUCCUCACAUUCUAUAUCACUCCAAGUUUUUGCUUUAAGUGUCUUUCGAUAUUUCUCAGUUUUUCCUUUCUUUUUCUUCAAAAGGGGACAGUUGGGUCUGAUAUGUCCAUUUUUCUUGCAUUCAAAGCAGACUACAUCUUUAUUAGAUUCAUCAUCCUCAACUGACUUAGUUUGUUGCUUUUGAAAACUUUGUUUCUUUAGAUUGAAUCUUCUCUCCUUUCUGUUUAGUUUUCUGAAUCUUCUUAUCAUGAGAGCAAGCUCUUCAUCAUCUAUAUUGUCUUCAGAAUUUGUGACAUCAGAAUCAUCAUUAGAUUUUAAUACAAUAGAUUUCUUACCUUUAGGAUCUUCAUCUUUGUUGAUUUGCUCCACUUCAUAAGACCGAAGAGUCCCAACCAAUUCGUCAACAGAAAGUGGCAUGAUUCUUUGUGUCUCCUUUAUUGAGGUCUUUAUGUGAUUCCAAUCCUUGGACAGUCCACGCAGUAGCUUGUUUACUUUCAUAGGUCCAGAAAUUGGUUGACCUUGAUAUUCCAGACCAUUCACGAUUUUUGUAAAACGACUAAACAUGUCAAUGAUAGAUUCUCCUGAUUUCAUUUUGAAUGCUUCAUAUUGACCGAGCAGAAUGUUGAUUCUGGCUUCUUUUACUCGAUCAGCUCUUUCAUAGGUGAUAUGUAAUCUAUCCCAGACUUCUUUAGCUGUUUCACAAGAAGAUAUUCUGUUAUAUUCAGUAGGAGAUAAUGCACAAUAUAAAUAAUAAAUUGCUUUUGCAUCAAGAGCUUUUCUCUUGGUUAUCUCUUCUUGAGUCAUUUCACUAGACUCAACAGCUUCUUUUCCCCUUUCUGAGACUGGUGCAGCUUUAGGAAUGAUUCCUUUGUCUACCACUUCCCAUUCCAGAGGAUCCUUUGAUCUUAGGAUUGCCUUCAUCUUGUUUUUCCAUAUAUUGUAUUCAUUUCCAUCAAAAUAAGGCGGUCUGGUAUUGCUUUGCCCUUCAAUCAGACCUGGAGCCAACAUACUAGUCAUGGAUCUUUAACUCUAAUGUAAAACACUUCAACUUGAGUGAGUACACAAGCUCUGAUACCAAUUGUGAAAGCUAGUACGAGUACCUAGAGGGGGUGAAAAGGUGUAAAAACAAAUUUCCCGAGAGAAGUGUGCAAUACUAAUCAACAAUGGAUUAUGAAAAGGAAAUUAGACUCUUGUAAACAAAUUGAGUUAUGAUCAAAGUAAAAGAGCGUAGGGAAGAGAAUAAGAACACAGGGUUUAUAGUGGUUCGGCUUAAUCCAAGCCUACGUCCACUCUUCUGUACUAACAGCCCACUGACUAGAUUUCACUAUGAAUCAAAAGAGUUGUUACAGUAAAACUCUUCCUUGAUUCCACUGUGUAGAGACUCUGCUACACUUCCUUAAGGUCUCACAAAAAUAUAAUCUCUCUUUUGAGUACAAGAUUUCGCUCAACAAUUGAAUUGACUAAGAACAAGGAACUUCAGACUUUGGAAUUCUUCUAUCGCACACACACUUGAACAACUGGAACGUCUUCCUUAUAUACUCCUUCAUGCCAUCACACCCGUGGGCACUUACCAAAGGAGUUCUUCCAAUCUACCCAUUGAACAGAAUCAAUUAGGAAGAUUUCGAGUUAUUUAAGGAAUAUGACGAUAGCCCACCAAUCUUGCUCGCCCAAACAAUCAGGAUCUAGGUUUCCAUAAGUAGAACCUUCCAAGUAUACUUUGCCAAUCAACGGAUCCAAAAUCCCUGAAUCAAUCUCAAUUUGAAUAAUGGAUUCCAACAUGCUGUAUCCAGCCAAGAGAUCUUCUUCAAUCGAUAGAAUCAAAUCCUCAACGAAACACUCAGUUCUGGAUGAGCCUUCUUCGACGGUCUAGAAACUGUCAAUGAGGAUAGACUUUGGGUCUUGAGUUUGGCAAUCCAGAGGACUUCAAACUUUGAUGGAAGAGUUUGCAAGUCUUCAGACUAAACUGAUGGAAACGUUUUGUCAACUUCAAAACACUCAAGGAAGUUUUCUCCAACAGUAGUUGUCUGGCUUCGACUAGGGGAAUGAGCUAUUUCCAAUAAGUAGAUGAUAAGCGGCCUAAUUUUGAGUGUUCUAAGAAUGUUCCAUCGUCUUGUUGGGCUUAAAAAAAUCAAACUCUUCUGGAGCUCAAAAAUGUCAUGUAUUUCAGUUUCACUCUAGAUCUUGAGGAUAUAGAUGCUUUAUGUUGCAAAGAGGCCUGCACAAAGAAUUGUUCCUGCAAAGCAGCUAUAUUCCAAUAUCAUUCUAAUCGCACUAGCGACAAUUAUUACUUACUAACUCAAGUGUUAUUACUUAUGAACGUUGAUAAGAAAACAUUUUUUAUAAUUCUACUACUUACCUUAAAGUACAAAAUAUGGCCAAUGAAGCUCCUUAUACUUCGGUUGACAAUUGUAUGAGCAACCGUUUCCUUGUAAUACCCGGAUCUNNNNNNNNNNNNNNNNNNNNNNNNNNNNNNNNNNNNNNNNNNNNNNNNNNNNNNNNNNNNNNNNNNNNNNNNNNNNNNNNNNNNNNNNNNNNNNNNNNNNGAGCAAAGGAGGAUUACCUUGAUCAAGUACUUGGAGUGCCACUAGAUUCGCAUACAAUGAUUGAAGACCAUCACAGAUGGAUUCAGUAAAAAGCUUGUCGAGGUGGUUUUGGUUUUGUUUCGAAGGUACUCUGAGUGACAGCAUAAAAGUUGCAGUAAAACGCCUUGAUGGUUUUGGAUAGGUUAGGAAAUCCUUUCUAGUCGAAGUUGAGACUAUUGAUAGCAUCCAUCACGUGAACUUGGUAAGACUCAUCAGAUUUUGCACUGAGAAAUUCCAUAGGCUCCUCAUCUAUGACUACAUAUCGAAUGGGUCUCUAGAUAGAUGGAUCUUUCACAAAUCCAAUGAAUGUGUUCUCUACUAGGGGUGUGCAAAAUACCCGGGAACCGCCUAGAACCGGACCGGAACCACCCGAAACCGGCGGUUCUUGAGGGAACUGGUCCGGUUCCUGGUUCCUAUUUAUGGGAACUAGUGGGUACCAGUCCAGUUCCCGGUUCCGUGGGCGAAUUUGCCUGCCCGCCCACCUGGACCAAACCGGAACCUUUUUAAUAUUAAAAAAAAAUUACUAAAAGAAACCCUACGUCUUGAGUCUCAUCUCUUCGUCUUCGGCUCUCUCUCUCUCUCUCUCUGUCUCUUCCUCAGUCUCUUCGUCUUCGAUUCCUCCCUGAGCGUUGACGCCGUCGUCGUCGCUCCUCCUCCGCCGCUGUCUGCCCCCUCGCAUCAGUCGCCACCCGCCACAGCCACUGCUCCUCCACCUCUGCUAUCCGCCCCCUCGCUGUUGUUCGCCCCCUUACUUAGUCUCUUCAUCUUCGAUUCCUCCUCGAGCGUCAACACCGCCAACACUGCUGUCCACUCCCUCGCGUCGAUCGCCACCAGCCAUAGCCGCUACUCCUCCGCCUCUACUGUCCAUCUUGACUGAGCCCCUUUUUCCAUCACUCAACAAGGUACGGUCAUCGGCUUCUAGCUUGCCUCUCGAUUCAUCGUCCGCUUGCGAACUUGUACUUCGAUUCGAUUACCCAAUAGGUCGGAACGUAGUGAAGUUCGAGUCUUUGUUUUGGGAAUCGAUCGCUAUUCAUCUUGGUGCUUUGUCUUCAACAGUGCUCAUGCUUGAAUUUACAGAAUCCUAGGUUGCUUUUCCCUUUUGUUGUGUUUUUUGAUUUUUUUUGUAUGUCUGAUCAUUGGUAAAUUCUAUGCUCAGGGUCUGAGAAGGAGAUAAAGUUUUGAGCUUUUUUAAUUUUUAAUUUUUUUUUUCAAUUUUGUUCUUCUUCCUUCUGGGUUAGGAAACUCACUUCACCUCCUAAAUUUGACUGUACUGCUAGGUUGAACUACCCUUUAGAUAUAUGGUGUGGAGGGAUGGGAUGAUAAAUUGAAGGGCUCUGUUUUUGUUAUCAUUACUCCUUUUUCAUAUGUUAUGCUCGAUUUUAUCAGUUUUGGCUUAUGUGAUUUGCGUGUUUGCAGAUAAUAUACUUGGCAAUAGUUGGAGGAACUUAUUUCAUUGUGGCAAAAUCAUGCUUCAGCUAUAUUCCUGGAUAUUAUUUAAGUGGAAUUCAUAGGUACUGUUUGAAAGGAUUUAUACAAUUUCUGUUAUGAGUCAAUUUGCUGGUGUGAUCAAGGACAAACACUUGGUUUGAUAGCCCAAUCAUCUUGUGGUGGGAAAUAUUUUUGGCUGUUGGCAGAGAAAUGGGAAGUCACCAUUUCACCUCAGAAGGCUAUUAGCUACAUUCAACUCUUUUCUGGAAGAUGCUUUUCUUUUCAUUUUUGAUGGCCCUUUGCGAAUUUAGAUUCACUUGAGUUGUUGUUAUAAGUAGUUUUCUGUGCCUGAUACUAAUGCAUGGCAAGUGGGUUGACAAUUGAUAGUUGUGUGUGUUUUUUAUGAGCAAGAUAUAUACUGCUACAUCGGUGUAGUUUCAGGGACUUAUGUGGCCACAUGAGAGUUUUGAUUGUCCUCGAUGAUGUGAAAAAUGUUUGUCAUGUCAAGAAACUCAUCGGAGAUAUCUUUGGUUGCUUUGGAUAUGGAAGUACGAUCCUUGUAACCUUGUCUAAUAUUCUCUACUUGAUGAGUUUGUUCCACGUACUUAAAUUUGGUUUUUCUUUCUUCGGCUUGCUUUGAUGUCACGUAGUUGUUUUAUGUUGAAAACCAAAAUUAUUUCGCGUCAAGAUUGGUUCACAGAUGGAUCCAUGCAACAAACGGGUAGAUCCCAAUUCCAAUUUUUCGAAACCGGUCCUUAGCAAGCGGUUCCUAAUUUUAGGUUGGGAACCGCCCGCCCGGACCAUGCAUACCCUUAUUCUCUACUGGCAACAAAUGAAGAAGAUCAUUCUUGAUAUAGUGAAAGGACUAAAUUAUCUUCAUGAAGAUUGCGGACAGAAGAUAUUUCACCUAAACAUUGAAUCCCCAAAUAUCCACUUGGAUGGAAAUUUCAAUGCUAAGGUUGCUGAUUUUGGAUUAUUCAAGUUGAUAGACAAAGACCAAAGCCAUGCCAUCACAACCAUGAGAGAAACUCUCAGUUAUGUGGCCCUCGAGUGGUGGAGUAAAGCAAUCACUGAAAAGAUCGGCGUAUAUAGUUUUGGCAUAGUAAACUUAUAGAUAGUGCAUAGGAGAAAAAUCUUGGAUCGCUCUUUAGAAGAAGAAGACAUGCAUUUACUGAGCCUUUUUAAAAGAAGGUAAAAGAGGAACACUUAUUAGACAUUAUGGAUAAGUCUAGCGAUGACGUGCAACUAAAUGGACCAACGGCGGUGAAUAUGAUGAGUAUUGUUGCAUGGUGCUUGCAAGGAGACUAUACAAAGAGGUCCUCCACGUCUAUGGUCAUCAAGGUGCUAAAGGGCAUCAUAGAAGUUCCAGGGGACCUGGAUUACGACUUCACUACUCAGGCUUCCACCAAUUAAGAAGCAAGAUUCAGUUGAAUGGAUGUCGAAUUCAAUGAUGCCUCUACAUUACUACCCUCAAUCCUAAGUGGUCCAUGAUAACGCUACAAAGUCGUAAGAACUUUUCUUCCCAAUAUGUCAAGUGGUAGAACAGGUGAUUGAAUUUUUCAAACUAUGAGGACUCCAUCUUGUCAUUCUCUUUUUAGGCCCAAAAAAAGGCCUUUGGCAUGAUAUCACUUCUCAUUUUCACUUUGCCAAUGAGUGGACUCCACCAUACUUUGCAAAGGAUUGAGUUGGUUACGGCAUUGCAAUUCGGUUUUAUUGCUUACGUGGAAAUUAGUUGUGCUCAAGCUUGUUGUGUGCUAGUCUAGGGAAAAGGGGAACUUGCCGAACCAUUUGUGCAAAAAGCUGUUAAAAGACUAGUCAACUGCCGAUAAUUUCUUUUGGUAGCUUUGCCAUAUUGUGGAUGUCGCGACCCAAUCUCGCCGCCCCUCGAAAAGUAUCCAAGGAGGGGAAAGGUCGGAUUUAGGGGUAUUUGAUCUCGAGAUCGCGAGCUCUCCCAAGCUCGUACCCCGCGUGACAGUAGGUUUAUUAUGCGAUCUAGUUGUUUAUAACAACCUAAAAAAAAUAGGCAGGAGUCGCUACUAGCCUUAUUUUGGGGGUCGGCUAGAAACCCAAUCGAGGGUCGGGAGUAUUCCCUCGAUUCCUACGUAACCAGAUAUCUACGUUCGGGGACUUGGGUUACGCUAAUUUUGCUAUUAACGCCCUUUCGGUACCUAAACAGUAUGUUGUGUUUUUUCUAACAUAUUCAUGCAUUUCUUUUUAUGUUUUCAGGAUCGUCAAUUCUAUACUAAAUGAUCAUGCGUGGUGAAUUACUUUCAUUAUAUUCUACUCUAUUCUAUUCUUAAGAAAUGAAAGGAAAACAUUCAAUGAAAAUUAAAUUGCAAUUCUAAAGAAUAUAAAAGAGAAAACAAUUGAGAAAGAAAGGAAACCCGCAACUCGUCGGGCUUUAUACAAUGCAUGGAACCCGAGACAUGUGUCGGGAAAAAUGAGCAUUACAUGAUAACGGUCGGAGUGGACAUCGACCUCCACCAUCUUUACGCAUUACGCCUUCUCCAUCCCUGUCCUAAUCUAAACCUAAUCUAAGAAACAAGGAUCCCUUGCCUCAUCUUAUAUGACUAAGACAACGCAUAGAAAUCAUUAUUAUAACGAAUAGACAUAGGCAUCAGACAUGAAUAUGAAUCUAGCAAAUUCAAGUCACAAACAGGACAAAAUGCGAGGCAUGCUUAAAGGUUCGUAAAAUCAUCUAGACAAUGUACAAAAAUGUGAAACUUGCACAUGACAUAAGGUUGAAUGCGAAAAAAGGUUUGGGUAAACAUUUAACCCUAAAUCAGAAUGCAAAGAAGUCACACAAGUCAUUAAUAUUGCAAAGUGACUUGGAACUAAGAAUGUUAUGCUUGACAAUUUUCAAUUGCAAUUAGCCAAAUGGGUGCAUGAUAUUCGCAUCAAACAAGGUUCAAAUAUGAUGUCCCAUGCAUUAAUGCGAAACUUGUAACACGUGUUUCAAAUGUCAAGAAGACAAUGACGCAUGAUUUGGCCCUUAAAACAAAGAACCAGCAAAAUCAAUACACAAAGAAACAACAAAAACAGCACCUCAAUGACACGACUAAACAAUUUCACACACCAGGACAUAUGAACAGCAGGUAAAGAAAUAUCGAUACUAAAGAACAACAUAACUCUCGACAUCUUUACAAACAAAAACACAGAGUUUGGAUCGGUAGAACACAAAUAAGCUAUUGGGCAAAGUGAUUAGUGUUGGAAAUUGGUUUGAUGGUGGAUAUCUAAUAUUAAUUAUCAAACAACAGAUUUUUUCUAUAAAAAAAAAAAGAACAAUAGAGCAAGACCAUCCCACACGUGAUUUACUUUUUUUGGUAUUAUCAACCUUAAAAUAUAUGCUCAAAAGAUCGUAGGAAAGUGGCAGACAAUCAGGUCCACCCAAAAACAGAAUAUGCAUUUCUGACCAAGGCAAAUUCCAGAUUUCAGAAUGGAUUAGAAAAAAAAAGUUAAACAUGGCAAAUGAUGGUUGAUUCAGGCAUGCAAUAUGUCAUUUUAAAGCUUGAGAUGCCUAUUACAAUUAUCUAGAAGACAUUAAGUCCUAAUAACAUCAUCUACCAGCUCAUUUCGAGGACCGAAGCAUAUCAGUCAAAAUAGGCAUACGAAUUUCCACAUCAGAGCAGAACAGAACAAUUUUCCAGAAUUACUUCCUAACUUUUAAAGAAGAUUUCAUGUGGCUAAUGAUAUCGGAUCAGGGUUAUAGCUCGUUGGAAAGCUAGUCGAACCAUCUUCAACUCUCAUGAAGGCAUCAAACACAGAAAACCACAGCAACCAGCUCGUAUCAGGUCAUUUGUACAAAAGGUCAUCCAAAACAGAGAACCAAUCAGAACAGCAAAAUUUCAAACAAAGUCAGGGAUAUUCUGGACAUAUUCAACCUGGGUAAAUGAUAUUCAAUUAUCACGAAAUUUUUAUUUGAUAUAGAUUGGAACCUAAUGAACAACUUUCAUUUAGACAUCAACUUUAGAAUCUAAUCACAAAAAAUCAUGUGAAAAUGGCAAACAACACAAGUCAUUAAAGUAGUGCAUGAAAACAGAACACUUAAUCAUUUACAAAUUGUAAAUUGUAGCUCCGUUUGUAACAAUUGUCGAUUCUAGUAAAUGAUGACCAAAUCCAAAAGCUCACGGCAUUCAUUACAAAUUAUUAAGAAAGAAGCAAGCCUCGAGCACAGUACAAAAAGACAGCAAGACUCGAGCACAGCAAAGACUAUGAACAUGCGUUUAGCUUAGGCAUUUCAUCGAACGCUAAAUAGGCGCAAGAAAAACAAGGAGCACCGAGACUGAGCUUGAGUAGGGAUUUAAAAACAAUCAACAUUUAAGACCUCACAAUCCCAGCAUGCACAUGGAUAAAACCAAAACUCACAUGAACAGGACAACGGCGACUUGGUCUAAUGACUCCAAAACUAAGCACAAAGAAGAGACAAAAUAAGGCAAUCGGUCAAGGGUUCCAACCUGGCUCGUGGCACCAGGCAGGAGAUAAGAUCCGAGAAAUCGUCCAGAGAGCGAGCCUCCGAUCAAGAGAGUUACUAAUCUCCGAAAGCGAUCCUCAACCAGUCGGAACAGAGAGAAUUUCCGAUCCUGAUGAAGCUAGAUCCGGGCGAGAGCGAUUGAGUGUCCGUAAGAAAAAGAGAAUUCGAGCAGGAAAGAGAAUUCCCGAGCGAAAGAGUCAGCUUGAGUCCUAGAGAACGUGUGGGAUCUGGAGAGCGUCCUCGAGAGAGAGAAACCGUUCGGCCGUUUUUCCUCCGAGAGAGUCUGAGCCGAGAGCGUUCGUCCGUUUUGUCACAGUCGCGACUGCACUGACCGACAUAGGAAAUUUAGCUGCGGCUGUCACCGAUCGGGGAUGGGAAUACACCGAGCGUGAAGAUGAUCAGCAUAGCGAGGCCAACGACCGCUUCAAGCUCUUCAUCUUCGAAGCCAGAAACAUCACCGACGAUUUCUUCUCAUUCUCCAUCUUCUCCGACUCUAUCUAUCCAGAAGCACGAACCUUCGAGCGGCGGAACUCCCGACGGAAGAAACGAAAACCGAUCGUGAGUGGAGAUCAACUCCGGAUCUUAGUACCGGAAACGACAAGCCAAAGCAAUGGUAGAAACGGAGGAUGCGACGGUUGGUGACCGGAUUGCGGUAGCGGCGGCGCGCGAAUCGAAUCUCCGCCGCGAUGGGAAGAACUUGAAGAUUUGGGAUCGGAGUCGAGUGCAGAGAAAGAGAGAAAGCUUGACGAUGGAGGAUCCUCGAUCUAGGGUUUUCUUGGUGUGGUGGAGGAGACCGGAAAGAAAUCGAGAUCGAAAGAGAGAAAACCAGAAAAGCCCGCGUCCCCGAGCCUCCCCCAGAGAUCUUCCGUUCGAGCCUUUUAGAGAGAGAGAGAGCGUGAGAGAGCGAGAGAAAACCGUUUGAGAGCGAGAGAAAAAGAGAGCCCCUUUUCUAUUAUUUUUUUUCUUUCUUUUAUUUUUUUUUCUCUCCUUUUUCUUUUUCGUUUUCCUUAUUUCUUAUUUUUUUUCUCUUUUCAUUUCAUUUCAUUUUUUUUCUUUUUGUUUUCUUUUUAUUUAUUUAUUUAUUUUUGGCUCUUUAUUUUUUUAUAUUUUUGCAAAAUGGAUGAUUAAAAUGUCGACGAAAAUUUCCGGUGUCAACAGUGGAUCCAAAUGAGAUUUGCCUUUUGGUUCCAACACCUAAUAUCUUUUAGAUUCAAUGACUCUACCUUCCAUGUCUUCUUCAUUUCAACAUUAGUGGGCUAUUUUUAGUCUGUUCUACGAGCACACGGCUAGAACCGAUAAAGAUAACAAGAGAAUUUCAUCACUAAUGAGUUUGGAUUUUUCCUAUCGACUCUUGAUAUAUCCUAGGUCAAUAAUCUUAACUUACAACUUCUUAAAGAUCCAUUGAGGUUGUCUUGGGACAUAUUUUCGCCAAAAAUAAAGAGCCAAGAUUUUUGGGUAUGCAAGAUUCAACUUUGUGAUCUUUAGAUAAUACCAAUAAUUCUCAAUAACCUCAGAUUUUCCACAUUCAUUAAUCAACAUUGAUCCAAGCAUAUAGAUUCAUCAAAUUCAAUAGAGGAUAGAAAGCUUGUUCGGGUCUUAUUUGGUCCCUGGAACUGCUCACACAAUUAACAAAAGUUCAAGCGAUCUAACGCCCCCCCCCCCNNNNNNNNNNNNNNNNNNNNNNNNNNNNNNNNNNNNNNNNNNNNNNNNNNNNNNNNNNNNNNNNNNNNNNNNNNNNNNNNNNNNNNNNNNNNNNNNNNNNGAAAUUCGGUUAACCAAUCUUAGAAAACAUGAUAAAAUUAAAUGCAAAGAAAUAUGAUUGAGAAAGUAACCAAGUUAAUUUCUAAGUAGGAAAAAAAAUGACGAGGUUGAUUUUAUUUUUAAUAAAGAAAUGGACGGGGAGGGGGGAUCAUCAGGUGGCUCUUCUGUUAAUUGUAAUGUGUAUUGUGCGCCAUAUUCAUGUAUGGCGAAGGUAAGGGUAUAUUUUCAAACUUGAACUAAUAUUUGAUAUCAAUCAAUUUUAUUUUAAUUUAUAGUCAUUUUAAUGAAUGUCUUGAGUACUUGUUAAAUAUUUUUAUGAAGAGAAUCUUCAAUCUCCGAUGUGUCAUUGAGUAUAUUAUGAUGACAAUCAAUGUAUUGGGAGUCACCAUAUUUUUUUAUUUAAUUGCUUAAUAAGUGUUUUUGAGGUACUUUCUUAGUAAAUCUUUUUUAUGUCAAGUCCUUAUGCUCUUUAAAAAGAAAAAAAUUCUAAAUCUUUGACUAUACCAGCGAAAGGUAUUUUUUUUCGAAUACAAGAGGAAAGAAGAAGAAAGAUAGGCGAAUGCGUCACGCAUGUGUAGGCGCCGCAAAGGGAAGAUUAGGAUAAACACCUCUAAUCGGACCGGUUGCUUUUGGCCUUUCUUUUUUUUUUUUUUCUUUUUUUUUGCGUUUGGGUAAAGACGCGUACUUCGUUUCUUGUUUGACGGGUUGCAAGUCUCUUCAUCCAACCCAAACCACCAAAAAGAAACAAUUAAAAAAAUUAAAGGAAGAUUGCAAGUCUCUUCUUGAUGCUCGACAUGCGUAUCACGCUGGAAUGCAUUCCAUUCACUUUAUUGAGAGAACUUCCUGUGCAAUUUUCCUGUUUCGCUUUCAUCUUGACUCAAAGUCGCCAGUCUAUUAUUUGCAUCGUCUUCCCUCCUCUCUUCCAUUUCUCAAUCAUCCUCUGCUCAGAGUUUCACUGCAGGCCAUGGUUUUACUCUGCAGUCGCCCUUCUUUCUUCCUUUCCUUUUCCUUCGUUUUGCUAUCGCCAUUCUCAAACUUCAUUGCUCAAGCUCGAGAUUAUGAUCAUCCAACCGCCACGCUUUCAAGACAGUGGACGAAUAACGCAACAGCUAAUAACUACACCCCAUAUAGUGAUGGAUCAGUUGUGCAGAAAAUUCUAUUCCGAGGCACAGGAGUUACCGCCGGCUACUCCUGCGGCUUCUAUUGCAAAGGUAACUGCACCUCUUACCUCUUUGCUGUUCUAAUCUUCCCAGUUGUCAAUGUUUAUAAUAGGGGACUGGACGAAAGUCCACGAGUAGUGUGGUCUGCCAAUCGAAACAAUCCCAUAAAGAUUGGCGCGACAUUGGAGCUCACGCCUGAAGGCGAUUUGGUGUUGAAAGAUGCUAAUGGUACGGUUGCUUGGUCCACAAACACUUCUGCAAAGUCCGUUGUAGGCCUGGACUUGACAGAUUUGGGGAACCUCGUAUUGUUUGAUAAGGACAAUGCGACAGUUUGGCAGUCCUUUGAUCACCCAACCGAUUCACUCGUCCUCGGACAAAAGUUGAGGCAUGGGCAAAGAUUGACACAGAGUAUUUCCGAGACAAAUUGGACCGUUGACGAUAUGAUUACGUUUUCCGUGAAUGGCGAUGGUUUAUCUGCUCAAGUGGAGACUAAUCCUCCUCAAAUCUAUUUCAACUGCAAAGCUUACACUUGGGAUACAAGUAUCAAGAUUUCAUAUGUUGAACUUGAAAAUGGAAGCUUGUCUUGGUUCUCAAAUUCUACCUCGUAUGGGACCUUGUUUUCAAUCCCUUCAGCAUCUUCAACACAACACAUGACGCUAGGCUCAGAUGGGCAUUUGAGAGUGUAUGACUCUGAGGGGGUAGAAGUGGGCGAUCUUUUCAAAGGGUAUGUCGAUGACUGUGCCUAUCCGACGGUGUGUGGGCAAUAUGGAAUUUGUUCCAAUGGGCAAUGUAGUUGUCCGGCUUCAAGUGGGGGCACGAGCUACUUCCAGCCAGUAGAUGCUAGGCAGCCUCAGCUUGGGUGUUUCGAGAAUGGUCCGUUGUCUUGUGGGGCUUCACAACAACAAAGUCUUCUGGAGCAAGAAAAUAUCGCGUAUUUUAGUUUGACUCCAAAUCUCGAGCAUAUAGAUGCUUCAAGUUGUAAAGAGGCUUGUGCAAGGAAUUGUUCAUGCAAAGCAGCUAUAUUUCGAUAUGAAUCGAAUCGCACUAACGGCAGUUGUUACUUACCAACUCAGGUAUUUUCACUUAUGAACAUUGAUGAGGCAACAAGUCCUUAUAAUUCUACUGCUUUCCUCAAAGUACAAAAUUUGACCAAUGAAGCUCCUUAUACUCCAGUUGACAAUCCUAUGAGCAACCGUCUCCCCGUAAUACUUGGGUCCAGCCUUGGAGCUCUCUUUGCCAUGAUGAUUUUGAUUGUAGCCAUAGUUUUGUUUGUUCAAAAGAGAGAUGAUAAUCAAGCAGAGGAGGAUUACCUUGAUCAUGUACCUGGAAUGCCCACUAGAUUCGCAUAUGACGAUCUAAAAACCAUCACAAACGGAUUUGAUAGAAAGCUUGGCGAAGGCGGUUUUGGUUAUGUUUUUGAAGGUACUCUAAGGGAUGGCACAAAGGUUGCAGUAAAACGCCUUGAUGGUUUUGGGCAAGUUAAGAAAUCCUUUCUAGCCGAAGUUGAGACUAUUGGCAGCAUCCAUCACAUGAACUUGGUAAGACUCGUGGGAUUUUGCGCUGAGAAAUCCCACAGGCUCCUUAUCUAUGAGUACAUGUCGAAUGGGUCUUUAGAUAGAUGGAUCUUUCACAAAUCCAAUGAAUGUGUUCUCGACUGGCAACAAAGGAAGAAGAUCAUUCUCGAUAUAGCAAAAGGACUUAAUUAUCUUCAUGAAGAUUGUAGACAGAAGAUAGUUCACUUAGACAUUAAAUCCCAAAAUAUCCUUUUGGAUGAAACUUUCAAUGCUAAGGUUGCUGAUUUUGGGUUAUCCAAGUUAAUAGACAAGGACCAAAGCCAAAUCGUCACAACCAUGAGAGGAACUCCUGGUUAUCUGGCCCCCGAAUGGCUAAGUGCAGCAAUCACCGAAAAGGUCGACGUGUAUAGCUUUGGCGUGGUUAUCUUGGAGAUAUUGUGUGGGAGAAAAUCUUCGAUCUCUCAAUGAAGAAGACAUGUAUUUACUGAGCCUUUUUAAGAGAAAGGCAAAAGAGGAACAAUUGCUGGACAUUGUGGAUAAGUCUAGUGAUGACAUGCAACUAAAUGGAUCGAAUGCAAUGAAUAUGAUGAGGAUUGUCGCAUGGUGCUUGCAAGGAGACUAUAUAAAGAGGCCUCCCAUGUCCAUGGUCAUCAAGGCAUUACAGGGCAUCGUGAAAGUUCAAGAAGACUUGGAUUAUGACUUCUCUGCUCAACCUUCCAGUAGUGGAGAAGUGAGAUUCGAUCCCAUGGAUGUCGAAUUUAAUGCUACCGCUACAUUACUACCCUCAAUCCUAAGUGGUCCACGAUGACGCAUCAAAUUUAGAAUAACUUUUCUUCCCAAUAUGUCAAGUGGUAGAACAUGUGCACGAUUGAAUUUUUCGGUCCGUGAGGACUCCGACUUGUCAUUCUUUUUUUCAGGCCAAGGAAAAAGCCUGUGGCAUGAUAUCAUUUCUUGUUUUUACUUUUGCCAAAAGGAUUGAAUAGGUUAGGAUUUUGCAAUUGGGUUUUAUUGCUUAUGUAGAAACUGUCGUGCUCAAGUUUAUUGUGUGCUAGCCUAGGGAAAAAGCUGCUAGUAAUGUCUUUUGGUAACUUUACCAAAUCAUGGAUCCAAAUUUGAUUUGCUUUUUGGUUCCAACACCUAAUAUCCUUCGGGUUUAAUGACUACCUUCUAUGUCUUCCUCAUUUCAAGCUUAAUGGGCUAUUUUUAGUUUGUUUUGCCAGCGCACAAUUAAAACCGAUAAAGAUAAUAAGAGAAUUUCAUCGUUGGUAAUUUUGGAUUUUUCCUAGUGACUCUUAAUGUAUACUUGAUUAAUAAUAUUAAUUUCCAACUUCUUAAGGAUCUGUCGAGGUUGUUCCAAGGCAUAUGUUUGCCAAAGAUAGAGAAUCAGGAUGUUUGGGCAUUCAAGAUUCAAUUUUCCAUCUUAAAAAAACACUGGUCAUUCUCAAUAACCUCGGCUUUUCCACUGUCUUUAAUCAUCAUGAUCCAAGCAUGCUGAGAUGCUUGUCCGGGUUUUAUUUGGUCUCGGAACUGCUCGCACAAUUAAUGAAAGUUCAAAGCUAUCUGGCCCGCUGCCAUGCCAUGGCACCUCUCGAUUGGAUCUUCUCGUGGCAGGUCAACAAACCAGAGCCCACGUGGAGCUCAUCCAUUGGCCCGAGCUACGUGUAACCUCUUGCAAAUUGCUCCCUCUUCCCUGCACAAACUCACUAGCGACGGAACUUCUUCGCUCGGAGUCGCGAUGGUAAGUUAUCACGAAUCGCACAGAGAAACGAUAAUCAGUACAUAAUAUCCCCAAAACGUAAAAGACAAGACAAGAAAACCAAUGCGAUUAUGAAAAUAAAAAAGAUACGCACGUAGAAAGAAGGCUGAGAGGAAGAAAGAAGAUGACAAACGGUACAUGACUUCCCGAGACAUCUCGAGCAUAACAUAAGACCGUUUGCAAUGCAAAAGCAGCAGAAAUACAGCAUAUUCAAUAUCAAUAAACAGUGAUCCAUUUCUUUCUUUACAGUAGCCCAAACUGGAUCCAGCUCAUAAACGAGGAGUUAACUCUUUUUUCAGAGUGUCAGCUCGCCAUGCGAAAAUACAAGAGUGUAAAGAGACGCGGCAGCAUUCUUUUCUUCGCUUGUUUCCCCCUAAAAGAUGUCAAGGUAGUCUCCAUAUAACUAUGAAGCUCAAAGUAAGAGACAAUUACGUAAUGCUGUAACAUUUUCUUCCCGAUAGUUCAUGCAACAGAUANNNNNNNNNNNNNNNNNNNNNNNNNNNNNNNNNNNNNNNNNNNNNNNNNNNNNNNNNNNNNNNNNNNNNNNNNNNNNNNNNNNNNNNNNNNNNNNNNNNNGGUUGAGGGCUAAGCCCUCGCUACCGUCACCUCCUCGCCGUCGCCGGGAAGGGUCAGUGAAGGUGGGGGGAGGGUUGACUAGGGUCGUCGGUGUGGCAUCCCAAAAUUCAAGUCACCCUCUAGAGGAAUUAAAGCCUAUAAUUAGGUAAUGAAAUUACCUAUGGUCUAUGUGUUAGCCAUUAGUUUUCUUAAGGCUAUGUGUUAAUGUGCUUGUGUUUAUGAGAUUUUAAAUUUGAUAGAUUAAUGAUAAUAAUCUAUGCUUGACCAUGCACCUUAUAGAUUAAAUUCCUAUAAAUAAAAUGUCACAAGACUUUGGCCAUGUGGAAUUUAAAAUUUAAAAUUUGUAGAAGAAAUUAUAAAAGGAGAAAAUUUAAUUUUUUAUUUAAGUUGGGCCUUAGGCCCAUUGGCCUAAGCCUUAGUGGGCCAAGCUGGUCGGCCCAAUUAGGCCCGCGAAAGGGGGCUGUCGCCGGCCCAAAAAGAGACCCAAGAAAAAGAAAGCCCAAGCCCAUGCUUGUGUUGUGACAAGUGGCAAGAGGAGAUGGCAUGCAUUGGCCAAUUGAAAGGCAAACUAAUCAUUGCAAAUGAUUAGGAAAUGGGGGAAUAAAAGGGAAGAGGAGAGAGAGAGGUGGCCGGUUGAGCUACCGCCCAAAGAGAGAGAGAGAUUGUGCGAGAGAGAGGGAGAGUGAGGCCGAGAGGGAGGAGAAGCCAAGAGGAAGGAGUCGCCGCCCGUUCGCCGCCGUGUGCUGCCAUGUUCGCCGCCAUGUGCCGCCGUUUGUGUGGUCUAGAGGCAAGUUGGGAAUCCACUUUCUACUCUUGCACCAAUGUUUUGCAUGUAUGGUCGGAAUCUAGGAUGUUUGGAGGCAUGGGAGUGAAGCAAGUGUGGUUUGUUCUUGAGUUGCAUGCUGUUUUCGCAUGAACAGUUUGAGUCAGAACUUUGUGAGAGCUUGCAUGCAUGUUUUGAGUUCGAUUUUGAUUUUGAUUUCUUCAUGAAAGUUGUAUAUAACAUCUUAAACUAUAACAUAAUAAAAUUUGGUGUAAAAUGAUGGAGAUUUGAGGGGUAAAACUCUCAUCCUACGGAGACAUCAGAUCUGGAACUAUUUCACUGACCUUUCGGUGGAUUUGUGGUUGCAUGUUGAUUUUUACUAAGAAUAUCUCUUCGAUUUCUUCUUUAAAGUUGCAGGGGGAAUCUUAAAAUACAACAUACUCAAAUUUGAAGUAAAAUGAACAAGUAUAACCUAGUAAAUCGACUCACUCUUGAAGACGGUAAAUCUGGAGACGUGGUACAGGACACCCGAGACUUCAUGGACCCAAAUGAUGACUAUACUCUAGAUAUUUGACUUAGAUCCCUUCAUGAAACUUGUAUAGAAAAUCUUGAAGUAAAACAUAUCCAAAUUUCAGAGGAAACGAAGAAUAAUAGGUAGGUGAAGACUCAGUAUUUCGGAGAAGCAUGCACUGGACAUUUCGAUGUUAUAUCCAGAAGCUUCGUGUGACUGUAGAAAAUAAUAUAAAAAUAAUUUGGCCUAGAAGUCUCCAUGAAAAAUAUACCUUAGUGUCUUGGCAAUAACCUGGUAAAAUUUCGUAAUUUUCGGAGAUCGUUUGGAUAUUUUAAUUAAAUUAUUUCGGAAACUGUGCAUUCUGUUUUUAUCCGAAGUUGUAUGCUGUGAUGGUGUGAAUGAUAUCUUUUGUGUGGAAUAUUAUUGGCCAUGUGUCUUUCAUAAAACCAUUAUCUUAUUGUCUUGGUUAUCACAUGCUUUAAUUUCAUGAUUUUUGGGAAUCAUAUGGAUAUUUAAUUUAAAUAUUUUUAAAAAUGGUACAAGCUGGAAUUUAAAUAAAUUCCAAAAAGGCAUAAUAAAUGGAUUAUUCUAAAUUGUAUGAAUUCCAUAAACUUUAUUUUUCAUCCUGUGGCAUGUAUAAUGAUGGCUAAUGAUGCAUGUAUGAAUCAAAGCAUGAAAGUGAUCUUGUUUGCCAUUGCAUCAUGUGCCGUGCUGAGUUGAGACAUAAAUUGGUAACCAUGAAUAAAAGAGAUAAAUGAGGAGACUGUUGUGGUAGAUGAUAAUGCCCUGGGAGUGUCAAGAUGUCCGGGAUGGGGGGUGCCGAAAGCCGGAUUGUAUUGAGAUACAAGGCCGGAUUGUCCUCGGGAGUUUCGAGAUGCCCGGGAAAUGGGGGUGCUGGAAGCCCUGGAGGUUUGUGCCCAGGGGGAUGCCUCGUGACGCCAGUUGGGGUGCGAGAUGCCCGGCCAGGGAGUGUAAAUGCCGGAAGCCUCGGAGGUUUUUGCCCGAGGGAUGCCUCGUGAUGCCAGUUGGGAUGCGAGAUGCCCGGAAUAUGGGGGUUCGGAUGCCCGGUGGUGUAUGCCGGAGGUUUAUCUUGUGAUGCCAGAUGUGGCGAUCGAAUUGAAAGAUAAAAGUGAAAAUGAUGGCAUGCAUAUAUGAUGUGAAGAUGAUAACCUAUGGCAUGAUGGCAUGCAUAUAUGAUGUGAAGAUGAUAACCUAUGGCAUGAUGGCAUGCAUAUAUGAUGUGAAGAUGAUAACCUAUGGCAUGAUGACAUGCAUAUGUGGUGUGAAGAUGAUAGCCUAUGGCAUGAUGACAUGCAUAUAUAUAGGAUAUGAUGAUGAGAUGUGCAUGGAUGCAUGGUAACUAUGCAUGAUGAUAUGCAUGUAUGAGAUGAUAUGAUGAUGAUCACUUAUGGCAUGAUGAUAUGCAUGUAUGAGAUGAUAUGAUGAUGAUCACUUAUGGCAUUAUGAUAUGACAUGAUAUGAUAUGAUGAUGAAGAUGUAUGAUGGUAUAUGCAUGGCUUCAAGGUAAGUACGCAUGGAUGCAUGAAUGGCAUGUAUGAUGUUGUGAUUGUAUUGUAUGAUGCAUUGAGUGGCUAUCGGAUUCUUUUACCUGCUGAGUGGUUGUACUCACCCCUUUGGGGACCAACAUUUCAAAUUAGCAGCAUGCCGCUCCCUGCUGUCACGCAGGGUGUGUUUUACGGUCUACCAUCCAAUGUAGAGGUCAAGUGCGAGGAGUUUGGCUGUCCCUCUGUUCCUGGAUUGACAUAUAUUCGAGUGCGCUGUUUAGUCAUGUACGAUGUAGGCCUGACUGGGGGCCCUGUUGUCCAGGAGUUCAUAUCCGUCCACAUUCGUCGCGACGGUGUGAUGCGUGGGAUGUUGCCGCCGCCACCGCCUGAUGCACCGGGUUGGGUGUGAGGGCCCGUGCGUGAUGAGUAGGAGCUGGAUCUUUUUGGGGAUAGUUAGUCGACACUGAUGAUGGGGAUUUAGCACGUGAGUUGUAGCGGGUCGAGGGUUUCUUUUUGGGGUUUUAGGCCGGGCGUGGCUGAGUCCUGGCUUUUCCUUUUGAUGUACCAACCCAAGAAAUCCCAUCUUGGAGAUAUGUAAAUAAAGUGUCAUGGCUUGUCUUUUAAUCAUGAUGAUUAGUGGUGUGUAUUUGUAUCAUGGUUGAUGGAGGGGGAGAUGGCGAUGUUUUAUUUUGCUUCCGCUAAUGAGUCACGCUGGGACCGCUUUAAAAAAAAAUGUCUAUGAAUUACGACGUUUCUUCUAAAUAAAUGUAAUAAGGUGUAACGUUGGUGUCUGUGGCGACCUGCGAAGGGUUCGGGGUGCCACAGUCGGGCCCUGGCCACGGGCCAGCAACCCUUGCUAAUCGGUGGUGAGGGCCCACGAGCCCUCGCCCCAAAUCUGGGUGAGGGUCGCGACCUUCACCAGAUCUGGCGAGGGUCGCCAACCCUCGUUGGAUUUGGGGGAGGGCCGUGACCCUUAGCCUGGCCGUGUGAGGGCUGUGACCCUUGCCCAAAUCUGGGGCGAGAGCUCACAAGCCCUCGCUACCUGUCGGCCAGGGUUGUCAGCCCUUUGCUAGGGCCGGGUGACCCUGGCCGACCCUCCCCCCAUUGUCGCCGGCCCUUCUAGUGGCGGCGAGCAAGCAGUGGCGGUGAUGAGGACUCAGCCCUCAGUCGCCUUCUUUCUCUCUUGGCCUUUUUUUUUUUUGGAAAUAUUUGUAUUUGUAUUUUUAAAUGAUUUAAAUAAAUUUAGUUUUAAAUUUAAAUUUAAUUUUUUACCACGUCAAUAGCAAAAUGACAUCGUUUUUGCAUUGUCUAGCCAUGUCAGUGUGCAAAAUGACACCGUUUUGCACAUGCUUCGCCAAAAAAUCGUCACGUUAGCAUUUUGGCCGGAUUUUUUUGCCGUUGGCACUUAAGUGAUCAAUUUUGUUCUGAUUUUAGCACUUAAGUGAUCAUCUGAUUUUAGCACUUAAGUGAUCAUCUGAUUUUAGCACUUAAGUGAUCCAUUUUGUUCUGAUUUUGGCACUUAGGUGUCACUUUCCUAACUUUUGGCACUUAAGUGUCCCUACGUGCCAAGUUUUGGCACUUGAGGUGUACUUCUUCCCACUCUUCCUAUCACAACUCACUAGCGAUGGAAGUAUUGAGAUAGCUAGUAUAAGCACCUAGAGGAGGGUGAAUAGGUGCAAAAACAAUUUCUCGUGAUAUGUGAGCAAUAUUAGACAAUGAGAAUGAAGCUCGCCUUUUUGAUAUCACAAGUAAUUAUGAUCAAAGUAAAACNNNNNNNNNNNNNNNNNNNNNNNNNNNNNNNNNNNNNNNNNNNNNNNNNNNNNNNNNNNNNNNNNNNNNNNNNNNNNNNNNNNNNNNNNNNNNNNNNNNNNNNNNNNNNNNNNNNNNNNNNNNNNNNNNNNNNNNNNNNNNNNNNNNNNNNNNNNNNNNNNNNNNNNNNNNNNNNNNNNNNNNNNNNNNNNNNNNNNNNNNNNNNNNNNNNNNNNNNNNNNNNNNNNNNNNNNNNNNNNNNNNNNNNNNNNNNNNNNNNNNNNNNNNNNNNNNNNNNNNNNNNNNNNNNNNNNNNNNNNNNNNNNNNNNNNNNNNNNNNNNNNNNNNNNNNNNNNNNNNNNNNNNNNNNNNNNNNNNNNNNNNNNNNNNNNNNNNNNNNNNNNNNNNNNNNNNNNNNNNNNNNNNNNNNNNNNNNNCCAUCAAUCAUGUUCGCCCAUACAAUCAGGAUCUCGGUUUCCAUAAGUAGAACCUUCCAAGUAUACUUCACCAAUCAUCAGAUCCUUAAUCAAUCUUGAUUUGAGUAAAGGAUUCCGUUAUGUCAUAUCCAGCCAAGAGAUCUUCGUCAGUCGAUAAGAUCAAAUUCUUAACGAAACAUCCAGUCCUGGAUAGACCUUCUUCGACAAACUAGAAACUAUUAAUGAUGAUAGACUUUGAGUCUUGAGUCUGGUAGUUCGAAGGUCUUCAGACUUUAAAUAGUAGAGUCUGCAAAUCUUCAGACUAAACUGAUGGAAACGUUUUGUCAGCUUCAAAAUACUUCAUGAAGAUUUCUCCAACAAUCUCCCCCUUUUGAUGGUGACAAAACUUUCCUGCAGAUUUAAAUAACUUUGACCUACAAAACAUUACUCAAACAAAUAUGGAUAUCUUAUAAAGAUAAAUGGCUUACUAGAAUCUGCAACCAUAGAAAAUAAGUUAGUCUUUCAUGAGAGUAAAGCCAUUCAUAAGAUAUCAGUAGUACUUAAUAUGAGCAGUCAAAUCCAAAUCCCAAAUUCAGUCCACAUCCAGACACAAGUCAAGUCAAAACAUCAAACAUCAAAACAAAUUAAAAGUUCAACAAGUUCAAGAUCAAAGUUUUAAAAUCUCGCAUCUCUCCCCCUUUUUGUCAUCAGAAAAAAGGUUGAGAUGGAAAUAGAGUCAAGAUUGCUUGGGAACACGAACAAGCUGGAAAUCUCCCAUAGACUGAGCGAUGCCUUCUAGCUUUUUCAAUUCUUCUUUCAGUUGAGCUACAUCUUCACCCUUAGCAUUUGCUUGAAUCUGAAGAGCAAGGGCUUGGAUCUGAUCAUUCACAGAAACUGAAGAAGCUUGGCUUGCAGUCUGUAAAUUCUGUACUUCGUAACCCAAAGCAUAUAUCUGACCCCGCAACUCCAAGAGAACAUCGAGAAUUCUGCGAAAAUCUGCUGAAUUAUCAGUCUGCGUACUGGCUUCUGCUCGAUCAGAUGGAGUAAAGGCAGAUGAUGGCAAAUCAGCAUAGUUAUGCGGAUUGGGCGAUGAAACACCAUGUCCCUCCUCAGGAAAUUGAGAGGCAUAAACGUCCUCUGGAUCUGCUGGAGAGCGACUGACUUCUUCACUGGUAGCCGGAUAUGAGGACAUAUCUCUUUUCUCACAAUCUCCCCCUAUUUCCAUGCCUUCAGGUGGAGAAGAGUGUUCCUCAUACUCUCCUUCCUCUUGAUCUCCUUUCUCUCCUUUCUCUUCUUCUUCUGCUUCAAUUCUUUCCUCCUCAGCAUCUCUUUCUUAUGCUUCUCUCUCCUCUGUUUCUUUUUCCUCUGCUUCUUCUCGUUCUUCAGUCCUCUAUUAUGAGUCUUUCUCUUGAUGUUCCGUUGAUUCUGGAGCAGAACGACUCAAGUUCUUCAAGGCCAUAGCAGAAAUGGUGAUAUCAUCCUCAUCAUCUUCAUCCUCAACGAUGAGAGCUUUUCUUUUCUUGGAUGAAGCAACCAUGGGCUCCUUCCCUUUUCUUUUUGCUGCAGAAGAGAUUUGAUGAGGCUUGGCAGGAGUUGACUCCUUGAAUUUCUCCAACGUCUUGUUUAGUUCCUUCAGACGCAUUUUAGACACCAUUUUCAAUCCUACCACCAUGUGAUCACACGAUCGAACACAGAGAAUUCGUGGAGGCUGAAUAUUCAAAUGUCUGAAUAACUUUAUCACAAGAGCUGGAUAAGGAAGUUGACCCAUGUCCUUCACCACUGCUCUAUACAUGUGGAACAAAAUAGUGUGAGGAAGAGAAAACUUUUUCCCUGCAUUGAUGGCGUACAUCAGCUUUGCCUCUGAAUUGGAAACAUCAGUUUUUGAAGUAGACUUUGGCCUGAGGCAAUUAAUCACAAUCUUGUGAAGCAGAAUGUUGAACACACGUAUCCUUAAGUAGGAAAUCCUUCCCUCUGUCCUUCUAUCUUUAACAAGUUCCAAUGUGGUGCAACAGACACAUUGAUAGGUUGAUAUCUCCCUCUCUCAACCCUAAUCACAUCAGCCAACAUGUCUACAUCCACCACAUAAUCCUGAUCUCGAACACUAAACGAAAAUCUGUUCGCGUCCAGGAAACUGAGAUUUGAAUAGAAGUAUGCAGUGAGUUCAGCAUAGGCUUCUAUAGGUUCAGAACAAAAUUGCUCAAGUUGAAGAAGACUGAAUUUUUCCCUCAAAUUGACGUUCACAGAGUCAAGGAAAUCAAAGUCUACACUUCUAGGGUUUAUCACCCCACGCUUCAACAACUUAGUGUAAAGAUUCUUGUGUUCUUCCGAAUGGAACAAUUCUAUCCUUUUGCUCCGAAUACUUGCUGCAACACCCAUUCUCGGUUGAAAUUGACUGUACAACUUGUCAUCAUCAUUUUCGUCUAGCUGAUUCACUCCUCCAACACGCGGAUCACUUGGGAUGUUUGCAAGGGUUUCUUCUGCCAACCCUUUAGGGGCAAUUCUCAAACGCUCCAUAUUUUUUAAAAAGAUGUACUCAUUACCAUGCCCUUUGUCCUUGAGAAACUCAUCGAUGUAGUUCAAUGGAGUACCGGUCUUCUUUAAAGCACGAUAAAGCUUAUAAAUAAAGGAGGGCUUUUGAAUUCUUACAGGAUCUGCGCCUUCAACGAUUUCUUCCUCUUCUCUAUGACCAACAUCCUGUGGGCUAGACAGUGGAGAAUGACGCGGCUGAGAAUGUUGUGGGCUCUGCUGCUAACUGGGAGUCUCUUCUUCCUCGGUGAGAUCAAAGUGAGUAGGCCCCUCACUCAUUCUCUGCGGUCCCCUGCUUGCGAUUCUCGAAGACUUCCUUUGAGACGACAUCUUUCACAGUUUUCGGAAGAUUCCAAACUUGUUUUUCCCAAGAAAGAUGACAACUUUUUGAAGAUUAAACAAGAGAAGAAGACGCAAGUGGAAGAUCGAUGCCUUUUAGGGUUUUGGAGUAAGACGAAGAAGAACCGUUCGUAUAUAGGACAGUCGAAGAGAGGCAUCCGAAGCGUCAUAAAAGAAAGUAAAAAGAUGCCUUUUAAAAAUAACUGCCUUUUUCAAAAAUUAGAUAACUACCAUUUAAGACUAACUUCAUUUUCGAAAAAGAAAGAUAGCGAUAAUCACGGAAAUAGCAAAAAUCAAUUAUGGACAGAUAAUCGUACCUUUUCGAAAUUUAUUCUGAGAGAAAGAAUAACUUACAGUAAAGAAAACUCGAUUGACUGAGUCUGAGAGUCUCUAGACUUUAACCUCUUCAGACUUCAAGAUGUUGAGUCUGGAACGAAUAACUUCAAAUUGAUUUUUCUCCAAAGGCUUUGUAAAUAUAUCCACCAGUUGGUUCUUUGAGUCAACAAACUGAAUCGAAACUUCUCCAUUUUGAACAUGAUCUCUGAUGAAGUGAUGUCGAAUCUCUAUAUGCUUUGCUCUUGAGUGAAGAAUUGGAUUCUUGGUCAGAUUGAUUGCGCUGGUGUUGUCACACUUAAUCUCCGUGCAUGAAUCUUCAAUUCCAAAGUCUCUUAGCUGUUGUUUUAUCCACAUAAUUUGUGAGCAGCAACUUCCAAGAGCUACAUACUCUGCUUCUGCUGUAGAAAGAGCUACUAUAUUUUGCUUUCUUGAAAACCAAGACACUGUCCUACUUCCAAGUAGUUGACAAGUACCCGAGGUGCUCUUUCUAUCAACUCUGCAACCGGCUAGGUCUGCGUCUGAGUAUCCAAGAAGAGUAAAGUCUCCAUUUUUAGGAUACCAAAGACCAAGACUUGAAGUUGAAGCAAUGUAUUUGAUAAUACGCUUUGCAGCACUUAGAUGAGAUUCUUUAGGGUCUGCUUGAAAUCUAGCACAAAUACAAACACUAAACAAAAUGUCAGGUUUAGAAGCAGUAAAAUAAAGAAGUGAACCAAUGAUACUCCUGUAUAGCUUCUGGUCAACUUUCUUUCCUCCUUCAUCUUUGUCUAUCUUCAAAGAACUUGACAUUGGUAUGUCAGUCUUUUUGCAAUUUUCUAGUCCAAACUUUUUGACAAGAUCAUUAGCAUAUUUUUCUUGAUGAACAAAAGUUCCUUCCUUCAACUGUUUCACUUGAAGCCCGAGAAGAAGGUUAGCUCACCCAUCAUGCUCAUUUCAACUUCGUCCUGCAUAGACUUAGAGAAUUUCUUGCACAAACUUUCAUUAGAGGAUCCAAAAAUAAUAUCAUCUACAUAUAUUUGAACAAGUAGAAAACUUUUGUUUUCUCUUUUAAUAAAAAGAGUAGUGUCUACUUUACCUUUUACAAAUCUGUUUUGAAUUAAAAACUUACUCAACCUAUCGUACCAAGCUCAAGGUGCGUGUUUUAAACCAUAUAAUGUCUUUUUCAGUCUGAAUACUGAGUCUGGUUUCCUUGGGUCUUCAAACCCAGGUGAUUGUUCCACAUAGACUUCCUCAUGAAUGAAUCCAUUCAGGAAAGCGCUUUUGAUGUCCAUUUGGAAUAACCUGAAAUUUUUAUAACAGGCAAAAGCAAGUAAUAAUCGGAUUGCUUCUAACCUUGCUGCUGGUGCGUAAGUCUUGUCAUAGUCUAUCCCUUCUUCUUGCGUAUAUCCCUUGGCCACGAGUCUUGCUUUGUUUCUUACGACUUUUCCUUUCUCGUUCAUUUUGUUCCUGAAAACCCAUUUAGCUCUAAUAACAGAUUUACCUUUUGGUUUAGGAAUUAAUUCCCAGACAUCAUUAAUACUGAAUUGUCUGAGCUCUUCUUACAUAGCUUCAAUCCAGCUUUCAUCAGACAAAGCUUCUUCUAUGCUUUUGGGUUUUAUUUCAGAGACAAGAGCCACAGCACUAGACUCUUCGCGCCUUUUGGAUCUUGUGCGAAUUCCUUCUUUAAUGUCGCCAAUAAUGAGAUCUUUGGGAUGAUUGGACUUAUGCUUCCAGUUGCUGGUUGAAUUAUCAGGUUGAUGAUCACUUCCUUCAUUUGAAUCUUUAACAAUCAUUUGUUGCCGAUAUUUAGAAGUCUGAGCUGCUUCUUGAGAUUUAGACCUUGUAGAGUCUGGAGCAGGUUCAGAUUCUUCAAGAUGAGUCUGAAUAGAUUCAUUUUGCAUGGAAUCUUGAAAUCUGACAUUCAUUGAUUCUUCCACAGAUUGAGUCUUUUUGUUGUAGACUAUGUAGGCUUUGCUUGAGGUUGAAUAUCCAAGGAAGAUGCAUUCAUCUGACUUUUCUUCAAACUUGCCAACUCGAUCAUUUGCAUUUUUUAAUAUAAAGCAUUUACAUCCAAAUACAUGAAAAUAUGAAAUAAUAGGCUUCUUUUCUUUGAAUAGCUCAUAGGGGGUUUUUUCUAGAAUAGGCCUUAGAAAAACUCUAUUAAUAAUGUAACAUGCUGUAGAAACUGCUUCGGCCCAAAAACGUGAAGAAAUAUUACUUUCAAUUAAAAGAGUUCUAACCAUUUCUUGAAGCGACCUAUUCUUUCUUUCCACAACUCCGUUUUGCUCUGGAGUAUAUGGAGAGGAAAACACAUGCUGAAAACCAGAUUUUAUCACAGAAUUUUGUAAAAUCUUGAUUUUCAAAUUCACCUCCAUGAUCUGUUUUUAUGCUUGAAAUAACAUACCAUUUUUCAUUUUGAACCUUUUUAGCGAAUUUUUCAAAGUAAGAAAAGGUUUCAGACUUACUUGCCAGAAAAUAUACCCAAGUAAAUUGUAACUAGUCAUCCACAAUUACUAGGCAAUAUUUCUUACCUCUAAUACUCUGAGUUCUAGUUGGUCCAAAGAGAUCCAUAUGCAGAAGCUGCAGUACACGAUUAGUGGAAACUUGAUUUAUUGGUUUAAAGGAAUUUCUUACCUGUUUUCCCAAUAUGCAUGGUGUACAUAGAUCAGACUUUUGGUAUGACAGAUUGGGUAAACCACGAACAAGCUUUUUUGUUGAAAUUUUGGCUAUCUGCUUCAUAUUAACGUGCCCAAGCUUUCUGUGCCAUAGGUUUGCUUCGUCUUGAAUUGAGAUCAGACAUUGCGAUUCAUCUGGUUUCACAUCCAAGAGGUAGAUAUUUCCAUGUCUUCGACCCAUGAAUGACUGAGUAUAAUCUUUACUAGUUCCUGAACAUAUUCCUUCUUGAAAACUGAUUUUGAAACUGGUAUCGCAUAGCUGACUGAUACUGAGUAAAUUGUAGUUAAGUCAUUCCACUAAGGAAACAUUGCUGAUUGUGAGGUUUCCAAUCUUUACAGUUCCAAAUCCCACAAUUCUUCCUUUGCUAUUUCCUCCAAAUGAGACUUUUCCACCAUUUACUUGAACAAGCUUUAUGAAGCAAUUUGAAUCUCCUGUCAUAUGUCUUGAGCAUGCACUAUCCAGAUACCAUUUUACCUUUUUCUUGAUAGUGACCUGCAUUUAGAAAAGAGACUCAAGCUUUCUUUGGUACCCAUAUUUUCUUGGGUCCAUUUGUGUUAGUAUGAUAUGCAGUUUUAGCCCAUACUUUCUUAACAGGUUUCCAAACCAUAGGACAUUCUUUCUCAAAAUGAUCUAAACUAUUGCACUUAGAACAUCUGAGAGCAUUACGACCUACUGGUUUUACAAAAACCUUUUUGAAAUGAUUUUUGUAAGCAUCCCUUGAGGGUCUUUGCUUAAUUCUUUCCUUCACUUUAGGAAAAUCAAUUAAAUGAAUGGUUUUUGCUGUUAUUCCCAAACCAGAUUUAUUGAAAUAAGGUCUUUGUACUGAAAGAAUUUUCUCAAGUUUCUCAGAUCCUAUUGAAAAUCUUUUUGAAAUAUUUGAUAUGUCCUUUUUUAGAAAUUCAUUUUCUUUUAGAAGAUUAUCUUCACUUUCUUUAAGAGAAGAAACAUUUGUGUCUAAACAUUUAAUCUUUUCUUUCAAAACAUUUUCCUAUUGUUUCAAUGCAGAAUUAUCCUUUUUGAGUUUAGAAAUCCUUUUAAGAGAAGUCUUAAGACUAAAACAUAACUCAUCAAUGUAUUUAGAAACUUUAACAGGGAUUUUGAAGUUACUCACCUCGAAUUCACUGUCUGAAUCUGAGUCUGUCUCAAAGUUUGAAUCUGAAUCCGAUUGUGCCAUUAAACAUAUAUUGGCAUAAUCAUCAUCACUUUCUUCACACUCUGUAUCACUCCAGGUCUCUGCUUUGAGAGCCUUUCGAUACUUUUUAGCUUUUCCUUUCUUCUUCCUCAGAAGCGGACAGUUGGGUCUGAUGUGUCCCUUUUUCUUACAUUCAAAGCAGACUACAUCUUUGUUUGAUUCAUCAUCCUCAACAGACUUAGUCUGUUGGUUUUGAAAACUUUGUUUCUUUGGAUUGAAUCUUCUUCCUUUUCUGUUUAGCUUUCUGAAUCUUCUUAUCAUGAGAGCAAGCUCCUCAUCAUCCAUAUCAUCUUCAAAAUCUUCAAAAUCAUCAUUGGAUUUUAAUGUAAUGGAUUUCUUACCUUUAGGAUCUUCGUCUUCAUUGAUUCGCUCCACUUCAUAAGACUGAAGAGUCCCAACCAACUCAUCGACAGAUAGUGGCAUGAUUCUUUGUGUCUCUCUUAUUGAGGUCUUUAUGUGAUUCCAACCUUGGAGAGUCCAUGCAGUAGCUUGUUUACCUUCAUGGGAUCAUAAAUUGGUUGACCUUGAUUUUCAAGACCAUUCACGAUUUCUGUAAAACGACUAAACAUGUCAAUUAUAGAUUCUCCCGAUUUCAUUUUGAAGGCUUCGUAUUGACCGAGGAGAAUGUUGAUUCUGGUCUCUUUCAAUCGAUCUGUUCCUUCAUAGGUAAUAUGUAAUCUAUCCCAGACUUCUUUCGCUGUAACACAAGAAGAUAUUAUGUUAUAUUCAGUAGGUGACAAAGCACAAUAUAAAGAAUAAAUUGCUUUUGUAUCAAGAGCUUGUCUCUUGAUUAUCUCUUCCUGAGUCAUUUCACUAGACUCAACAGCUUCUUUUCCUCUCUUUGAGACAGGUGCAGCUUUAGGAAUAAUUCCCUUUUUUACAACGUCCCAGUCCAGAGGAUCCUUUGACCUUAGAAACGCCUUCAUUUUGUUUUUCCAUAUGUUGUAUUCUUUUCCAUCAAAGUAAGGUGGUUUGGUAUUGCUUUGCCCUUCUACCAACCCUGGAGCUAACAUACUAGCCAUGGAUCUUUAACUCUGAAGUAAAACACUUCAAACAAAGUGAGUACACAAGCUCUGAUACCAAUUGAGAUAGCUAGUAUAAGCACCUAGAGGGGGUGAAUAGGUGCAAAAACAAUUUCUCGUGAUAUGUGAGCAAUAUUAGACAAUGAAAAUGAGGCUCGCCUUUUUGAUAUCACAAGUAAUUAUGAUCAAAGUAAAAGAGAGUAGGGAAGAGAAAAUGAACACAAGGUUUAUAGUGGUUCGGCUUAUUUCAAGCCUAUGUCCACUCUUCCGCAUUGACAGCCCACCGCUGGAUUUCACUAUGAACAAAAGAGAUUUUACGGCAAUGUUCUCCCUUGAUUCCACAGUGUAGAUAUUCUACAACACUUCCUCAAGGUUUCUCACGAAUAUAGACUCUCUUUUGCAUACAAGAUUUCGCUCAGCAAAUGAAUUGACUAAGAACAAGGAGCUUCAGACUUUGGAAUUCUUCUAUUGUACACACCCUCGAACAACUGGAACGUCUUCCUUUUAUACUCCUUUAUGCCAUCAUACCCGUUGGCACUUACCAAAGGAAUUCCUCAAAUCUACCCGUUGGACAGAAUCAAUUAGGAAAAUCAUUCGAGUUAUUUAAGAAACAUGUCGAUAGCCCAUCAAUCAUGUUCGCCCAUACAAUCAGGAUCUCGGUUUCCAUAAGUAGAACAUUCCAAGUAUACUUCACCAAUCAUCAGAUCCUUAAUCAAUCUUGAUUUGAGUAAAGGAUUCCGUUAUGUCAUAUCCAGCCAAGAGAUCUUCAUCAGUUGAUAAGAUCAAAUCCUUAACGAAACAUCCAGUCCUAGAUAGACCUUCUUCGACAAACUAGAAACUGUCAAUGAGGAUAGACUUUGAGUCUUGAGUCUGGUAGUCCGGAGGUCUUCAGACUUUAAAUAGUAGAGUCUACAAAUCUUCAGACUAGACUGAUGGAAACGUUUUGUCAACUUCAAAACACUUCAUGAAGAUUUCUCCAACAAGUAUUUCUAUUUGUACUUCUUUCCACUCUUCCUAUCACAACUCACUAGCGAUGGAAGUAUUUCUUUUUAUUCUUCCAAUUCUGUGCUGUGUGCCUUUUGCCUUCUCCUCUUCUUGAAGUCUCCGAAUCGGAGUCACCAUAGUAAGUUAUCGCAAAUCACGUAGAGAAAGGAUAAUCUCGCGAUGAAUCUGUCUAUCUUCUCCUCGACCAUGGAAGGCAUUGCGUGGUGAGGAUGGAUCUACACGUUGUGCAUCCUGCACUUCGUGUUCGCUUGCCAGUUCCUUCACCUUCAGCCUCUCGUCUCUACCUUAGGUACAUCAUUCUAGAUAGGGGUGAGCAUCGAUCUAGGGUCAAUCUUGAACCAGCCCUAAACCGGCCCAACCCUGCUGAUCCUAAUCCGUUUCCCAGUGACAUUGGAUUGGUCUUUGGUCUUGGGAUUCCUAGACCAGCACUGUACGGGUUGGUCAUCGGUUCUGGGAGUUUAAAAUUGGUCCAACCCGAACCAACCCUAACUCUAUAUAUAUUGUAUAUCUAAUAUAUUAUUUAUAAUUUUUUAUGAAGAAAAAACCCUAAAAUAAACGGUGUCAAUAAUAUUAAACAGCUCAUUAGUGAGGAGUUCAAGUAAUUUUACACCGUUCUUUAAUAACUUAUAUUUUUAAUGCCUUUUACGGCGUCAAUAACCAUAAUUUACAAAGGAGAAAAACAUUUUUAUAAGGAAUCCUUAUGGCGUCCAAAAUGGUAUAAAAAGCUUCUCACAGCAUCUUCCUUUAGUACUUGUUCUCUUCUAUUUUAUAUGUUCUCUUAGUCUUCAAUUUGCUAAAAUCAAAAGAAACAGCUUCUCUACUUGCCACUUGACACUCGUUUUGCUCGCUUUGUGUCACUCAUGCUGCUCGUCGCUUGAUGCUCAACAAGCUUGUUGCUCUCCGCUCUUUGCUCAAUGCUCACCCCACUCGACGCUCGCCGCUCGCCUCUCUUAGCUAACCUCGCUUGUCACCAAGCCCAUUGGAUCAGUUCGGUCUCCGGUCGCCUUUUCAGGAAAUACAAUACUAAAAAUGAAAUUAAAACUUAUUGGUUGGUCCAGGGUUAACCUUGGAAUUAGACCGAACUCAUUAGGUCGGUCCGGUUAUCGAUCGUCUUUUUAGGGAGUACAAAAAAUGAACUAAAAAAAUUAUUGGUCUUGGGUUGACCUUGGAACCAGAUUGAAUCCACUAGGUCGGUCCGAUCCUCGGUCUAGAGCUCAAUAAGGUUGGUUCUUGAUACUAAAAAUUGAGAAUCAGUAUUGUGCGGAUUGUUCUUAGGGUUAGGGGGUGGACCGGCUUAACUCAGAUCAUGCUCACUCCUAAUUCUGGAUUAGAUCUAUGAACUCAUUGCCUGAUGGAGACUUUGAGAGGUUACAGUGUGCUUUAAAGCUUGAGCAACUGGUUUUCUAUUUGAGUAAUUUAUUGAUCAUCGUGGCCAUUGAUUUUGCAUAGAGACACCGAAAAGAGAAUGUUAGAUGAAGAAAAUUAGAAUGAAUAGUACUAGCUGUGUUAAUCCAUGCAUUUUCAUUUUUGCCAUCAUAUUACCGAUUUGGAAGAAAAUUAGCUGUCCUUGUCCCCCCUUCUUUCAAUCUUCAUUGUAGCGUCAAUUGACCCAGAAUGUUCAGUUUAAACAUUGCAUGACAUCUAAAUCGAUCAUUGCAUAACGCAAUCCUAUUGAAAUGUUAAAUCCCCCCCCCCCCCACAUAGAAACCUUCCCGGUAUCAAUAAUUUGCUAUCCUGACUACAGCUUAAAGAUAGAGCCAGAGAGAGAGAGAGAGAGAGAGAGAGAGAGAGUUUUUGUCCGGACAGACGGUGAUUAUACCAGAUGGGCGCCUUGCAAAGAUGACUUCAAAAAAUAUGAGAAAAUUUGUUGCCCUGCCUAGACGUUAUCGUAUUUUGCUGUUUUGGAUAGGUAUCCAAAUACUUUUCUUGCUUUUUGAUAAGUAAGUGAAUUUGAUUAGAAUAAACUGCGAAAAAAAUAAAAUUAGCUUAGAUUAAAUUCAAUAUGUAACAUGACUCAUGCUCUUUAUCGAGUAAAAAAUUGUAUGGAUUUUCACUAUUUUUCGUAAGAGAAAAGUUAAAAAUAAUUUGUAUAACCAUCAAUAAAAUAAUAAUUGACAUUAUUAUAUUAGAGAAUUCAAUUAACUAACCUUAGAAAAUGCAAUAAAUGCUAAGAAAAAGAAGGUAGCAAAGUUAAUUUCUGAGCAAGAAAAAAAAUCAUGAGUCAAUUUUUUUAUUUUUUGAAAAAAAAAAUAAAAAGGGAAGGGCGAUUGCCGAGUGGCCCUCCCCACUCUAUCAAUUGUGAUGUGUCUUGUAUGGGUACCAUGUACAUAUAUGGCAAAGGUAAGGAUGUAUUUUCUAGCUACAACUCGUAUUUGAUAUCAAUGAACUAUAUCCUGAUUAUGGACAGUUUAAUGAAUUGUUAAAUAUUAUUUUAUUGAGGGGAUCUUUGAUCUUCGGUGUAUCAUUGGGUAUGUAAUGAUGAUAAUCAACGUAUUGAGAAUCGCAAUAUAUUCUUAUUUAGUUGCUUAGGAAUUGUUUUUGAGACACUUUUAAAAUAAAUAUUUUUGAUAUUACACUUUACUGCCCCAAGUAGAAUAAUUUAGAAUACAAAAGGGCACCCUUCAAAUGAUGCAAAUAUAUUAUUGUCCAAAAAUUGUAAUUGCGAAGCUUGUUCAUAAGGAAAACUCAUUACUGAACAUUUUAUAACAAAGGUUAAUCUUGAAUGCCCUUUAUUCCUGCAAAGAAUUCAUUGUGAUAUUUGUAGAUCAAUGUAACCACCAAGUGGACCGUUUCGAUAUUUUAUGGUAUUAGUGGUGUAGAUGAUCCCAUAAUUGUCUAUUAUCUAUGCACAAUAUCACUUUUACAUGUUUACUUACGCAGAUUAUAAAACUCCGGACACAAUUCACUAAUUAUCCAAUUAAAAGCAUAAGGAUGGAUAAUGCUGGUGAAUUUACAUCAAAGAGUUUUGAUAUCUAUUGUGCUUCAUUCGAAAUCGAGGUUGAGCACCCAGUCGCAUAUGUUCAUAUCCAAAAUGGAUUGGCAGAAUCAUUGAUUAAACAUAUCCAAAUUAUUACCUGAACUCAAUUAGCCAUAAUGAAUCUCAACGAUACAGCAUGGGGUUAUGCAGUUUUGCAUGCGGCAGACCUAAUAAGAUUGCACCCCACAUCUAGUCUUUUACAAUCUCUCAUUCAAAGCAUUCUUGAUUAUGAACCAGACAUUUCACAUUUAUGCACAUUGAUUGUGCAGUAGAGGUGCCUGUAGCACAAAGAACAAAAAUGGGUUCCUAACGCCAUUUGGGCAUUUAUGUUUGUUGGGUUUAAUUCACCAUCCAUCAUUAGGUUCUUAAAACCAACUAUUGGUGAUCUUUUUACUGCCAAAUUCGUCGAUUGUCAUUUCGAUGAGACUAUGUUUUCAUCAAUUAGGACACCUACAACUCCUAUGAUUACAAAACAAAACCAGUUAAGCUUUUCUCCCGGAAUAAGAAAAAUUUAUUUCAAUUAGAUCCAAGGACUCCUAAGUGCAAAAACGAGGUGCAUCGCAUAAUCCAUUUACAGGCUAUAGCCAAUAGACUUCCUGAUACAUUUAAUGACGUUACUAAGAUAACGAAGUCUCAUAUUCCAGCUACAAAUGCUCCAACUAGGAUAGAUGUUGUCGAAGGAUAGGCUAAAAUGGAUCAAACCCCCCCCCCCACUUGAAGCGUGGUAGACCGAUAUGAUCAAAAGAUACUGUUCCUCGAAAACAAAGAUGAAAGAAUCAAGAAUCCGCUCCAGAAGAACCUGGUGUUGUGCUUGCUCCCAAAGAGCUUAUUGCCCCUAAAGAGGCACAAACUCAUGAAAGGAACACCAACCCGAGGAAUACUAAGAAUUCCAUUACAUAUUAUAAUGAGAUUUGUGAUCAAAAUGAAAUUAUCAUCGAUAAUGCUUUUGCAUUCUCAGUUGCUCAUAAAAUUAUGGAUAAUGAUUGUGAAAAAAUGAGCUUACUUUUUGUCAUAGAUAUAGAGUGAUAUAUUAGAAAUAAAAUUUUCUCCUAUGGUUUUCUCUACUAUAUUUGGUAUUUAUCUGCUUUCUUUACUCAAUCUCUCUAUUAUCUCUAUUAUAUAUUUGCAACGCAAUAUUAUACAAUACGACACAGCAUUUUUGUUUUCCUCUUGCAUUUCGUACCUCGUGCCGUAUCAAAUUCGAGUGUUCAUCGAGCGCAGUCUUUGGGUGUUUUUUUUUUUCUUUCUUUCUUUUUUAUAAAUAUUGCUAAGAGGAGAGAAUAAUGAAGGUGGAUGCAUGAAGGGGCAAUAGGAUAAAACCGCCGGUUGCACCGGUUGCUUUUGGCCUUUCUUCUUUUCUUUUUCUAAGUGUUUUGUAUGUAAAGAGAGAUACUUCGUUCCUUGUUUGACGAGUACCAGAUCUCUUCCAAUCCAAACCACCAAAAAAAUUGAAAAUAAAAAUGAGAGUUGCGAGCCUCUUUUUGCUGUUGUUUGACGCGGUAGAAACAAGCGAUGUUUCAUUAGAUAGGCAGUCAGCCUAAUAGGAGAGUUGGGGGUGGGGGGACAGUACGGUAAUGCUAAUCCCAAAUUGAUUUUAUAGUUGGGAUGCAUUUAUUUAAUGAAAAAUAAAUGAUUUGAAAAAUAUUUUCCUAAUAAUAAUUGCUUAUAUUACUUACAUCUUCCACAAGAAUAUUUAUACAUAAAUUGUUGUUGAUAAUGAAAAAUAUUUUUAAUUGACUACUUAUUUCAAGUAAUGUAAACGAUGAAUUUUUAGGGAAUAUUUCCAAAUUAGUCUUUUUUUUUUUUUACGAAAUAAAUAGAACAUUCAUGAGCCUUAAAACUUAUUUUGGGCCGGCUUGCCCCUUUGCAUAAGAUUACAUGCAUUAGUUUGGCUCGAAUUGUGCAGGGCCAUGGAUUAUGAGUCCAAUUAUAACCACUCUAAGAACACUCGACUAAUACACUAUAAAAUUCAAGAGCAAAUUUGUGUGUUUUAAUAGCGUCCGUUCUUCCAUUUGUGGGAAAUUAGUACACAUAUAUUUCAGCAUAGAUUUUUUUCGCAAAAUUGUAUCAUAUUUCAAAUAAAUCUCCCUAUCUAGAAUAAAACAAAGGCAUAAUUCUUAGUUCAAAUGAUGUGUUAAUGUAAAAUAUAAGACUUGAUAACAAUUAGGAAAUUGUUAAUUUUUGUUAUUAUAUGACGUAGGGAGAUUCAUAUGUAAUUAACGAAACUAGUGUAAAUUUGAGAGAAAAUAAUAAAAAUCUUUCAAGGAACUUGACAGGUUGAGUUGAAACAAAAUGUAAGAAUUUUCAACAAUCGCUAAUUUGCAACGUUAAAACUCAUUAAAACUAAUUCCUUUUCCUUUUUGUUGAACAAAACUUGUGUUAUUGAAUGAGGCAAAGUACAAAUUUUGGUUGAAAGAAAAAUGAGUGGAGAGUGCAAAAAAGAAGUCCUUGAAUGGAGAGGGAUCCAUUCCAAUUUAGAGUUAUGGGAUAAUUCCACUAAAAAUUAUAAAUUUCAUACUCCAUGACAUAGUUAUUUAAACUAAUUUUGUUUUACAAAAAAACCCAAACUGCAUACCCUAUGACAAUUCACCCAAAAUUAAUUUUCAUCUCACAUAAAAUCCCAAACUAAUACCUCAUGAUAUAUUUGAUGGUUUUAUUAAUAUUGUGAUGGGCCUAAGUUGGCCUGUCCGCCCAUGUUGGGCCUAAAAGCCUGGCCCACAAAAUUAGGGCCCAUGGAUGGAGGGAUACGUUGAAGAGUUGUAACUUUUGGGGGACGUCUUUUGCUGAAGGGACAUGUCUUUUGGAGAAGACGUAUUUAAGGGGAGAAAAGAAAAAAGAAAAUGCACCUUUUGGACGUACGCGCACUUUUUCUUUUCCCCUCUCCCAAAAACCAAUGUAAGUUUUCUCCCCUUUUGAACCAACAGUAGGCUCCUUGGUAGACCGGGAUCAGAUUCUUCCUCGAUCUUCAGCAUUGGUGUUUAAUAUGUGGUUAACAAGGUACGCUCGAUUACGUGGUGUGCUUUAAGAUUGGUGAUACAUGUUCUUUCUAGGCUUGUCUUCCGCAUUCGUUUCAGGGGUUCAAUUUAGUGUCGAAUCCGGUUUUUUGGGAAUUCGACAAUCCCAACAUUGGUAUCAGAGCCCUAGUUCAUGUUUUCCCGUUCCCUUUCAUGUUUAUGAAUGAUUUACUGAUUGAUUUUUCGUGAAAUUAAUCGGCCGACACCGAUCGGGGAGGAAAAACCCGACACCCGAGCACUGUUCACCCAUUUUUUUCGAUUUUUUGUAAGUCAAAAUUUUUUUUCUAACAGCGUAGGAUCGAAGCCCUGUCGAGACGAGAAAAACGAGUGGCGGAUUGACGACGGGGGCCGUCGGACGCGCCGCCACGCGCGACCGGAACGAGGAGGGGUCGUCAGCGCGUGCAACGCACGCACGAAAGCCUGGCGCAUGCCGCGCACGCGCAGAAGCCUAGCGCGUGCCGCGCACGCGCCAGCUGACUCUGCGUGACGUCAGCCCGCCCAUGUACAUGGCACGUGCCAGUCGGUUUACCCGACUAGCUGACCGAGCUAGCCGGUUCGACCUACCGCCGUUAGGGGUGUGCAUGGUCCGAGCGGGCGGUUCCCGACCUAGAACCAGGAACCGCCCGCUAAGGACCGAUUCCGAAAAAUUGGAUCCGGGAUCCACCCGUUUGUUGCAUGGAUCCACCCGGGAACCAGACCGCCGGUUCGGUCCGGUUCCCGGGUGGAUCCACGGAACCGAUCUUGACGUGAAAAAUCGACUCAAUUGGACACAAAAAAUUCAAGAAUUAGAGAAAUCUCGCUCGGCUAUUCUAUCACCAAAACAGGUAGUGCUAAGAGGGUUCGUGGGGAAGAGUUUCAGUCAUAAAAACCCCUACUCGGCUCGAAGACGGCGGCGCGAAGGCCAGUUAGAGACGAAUCGAACUUCAGUCAGCCGGGAACGAACGGUUUGAACCAAAAGGAAACUCACCGGAAAUGCUGAGGUUUGGGAACGAGAAGUCUUCUGCUCGAGGUCGGCGAUUGGCGUCGAGGAUAGGCGAGCAAUGCUCGACGUCGAUCCACUUCUCCCUCACUGUUGGUGUGGUGGUCGACGCGGAGGCGAGUUGUGGAGUCGCGGGUCACUGCUGGGCGGAGCAGAGGCUAUGGCGAGUGGUAGCCGGUGCGAGGGGGCAAACAACAGCAGUAGCCGGCACGAGGGGGCGAACACGCCGAACAGCAGUCGCGGCCCGCGGGUCACUGCUGGGCGGAGACAAUCACCGAAGAACCGAAGAAGUUGAAGAAGUCGAAGAAGUCGAAGAAGAAGAGAGACAGAGAAGAGAGACAGACAGUCACAGAACAGAAGAACCGAAGAAGUUGAAGACAUUGGACAGAGGAGAGAAGUCUCGGUUAGGGUUUGUUUUAUUUUAGUAAUAUUUUAAUAUUAAGAAGGUUCUGGUCCGGUCUGGGUGGGCGGGCGGGCGGAUCUGCCCAUGGAACCGGGAACCGGACCGGUUCCCUCAAGAACCGUCGUUUCCGAGUGGUUCCGGUCCGGUUCCGGGCGGUCCGGGCAGUUCCCGGGUAUUUUGCACACCCUUAGCCGCCGUGACUCANNNNNNNNNNNNNNNNNNNNNNNNNNNNNNNNNNNNNNNNNNNNNNNNNNNNNNNNNNNNNNNNNNNNNNNNNNNNNNNNNNNNNNNNNNNNNNNNNNNNGCUCUCUCUCCUCCCCUCCCCUCCCCCACGCCACAACCAGCUCCCCUGCCCCCUCAGUUUCUUCCUCACAAUCUUCUCAACUCUUUCGGUCGUCUCAUCGCUGUCGCCUUCGGCCCUUCCUCCUUCGCAGCAGCUGCAGCCUCGCCGCCGGCCCUCCAUCGCAGCCUCGCCUCAGUUUAUGCUCUUUCUCUCGCUGUCGCGGCCUCAUCUCCGCUUCCUCGGCCUCUUCCUCGCCUCACCUCUACCCAUCAUCGUCUUUUUCAACAAUUUCUCUCUCGGACACUCGUGUCGACAAAAGUUGACCAUGUGUCGGAUUUCUCGACCGCGUGUCCGAGCGUAUCGGACACGUCGACAUAUGUCGGACACGACAUGGAAGCCUCAACGUGUCCGUGCCUCAUAGGUUGCGACUCUCUUCUUGUUGUUUGUCAUGGUAGAAAGCGGAGAAUAGGGAUUAGAUAGUUGUUUAUUGCGAUAACAAGGGGGAAGACACCCUGUAGUUAUGCUAAUCACGUGUUGAGUGACUUAAGGCAAUUCAGAUGCUAUUCAUCGAAAGGACAUCACUGCAUUCCAUUCAAUUAUUGAGAGGACUUCCUGUACAAUUUUCCUCUUUUGACUCAAAGUUGACCAUCGCUCUCUUUUGCAUCUUCUUCCUCCUCCUCUUCCUUUUCUCAAUCAUCUCUCUGCUCAGAGUUUCACUACAGAGUCACUAUAGACCAUGGUUUCAUUCUGCAAUCUCCUUUCUUUCUUUCUUUCCGUAUCCUUCAUUUUGCUAUCGUCAUUCUCCAACUUCAUUGACGCUCAAGCUCAUGAUUAUGAUUCAAUUGCCACGCUUUCAACACGGUGGACGAAUAAUGCAACAGCCAAUCACUUCACCCGACAUAUCGAUGGAUCCAUCGUGCAGGCAAUUAUACUCCGAGGCAAAGAAGAAGUUUUGAACCUUACCUAUGCCUGCGGCUUCUACUGUAAUGGUACCUGCAACUCUUCCCUCCUUGUUGUUUGCAUGGUCCGACUUAACGAUAGUGGCUUAAUUUCUGAGUACACCAUUCAACAAAUAGUGUGGUCUGCCAAUUGAAAUAAUCCUGUAAAGAUCAGUGCGACGUUGGAGCUCACGUCUGAAGGCGAUUUGGUGUUGAAAGAUGCCAAUGAUACGAUUGCUUGAUCUACAAUCACUUCUGGAAAGUCCGUGGUAGGCUUGAACUUGACAGAUUUGGAGAACCUCGUGUUGUUUGAUAAGGACAAUGAAACUGUUUGGCAGUCUUUCGAUGAGCCAACCGACUCACUUGUCCUCGGACAAAAGUUGAGGCAGGGACAAAGAUUGAUGGCGAGUGUUUCCAAGACAAAUUGGAACAAUGACUAUAUGAUUUCGCUUUCCAUGGAUGGUGAUCUUUUACGUGCUCAAGUGGAGACUAAUCCUCCUCAAAUAUAUUUUGAGGAUAGAGGUCCAACUUGGAAUGCAAGCAUCGAGUUUCCUUAUGUUGAGUUUGUAAAUGGAAGCUUGUCUUGGAUCUUAGAUUCUACCUCAAAUUAUACGUUUAGAUUAGUCACUCCGGUAUCUUUUGCACAAUACAUGAAGCUGGGCUCGGAUGGGCAUUUAAGAGUGUAUGAUUAUGAUGAGUUCGGGAGGUGGGUAGAAGUGGACGAUCUUUUUGGAUUGGAGGACUGUCUUUGGGCCCGUUUGGUUCGGCUUUUGGGGAAUGCAUUUACCAAAAUGCAAAUACCUUUGGGUGAAUGGGAUUUUCCGAAAUGCAAAUAUCGUUUGGUAAAAUUUGCAUUUGUAAAUUACUUUUAUUAAAUUAAAAAAAAACCAAAAAAAAAUCUAUUUUUCAUUUUUUGAAAUCCGACCACCGGACCGCCGGAUCCGGCGACCGGACCGUCGGAUUUGGUGGCCGGACCGUUGGAUCCGGCGGCCGGAUGGCCGGAUCUGGCCGCCUGGGUCGCGCGACCUCAGGCGACCGUCACCUGGGGUCGCACGACCUCAGGCGACAGUCGCCGGGGUUGCGCUGGCGGCCGGAUGGCCAGAUCUGGCCGCCUGGGGUCGCGCGACCUCAGGCAACGGUCGCCGGGGUCGCGCUGGCGGCCGAAUGGCCAGAUCUAGCCGCCUGGGUCGUGCGACCUCAGGCGGCCGUCGCCUGGGGUCGCGCGACCUAGGCGACGGCCGUGCGCGACCUAGGCGACCGUCGCCUGGGGUCGCUCGACCCCAACAACUGUCGACUGCCUGAGGUCGCGCGAUCCAGGCGGCCGACCCCUGGGUCGCGAGAUCCGGACCUCGCCUGAGGUCCGGCGACCCCAGGCGACGGUCGCCGGGGUCGGGCGACCCUCAGGCGGCGGUCGCCGGCGCGCGCCAUCCCUUCGCCGGUGGUCGUCGGCUUCCGAUCAGCAGCUUGGAGAGGUUGGAGAAGAUAAACAGUAACCGAGCUACUUGCAUUCCCAGGAUGCAACUUGCCAAUGCACCCCAAGAGCUCCAUUGGGCUAAAGGUCUUUAGACUCCUUUGGAGAUGCAAUUGCAUCUUGCCAAAGUCGCGCAAAAAUACGAACCAAACGCAUUUGCAUUUUGCCAAAGGACUUUAGAGUCCAAAUGAGCAUUUGCAAUGCUGAACCAAACAGGCCCUUUAUCCGACGGUGUGUGGGCAAUAUGGAAUUUGUUCCAAUGGGCAAUGUAGUUGUCCGACUUCGAGUGCGGGGACAAGCUAUUUCCAGCUUGUAGAUGAUAGGUAGCCUAAUCUUGGGUGUUCCGAGAAUCUUCCAUUGUCUCGUGGGGCUUCACAACAACAUUUCCUGGAGCUCAAAAAUAUCGUGUAUUUCAAUUUCACUCCAAAUCUCAAGGACAUAGAUGCUUCAAGUUGUAAAGAGGCCUGCGCAAAGAAUUUUUCAUGCAAAGCAGCUAUAUUUCAGUAUGAAUCGAAUCGCACUAAUGGCAGUUGUUACUUACCAACACAGGUUUUUUCACUUAUGAAUGUUGAUGAGAUAAUGAAUUCUACUGCCUACCUUAAAGUACAAAUUAUGGCCACUGAAGCUCCUACUGCUUUGGUUGACAAUCGAACGAGCAACCGUCUCCCUAUAAUACUUGGUUCCAAUCUUGGAGCUCUAUUAGCCAUGAUGAUUUUCAUCGUAGCCAUAGGUUUGUUUGUUCAAAAGAGAGACAAUAAUCAAGCAGAGGAGGAUUACCUUGAUCAAGUACCUGGAAUGCCCACUAGAUUCACAUAUGACGAUCUAAAAACCAUCAUAGAUGAAUUCAGUAAAAAGCUUGGUGAAGGUGGUUUUGGUUCUGUUUUCGAAGGUACUCUAAGUGACGGCACAAAAGUUGCAGUGAAACGCCUUGAUGGUUUUGGGCAGGUUAAGAAAUCCUUUCUAGCUGAAGUUGAGACUAUUGGCAGCAUCCAUCAUGUGAACUUGGUAAGACUCAUGGGAUUUUGUGCUGAGAAAUCCCAUAGGCUCCUUAUUUAUGAGUACAUGUCAAAUGGGUCUCUAGAUAGAUGGAUCUUUUACAAAUCCAAUGAAUGUGUUCUCGACUGGCAACAAAGGAAGAAGAUCAUUCUCGAUAUAGCAAAAGGACUUAAUUAUCUUCAUGAAGAUUACAGACAGAAGAUAGUUCACUUAGACAUCAAACCUCAAAAUAUCCUCUUAGAUGGAAAUUUCAAUGCUAAGGUUGCUGAUUUUGGAUUAUCGAAGUUGAUAGACAAGGACCAAAGCCAAGUCUUCACAACAAUGAGAGGAACUCCUGGUUAUUUGGCCCCCGAAUGGCUGAGUGUAGCAAUCACUGAAAAGGUCGAUGUAUAUAGCUUUGGUGUGGUAAUCUUGGAGAUAGUGUGUGGGAGAAAAAUUUUCAAUCACUCUCGAGAUGAAGAAGACAUGUAUUUAUUGAGCCUUCUUAAGAGAAAGGCAGAAGAGGAACGGUUGCUGGACAUUGUGGAUAAGGCUAGUGAUGACAUGCAACUAAAUGGACCACAUGCGGUGAAUAUGAUGAGGAUUGCCGCAUGGUGCUUGCAAGGAGACUAUAUGAAGAGGCCCUCCAUGUCGAUGGUCAUCAAGGCAUUAGAGGGCAUCAUGGGAGUUCAAGAAGACUUGGAUUAUGACUUCUCUACUCAGCCUUCCACUAGUGGAGUAGUGAGAUUUGGUCAGAUGGACGUCGAAUUCAAUGCUAUUACUGCAUUGCUACCCUCAGUUCUAAGUGGUCCACGAUGAUGUAGCAAAUUUAUAAGAACAUUUCUUCCCAAUAUGUCAAGUGGCAAAACGUGCAUGCGAUUAAAUUUUUCAAACUGUGAGGACUCUAGCUUGUCAUUCUCUUUUCAAGCCCAUAAAAAGGCUUGUGACAUGAUAUUAUUUCUCGUUUUCACUUUGCCAAUUAGUGAACUUUGCUAUAACUUGGCAAAGGAUUGAGUUGGUUAGAAUAUUGCAAUUUGGUUUUAUUGCUUAUGUAGAAAUCGGUCAUGUUCAUGUUUGUUGUGUGCUAGUCUUGGGAAAGGAGGAAACUAUUGAGUCAUUUGUGUAAAAAGCCGCUGCAAGACUAGUCAAUUGCUGGUAAUGUCUUUUGGCAGUUUUACCAGUCAUGGAUGCAAAUCUAAUAUACUUUUGGGUUCCAACACUUGAUAUCCUUAGGAUUUGAUGACUCUACCUUUCAUGACUUGCUCAUUUCAAGGUUAUUGAGUUAUAUUUAGUUUAUUUUGUGAGCGCACGAUUAAAACUAAUAAAGAUGAUGGGAGAAUUCAUCACUAGUGAGUUUGGAUUUUUCCUAACGCCUCCUAAUGUAUCCUAGGUUAAUAAUCUCAACUUCCAGCUUCUUAAGGAUCCGUUGAGGUCGUUUUGAGACAUAUGUUUGUUAAGAAUAAAGAACCAAGAUGUUUGGGCAUUUCAGAUUCGACUCUCCGAUCUUUAGAUAACAUUGAUGAUCCUCAAUAACCUUGGUUUUGCCGCUGACUUUAAUCAUCUUGAUCCAAGCAUGCUGAUCCAUCAAAUUUAACCGGGGAUAAGAAGCUUGUUUGGGUCUUAUCUGGUCCCGGAGCUGCUCGCACAAUUAACGAAAGUUAAAAGCAAUUUGAUGUGGCUCCCCCGGCCAUGCCGUGGCACCUUUUGAUUGGGUCUGGCCACGGCAGACCAACAAACCCGAGCCCACAUGGAGCUUAACCAUAGGCUCGAGCUAUGUGUAACCUCUCGCAAAGUCCUCCUCCCUCUUCCCGGCACAAACUCACUAGUGACGGAACUAUUUCUUCUUCUUCUUCCAACGCCUCCUCUUCUUGAAGUCUCCGAAUCGGAGUCGCCAACUGUAAGUUAUCACGCAUUGCGCGGGGAAUCGAUAAUCUCGCGAUGAAUCUGUCAAUCUUCUCCUCGGCCAUGGAAGGCAUCGCGUGGAGGGGAUGGUUCUACACGGUGUUCAUUCUGCACUUCGUGCUCGCUUGCCAGUUCCUCCUCCUUCAGCCUCUCGUCUCUGCCCUAGGCACGUCGUUCGCUUAGAUCUGCGAACGGGUGCUGGAUGGAUAUUCUUUGAGGGGUUGUGGCGUGCUCUAAUCGUUCGCGUCUCGAGUCGCCAAUUAGAGACUGGCGAUGAAUUGGUGGAUUCUUUUGUAGGGAUCCCGUCGGGAUAUUCGAGACUAGGCAGGUGUUUGUGCAGGAAAGACGAGAUGAGAUGGACUGAAGAAUCUUGAAAUGUCCCUGCUGGAUCAAAACUCUAGUUUCGGAGGGAUACUUUUGGCUUUUACGUGAUGCGUAUGUUGUACGAUUGAUGAAUUAUUGCCAGCGUGGGGACCGGGGAGUUCUAUCUAAUUCCAGUUCAUUCUCGUCCUGAGGGCGGCGGCAUCGUGGGACUUUUCCAUCGGUUGCUUUUGGCCUCUCUUCUUUUCCCUUUUGUAGCGUUACGUAUGCAAAAAGAGAUACUUUGUUCCUUGUUCGACGAGUAGCGAGUCUCUUCCAAUCCAAACCACCAAAAGAAUAUAAAAAUAAAAAUGAGAGUUGCGAACCUCUUUCUGCUGUUUGACAGUGGUAGAAAGAAAGAAGUGAUGUUCUUUUUUUUUGUUGGGGGGUAGAAGACACCAUUCCGAUUUGAGUUUAUAGUUGAGGAGUGUUUAUUUAAUGAAAAAUAUAUGAAUGAUUUGAAAAAUAUUUUCCAAAAAAUAGUUGCUUGUAUUAUUUAUAAAAAUAGAUUAAUGAAAAACAUUUUUAUUUUCCAAGAAAAAAUUUAGACAUAAUUUGUCGUUGAUCCCUUUUUUUAGUGAAUCAAGACAGAAAAAGUUUAAAUAUUAGAAAAGGCCAAGCCACACUAAAAAAAGCCUUUGCUGUUUUAGUUAUGAGUGAAUCGAGGUUUACGUGUAAGAUUUCAACUCAGUGACUAUUUUUUUAUUUCUCUGGAUUCUCUGGAGAGCUAAGCUAUAAAGUAACCUGAUAAUGGAAUCGACAAACUUAUUACAAGUUACAUAGAGUAUAACAAAAGUUCCAAAUGCUGCUCACAAUUUCAUUCCCUGUAAAAUCGGUACAUCUAUUCUCCAUGAGAAGCACAUAGUACGUGUCCCUCCAUUAUUGGCAAAACAACCAUAAAAAAACCCCCCAGCAGAGCCAGGGUGAUCACUAUCUUUCCUUCAAGCGUCUGUGUUUACUAAUACAGAGAGAGAGAGAGAGAGAGAGAGAGAGAGAGAGAGAGAGAGAGAGAGAUUCCCAGAAUGUGGGAGCUUUGUGAACAUGGUCAACUGGACUUACUGGAUAAAAUCAUCGUCAAGCUAAGAGGAAACGCCCCUGAAAGAUUAGUUUAGCCAAAAUCUGAUGAACCGUUAGACCCAUGUUCUGAGAAGUCAUAGCUAGACAAUUGGAUAUAUCCUACAAUCAAGACCCUAUGCAUAUCCAUAGAGGGUGAUAACUAUCUCAUCAUACAACGUCAGGUCCCUUGAUUUUGAAUUAAUGAUCACACGAUGCAAAAGCCUAUUGCUCAUCGGAAACUCAAUUGGAUCUCCCAAGGCCCUCUAAUAGGGAGCAUAACGGGGAAGCAUUAUUCCACUUCUUGUUAAAGGGUUGCUAACUCCCAGUCCUCAGCACUACAGGAGAGUGUCGCCACAAUAAAUGGAACUUCCACAGGAGCGCACGCAAAUCUAAGGACCAGAGCUAGUCAGUAAAAUCUUCAAUACUCAUUGUAAUAGGCUUUCCUUCGAAUAGCAGACAGUAGGAAUGUACAACUAGAACCCUGUGGAAAAGUUGAGUCGAGUUGUGGAGGAGAUCUAUAUUGAGAGGAAAUAGGAAAGUCCUACAAUAAUAAAGAUCAAUUGAUAUCCCAGGAACCAGACGCCAUUGAAAAACAAAAGGAAGCACGGCACCAUAAAGUCUAGAAGAUGGGAUCACACAAUCAAAUUAGGUAGCUUCUUCAACCACCUGAUAAAUCAGAAAAAGGGCCAUCAUCACCAUUUGCAGUUCAGAAUCUAUAUAGCAAAGGCUAUGACUAGGCUAAAAUUAGUCAUCAACAUCUAACUAAACAAAGCCCCUCUAAAAUAACUACCAGAAGACUACAUAACCUGUUUUAUUCUGGAAAAAUGAAGAGAAGGCUACAUAACCUCUUGAGCACCUGUAUUUAUCAACUCAAACAUGACUGAAAAGGGGACUCACAUGAGAAUUUCCCAGAGAGAAGAGAGAGAGAGAGAGACACUCAUGUAGGUGGAUGCCACAGGAUCCGGCCAUCCUUACCUGCAUACGAAGACAUGUCCUUCCAAAUUCUCGAUUUAAUAAAAGUCAAGCAAGACAAAUCAUACCAGCCGUACCCAACAAAACCUGCACAACAGAAACAGGCAAACCUAGUCGAUGAAAGGAUAUUCAAUUUAACUGAAGGUCCCAGUGAUAUCAAGCCAUCAUACUUGCAACAUUAGGGCUGGGAGAUACUAUAAGCCUAGUGUUAGACAUAAAAAUUCAUAUGCAGAAGCCAGGAUCAAUUGAAGACAAACCUCCGGUCAUUGUUCUUGUUCGCAUUCGUAAGAAAAACCUGAAAUCAAAGAAAAUUGGGGACACGCUACUACCCCAAUUCACUCUCGUACUGAUGGUGUAUUCUGAAUGAGAGAGUUUGAGUUAGACCUUGUCAUCACCCGUCAGAAAUGAACGUACGUUCCUUUUAUAUCCCGUCUCCCAUCAAAACGGUUACCAAAUGGGCGGUUGUCACAAAAGGGUACGAAGCGUGGAAAAACUUUAUGUCGAACAGUUGCAACUUUAAGAGAAAAUGUAGGUCUAAAAUGUGGGAUCACAAAAAUAAAUAACAUUCUCCCACUUGAUCCCAUCAUUUUCAUCAUACGGAUUAUUCAACUAAUUCCACAAAAACUUUAUGCUUAAAGAAAAGAAACAAAACACAUGGAUCAUGGCGACAUGUCCUCUAAGAGUGAGUAAUAUCUUCCAUGUAUCACAAUGCACCUUAUUUCUUUAAUGUUAGCCUAUAUGUGACAACAAAUCUUAAUGAAUAAACCCCAUGUUUAUUCCAAAACCAAGGAUAAAUGUUAUUCUCAUAAACAACAAAAUGUGUACACAAAAAUUGAGAAUCAACAUUACAACUGAAUAAGAGUUUCAUACAACAAAAAUCGUUCAUAUGACGACAAAUUACAUGAUGGGACCUAUUCGCAUACUAGUUACAUGAUCCUUAUACUUCAUUGGUGGCAUGCCUUUAGUUAAAGGAUCGGCUAUCAUCAAUUCAGUGCUAACGUGUUCAAUGACCACUUUAUUCUCCUUAACACGUUCCCUUAUGGCUAAAUACUUAAUGUCGAUAUGCUUACUUCGACUGCCACUUUUGGCAUUUUUAGCCAUAAAAACCGCAGCUGAAUUGUCACAAUAUAUUCUUAAUGGCCUAGAAAUUGAAUCAAUAAUUCUAAGCCCAGCAAUGAAACUCUUCAACCAUACACCAUGCGAGGUAGCCUCAAAACAAGAAACGAACUCAGCCUCCAUAGUGGAAGUAGCAGUCAAAGUCUGCUUGGCACUUCUCCAUGACACGGCUCCGUCAGCUAACAUAAAAAUGUAUCCAGAUGUUGAUUUUCGUGAAUCAACGCAGCCCGCGAAGUCCGCAUUCGAAUAACCGAUCACUUCCAGGUUGUCAGUCCGUCUAUACAUAAGCAUAUAGUCUUUGAUACCUUGACGGUAUCUCAUCACUUUCUUUGCAGCUCUCCAGUGGUCUAAACUUGGAUUACUCUGAUAUCUUCCCAACAUUCCCACAACAAAAGCGAUGUCAGGUCGAGUGCAAACCUGAGUAUACAUCAAGCUUCCAACAGCAGAAGCAUAUGGAAUGUUGUACAUUUGUUCCCUUUCUAGAUCGUUCUUCGGGCAUUGGUUCAAAUUGAACCUGUCACCCUUCACAAUGGGUGCUAUACUUGGUGAACAAUCUUUCAUCCAAAAUCUCUCUAGGACCUUAUUGAUAUAGGUUUCUUGAGAUAGUUCUAAAAUGCCUCGAGGUCUAUCUCUAUGGAUCUUAAUGCCAAUGACAUAAGAUGCCUCACCCAUAUCUUUCAUGUCAAAACUCUUAGAGAGAAAUUGUUUCACCUCAUGUAGCAACCCCUUAUCAUUGGUUGCAAGUAGUAUAUCAUCCACAUACAGUACAAGGAAACAACUUUUGCUCCCACUGACUUUCUGGUAUAUACAUUGAUCCAUGACAUUCUCUACAAAACCGAAUGAAGAGAUGACUCCAUGGAACCUUAAGUACCAUUGGCGGGAUGCUUGUUUCAAGCCAUAUAUAGAAUUCUUAAGCUUGCACACCAAAUGCUCACCUUUACUAGAGGAGAAUCCUUCAGGUUGUUUCAUGUAAACCUCCUCAUCUAGUUCUCCAUUGAGGAACGCCGUUGUCACAUCCAUCUGAUGUAAUUCCAUAUCAAAAUGGGCAACCAAUGCCAAAACAAUACGAAGAGAAUCUUUCUUAGAUACAGGAGAAAAAGUCUCCGUGUAAUCGAUUCCUUCCUUUUGAGUGAAUCAUUUGGCAACAAGUCUAGCUUUAUAUCUUUCAAUGUUACCCAAUGAAUCUUUCGUAGUUUUGAAGACCCAUUUACAACCAAUGGCCUUCGUACCAUUAGGUAACUCAACCAAAUCUCAGACUUUGUUAGAUGCCAUAGAACUCAUCUCUUCCUUCAUGGUAUUGUACCACAAAUUGGAUUUAUCACUAUCCAUGACUUGUGAAAACGUUUUAGGAUCAUUCUCAGCUCCAAUAUUGUAGUCAGACUCUUGUAAAUACACGAUAUAAUCACUAGGAAUAGCCGAUUUCUUUAUUCUAGAAGAUCUUCUCAAUGUUGCAUCAACAUUCUCUUGAGGAGCGUGUUGCUCAACUGGUUGUUCAACAGUUUCUGGUAAUUGCUGAACAAUUGGAUCUACUAGAUCAAUAUCAGCAGGUUGUGGAACUUCAACAAUUGAUUGUUCAAUAGCCGGCUGAACUGAAGGGGCAUUAUGAGCAACAACCAAUCUUAAACUUGAGGUGGAAGGUUGAGUAUUUGUAUGAUCUUUCUUAGGAUCAAGGUCCUUCGAUCGAUCGCUCCUGAUCAAGUCAUUUUCAAGAAAUUUAGCAUUUCUUGAUUCCACAAUCCUAGUGGUGUGAGAUGGACAAUAAAACCUGUAUCCCUUAGACCUUUCGGCAUAUCCAAUGAAAUACCCACUUAUGGUCCUUGGGUCCAACUUCUUUUCUUGUGGAUUAUAAACUCUCACUUCAGACGGGCAUCCCCAAACGCGCACAUGAUGCAAACUCGGUUUCCAACCCUUAAAUAACUCAAAAGGUGUCUUUGGGACAGCCUUGGUCAGAACUCGGUUUAAUAUGUACACUGCCGUCUUAAGUGCUUCAGUCCAUAAGAAUUUAGGAAGUUUGGAGCUGCUAAGCAUACUACGCACCAUGUCUAAUAAGGUCCGAUUUCUUCUUUCCGCUACGCCAUUUUGGUCCGGAGAACCAGGCAUAGUAUAUUGGGCAACUAUCCCAUGCUUUUGAAGAAACCUUGCAAAUGGACCAGGUGCUUGUCCAUCUUCAGUGUAUCUACCAUAGAAUUCUCCACCCCUAUCUGAUCUCACGAUCUUAAUUUGCUUAUCGCAUUGUUUCUCUACUUCCGCCUUAAAUACCUUAAAAGGCAUCUAAUGCUUCAUACUUAUUAUGAAUCAAAUAGAGAUACAUGUAACGUGAGUAAUCAUCUAUGAAAGAGAUGAAGUAUUUUUGACCACAUGAGUCCAUAUCCGGACUACAAAUAUCCGUGUGUAUGAUUUCUAAUAUUUAUGUACUCCUCUUGGCACCUUUCUUUGUCUUGUUAGUCUGCUUUCCCUUUAUGCAGUCCACACAAGUAUCACAAUCAGUAAAAUCUAAAGUAUCGAGUACUCCAUCAUUUACUAAUCGCUUAAUUCUUUCUAUGGAGAUAUGUCCCAAUCUUCGAUGCCACAACAUAGAGGAAUGUUCUUUCAUAACACAUCGUUUUAUACCAGCUUUAUCAUGAACAUGCAUCGCAUCAUAAUAGGCAUUGUCUUAUAAAUUAAUUUGAAAAAGACCAUCAGACAAAGUACCACUCCCGACAAUUUCAGAUUUAAAUGAUAAACAGAAGUUUGAAUCUGAAAAGUUAAAAGAGUAUCCCAAAGGUACAAGUCUUGAAACUGAAAUUAAGUUUCUAGAAAAACUAGGAACAUAAAAGGUCUUUUCCAAAUUUAAAACAAAACCACUAUUGAGAACUAGUCUAUAUGUCCCAAUAGCUUCCACAUGCGAACGCAUCUUGUUUCCUGAAUAGAUGCUUUGUUCACUUCCCACUGGCUUCAUGUGGUUUUGAAAACCCUGCAAGGAAUUCGAAAUAUGGAUUGUAGAUCCAGAAUCAAUCCACCAAGUGUUGUGACUUACAUCAGUCAUAUUAGAUUCAUAACAAACACAAGAGAUUGGAUUACCUUUCUUCUUGAGCCAAGCCUUAAAUUUGACACAAUCCUUCCUUAUAUGCCCAUUCUGUUUACAAAAGAAGCAUUUGGAUUCUUUCUUAAUGUCAGCUUGGGGAGGUAUUUUACCUUUUCCCUUAUGCUUGCCAUAGCCUUAUUCUUUCCUUGUGUUGCCAAAUGAGCACUUUCUCCCAAUUCCAUAACCAGUCUUUCUUCCUCUUGAACACACAUGGUCAUGAGUUCAUUAAUAGACCAUUUAUUCUUAUGUAUGUUAUAAGAGAUCUUGAAAGGUGCAUACUGUUGUGGGAGAGUGUUCAGAAUAUAAUACACAAGGAAGGAUUUAGAUAUCUCAACCUCAAGGUUCUUAAGCUGAGCUGCAAUGUUCCUCAUUUGCAUGAUGUGCUCACGCACACCUCUAACACUAGUGAGCUUCAAUGAUGAAAACUUCAUAAUCAGGGUCAUGGCAUGCGCCUUCUUAGAACUUUCAAACUGCGCAUCUAUGGCCUCCAAUAAAGCCUUAGCAUUGUUAUGCUGAGCAACCGAACCAUGAAUACUAGGAGAUAUCUUAGCUCUUAUAAACAUGGCACAAACACGGUUGGACCGCUCCCAUUGGUUAUAAAGAGCUAUCUCAGCUGGAGUGCUCGAAUCAGUAGGAGCAGGUGGUUCGUCUUUCCUUAUAGCAUAGUCAAUGUCCAUCCACCCCAAUUGAAGAAGAACUGACUCCUUCCAAACUUUAUAGUUCUCACCAUUCAGUAUAGGAACAUCAAACUUAAAUUCAGAGAAAUUCACAGGUUGCGAAAUUGCAUAUCAAAUAAUCAUGCUUAUACAAAAUUUGAGGCAAAUAUAAAUAAAUCAUGUUUUACCAAUGUAAACAUGUCACAAUAUGAAUCACAUAACAUAAAAACUACAUGUGGGCUAAGUUUUUAAUUUAAAUAGAUUCAUAAUUACUUCAUGAAAAAACUACCAUAUUAUAUGCAUUUUCUUAAUCCCUGUGGGUAAAUUAAGAAAAAUAAUAUGAUAUUUCAUCCUAAUUAAUCAUAUUAAUAUAAUGAAAAUUCCUGUGGGAUAAAAUUCAUCAUAUUAAUAUAAUUAAUUACAAUCAAUGUCCAUUUCUAAAUAUGAUCCGGAGGCUUUUAAUAUAUAAUUUAAUUAAUUAAAGAUGCUGUGGCCACUCCCUAAUUAAUUAAAUAUAUGGACCAUUGGACAUUUAAUUUCAUGCACAAAAUAUUCAUAAAAUACAUGAAAUGACAAAAUAGUAAAUAAAAACAUCGAAGGGCAGAACAUUAAAUAAAUCGGCCAAGGGCAUGAUUGCAAAAAUUUAAAAUGAAUGGGGCAAAAAGGUAAAAGCAGCAGCGGGUGGGAGUAGGGGUGAGCAUGGUCCGGGUUGGUCCGGGCCACCCCCUAACCCUAGGACCAACCCGUACAGUGUUGGUCCUCAAUUUUUAGGACCGAGGACCGACCCUACUGAGCCUGGGACCAAGGACCGGACCGACCCAAUGGGUUCGGUCCGGUUCCAGGGUCAACCCGGGACCGAUCGAUAAUUUAUUUCAUCUUGUUUUUUAUACUCCAUAAAAAAGUAAACCUACAAAUUCAAAUUACACAUCCAUCGAUAAUGCGGCAUUGUGCAACUAAACUAUAAAUACCAAUACAAGAUCUCAAAUGAAGUAGAUAUCACUAGUCAAGUUGUGUUUGGAAAGCAAGGGCAAGCUGAGCAUUAGGGUUUCUAAUUAGGGCUUCUUCUUUUUUCCUUUUGAUUUACUCGGCGAUAAGUGAGGCGACCGGCGCGAGUGGCGAGCGCAAGCGUCAAGUGUCGAGUGGGGUGAGCGUCAACUGGCAAGCGGCAAGCGUUUAGUGAGGCCAGGGGCAAGCGGCGAGCGUUGAGCGAGACUAGCGGCGAGUGUUGAGCGAGACUAGCGGCGAGUGGUGAGUGGCGAACGGCAUGAGCAGCGUGCACGGUCAAAGGUGAAAGGCGCGGGCAACCAGAGGCGAGCGGGAUGUUGCUACUUUUGAUUUUGGCAAAUUGAAGAACAAAGAAGACAAAAUGGAAGAGAACGUAGUUUAGGGAAGAAAGCCAUGAGGAGAUUUACGGCAUAAACUUCGCGCCAUUUUGGACAUCGCGAGUCCAUGACUAUGAGGAGUCCUUGGUCCUCACGGUGAAGAAUGUACUCUGGAGUCUAGACUGUGGAGGAGGAGGCCGUGAAGACCUUUACAGCGUAAACUUCACGCCUUUUGGAAUUGGAUGCCGUCUGUCCAUGACUGUGAGCAUGAGGAGUCAACAACUUUAACAUCAUUUUACUUAGGUUUGAAUACAUAAAAAAAUUAUAUAUAAUAUAAUAUAACAUAAAUUUUACUUAGGUUUGAAUAUAUAAAAGAAUUAUAAAUAAUAUAAUAUAAUAUAAUAUACAGGGUGGGUCCAGGGUUGGACCGAGGACCAACCCGCACAGUGUUGGUCCUGGAAUUUUAGGACCAAGGACCGACCCAGUCCCCUUGGGAACUGGACCAGGACUGGCAGGGUUGGGCCAGUCCAGGGUCGGUCUAGGGUUAACCCUAAACCACUGCUCACCCUUAGGUGGGAGACGGCGGGCGCGUGCCGAGCACGCGCGCGUCCAGCGCUCAGGCGCGUGCCGAGCACGCACCAGAAUCCGCGGGGCGCGUGGAUUCCACGCAUGCAGCGGUUGAGCGCGCGUGAGAGCGCGUGGCGCAUGGGCUCCACGCUCCUGCAACCGCAGCGCGGGCGUGGGCUCCAUGCACCUUCUUCCUCGCGCGAACAGAAGCUUUUCCGUCGGUUUUUCGCCAUUUUCAGCCGCGAUUUCAGCCCCUUUUCUUCUCCGGCAGCCCAUCCCAGACAGAAAUAAAUAAUGGGUUUUGAAGAGCAUGCCGGCACAACUACAUGGGUUCAAGUUUCGGCGAAAAUGAGCAAAAAUUGGCCCCAAAAUCAGACGAAAAUAUCCCAAAACACAAUUCCUUUGACCACCGCGACUUCCGCUGCCCGAUUAGCCUCCGGCGAACACCGAUAUACCGGAAAAACUCAUGGCUAAUGUUCCUUAUGGCGGUGCGGCUGUGCGGGUCCGAAAUCAAGGGGUGGGUCGCCGGAAUUUGCCCGGAAUUUGGGAGUUUCUCUGUUGGCCUCAAAAUCCGAAUUACUGUUCAUCUCUAAAAUGCCCGAAAAACACAUCAAAAAUUCGAGAAAAACAAGGCAGAGGCACUAGACUUGCUCUGAUACCAAAUGUUAGACAUAAAAAUUCAUAUGCGGAAGCCAUGAUCAAUUGAAGACAAACCUCCAGCCAUUGUUCUUGUUCGCAUUCGUCAGAAAAACCUGAAAUCAAAGAAAAUUGGGGACACGCUACUACCCCAAUUCACUCUCGUACUGAUGGUGUAUUCUGAAUGAGAGAGUUUGAGUUAGACCUUGUCAUCACCCGUCAGAAAUGAACGUACGUUCCUUUUAUAUCCCGUCUCCCAUCAAAACGGUUACCUAAUGGACGGUUGUCACGAAAGGGUACGAAGCGUGGAAAAACUUUAUGUCGAACAGUCGCAACUUUAAGAGAAAAUGUAGGUCUAAAAUGUGGGAUCACAAAAAUAAAUAACACCUAGUCCACACACCAUGACAUCCUCUGUGUUUUUCUUUUCAAUGACUUUAGUAUUUUUUACAAUGGAGACCCCUUGAUUUCGAAAGGAUCGAAAAAGGUAUCACCGAACGUAUUCUCACGACAGGUGAUCGGAGCCGGAUAAUCGAGAAUUCCGCGGCACGCUAUCAUGAUCGGACCGACUACGCUACCGAAUGAACACGCACACCGAAAAGAGAAGGCCGACAAUCUUAAAGGCGAUGAUCGAUCGAUCGAAGCGAGUCAAAAGAACUUCUGUGGGAAGAGAGAGUAGGGGUCGAUUCGAUCGCCUGUAGCCGCCGUGCGGAGGGACAAUCGCCGAGAGCCAGAGCAAGCGAGAGAGAGAGAGAGUUUUCCGUCCCGACAAGACGGUGAUUAUACAAGCAGCCGGGGGGCGUUGCGGAGCUGACAAUUUAAAAAAACAAGAGAAGAAAAUUUGUUUGCGCUGCCGAGAUGUUAUCGUAUUCCCUCUUCUGGGGUACGUUGGGGUACGUAGGGGUACGUAUCCGAAUACUUUUCUUGCACUUUACUAAUUAGAUUACUGAAUUAGAUUAGAUUAAAUUCUCAUAAAAAGAAUAAAGGUUAGAUUAAAUUUGGAGAUUACGUAUAUAGUUCACCCUCUUUAUUGAAUAAAAAAAAAUCAUAUGGAUUUUCGCUAUUAUCAUAAAGAAUAGCUCAUGCGGCACCUAUCAACAAAAUAAUAAUUGACAUUACUUUAUUAGAGAAUUCGGUUAGCCAAUCUUAGAAAACGCAAUAAAAUCAAAUGUUAAGAAACGUGGUGAAGAAAGUAACAAAGUUAAUUUCUAAGCAGGAAAAAAAAAUGAUGAGUCUAUUCUUUAUUUAUUUUUCAUUAUAAAGAAAUGGGCGGGGAGAGGCUAUCGCGGGUGAGUCCUCUAUUAAUUGUGUUGUGUAUUGCACGGGUGUCGUAUUCAUGUAUGGCAAAGGUAAGGACACAUUUUCGAACUUUAACUUGUAUAUGAUAUCAGCACACUAUAUUUUGAUUUAUGGCCAUUUGGGCACUUGUGAAGUACUUUUAGGGAUAUGUGGACUAUAAGUCCUAAGACUUGUCGCGAAAAUACAAUUAAGUGAUAAAACAUUUAAAAAGUGCAAUUAAAUUCUAAAAUUUGUGUAAUCAAGUCCUUCCGUUAAUACCAUCAAUUUGUCUAAUGGAAAAUACUAAUGUGAUAUUUUAAAUUAAUUUAUUUAUCUUAUGUGGCAUUUUUAUUACUUUUUUCUUUAAACCUUAUUUAAAUAAUAGUAAAAAAAACUUUUAAAAAGCUAAAAAAUUUUAAAAAAUUGGAACCAAAGAAAAGAAAAAGGGCAAGGAUUGUGCUAGCACAUUGCCGUUGCCACCCAUCAUCGGAGGGGGCUAGCGACCUCAUUGGCCCUAGGUAGCGAAGGGGGCGACGGCCCUCACCAACUUAGGAGAGGCCAUGCCGGCCCAAGCAAGACACCUCAGCUAAGGCCAACACAACUCGUCUAGAUUUGGGCGACGCUGAUCCUCGCUUAGGCCUAGUGAGGGUCGCUGGCCCUCACCUAGGAUCAGUGAGGCCUUGCUUGGGCUGGCGAGGCUCGUUGGUCAUAGGGGAGGCUGGUGUCACCUAGAUAAGGGUUGACAUUGCCCAAAUCUGUGUGAGCCUCACCCGAGCCGAAGCCAAGGCAUUGUCCAAAUUUGGGUGAGCCUUAUCGGCUCUUGCCUAGGCGGGCAAUGGCCUUGCCUGGGCCGAUGAGGGUACCCUCCAUGGCGUAGGGUUGGCGACCUUGCCAGCCUCCUUUGAAAAUGGGCGGCGGCGGCAUCAUGCCCAGCACGAUCCUUGUCUUCUUCUUUUUUUCUUUGUCUCCAAUUUUUUAAAAUUAUUUUAGCUUUUUUUAAAAGUUUUUUACUAUUAUUUAAAUAAUAUUUAAAAGAAAAAAGUAUAAUAAAAUGCCACGUAAAAUAAAUAAGUAAAUUUUAAAAUGCCACCUCAGCAUAUUCCGUUAGACAAAUUGAUGGUGUUAAUUGAAGGAUUCGAUUGCACCAAUUUGAUAAAUUUUAGAACUUAAUUGUACUUUUUGUAUAUUUUCGUGAUAAGUUUUAAUACUUAUAGUUUACAUAUCCUAUAUUUUUUUGUUAAGGGGAUCUUUGAUCUUUGAUGUGUAAUCGGGUAUAUUACGAUGACAAUCAAUGUAUCAGGAGUUGUGAUAUUUUCUUAUUUAAUUGCUUAGUAAGUGUUUUUGAGGCACAAUUUAACUAAAAUCCUUUAAAUAUCGGGUCUUCAUACUUUUUUAAGACAUUUCGUUGCUCCGGCUUGGAUUAGUAAGUUUUUUGAAGGAAAAACCUAGUGGAAAUUUCUAAGUAUUAUGCAAAGAAUGCUCAUCAAUUUCUAAAUCUUUCUUAAAGAGAAAGUUCAACGAGAUCCUCCCAUCAGAAAUUUGCCACCAUUGCUAUAAAAAAUCGCCUAAGUGCCUGUAUGACGAAUUAAAUAAGGUGUGACCGAAAGAAUUUUCUGAUACUCUUUCUAAUAAAAAAUUUCGAGAUUCAACUAAAUCAAUGAAAGGUUUAAAGCUUGAUUGCAUUUUUCGUGUAAGAUUAUGGACACAGUAUUUUUCUUUUUCGUCAUCGUAUCGUACCAAGUACAAGAGGAAAGAGAAGAAAGAUAGGCGGAUGCGUCACGCAUAUGUAGGUGCCCGUGACAUGUACGUGCCCAAAGGGAAGCUUAGGAUAGGCAUCACCGGUCGGACCGGUUGCUUUUGGCCUUUCUUCGUCUUUCUUACUUUUGUUGCGUUUGUGCAAACAUGUACUUCGUUUCUUGUUUGACGAGUUCCAACCCAAACCACCACUUUUAAAAAAAUAAUUAAAGAAAGAGUUGCGAGUCUCUCCUAGCUGUUUGACAUGGUAGGAAUGGUAAUAUGGAUUAGUAGUUGUUUAUUGUGAUAACUAAGGGGGAAAGACACCCUGUAAUUAUGCCAAUCACGCUUGACUGCGUUCCAUUCACAUUAUUGAUAGGACUUCCUGUGCAAUUUUCCUGUUUUGCUUUCGUCUUGACUCAAAGUUGCCGGUCUCUUAUUUGCAUCUUCUCUUCUCUCUUCCUUUUCUCAAUCUUCUCUCUGCUCAAAGUAUCACCGCAUGCCAUGGUCUCGCUCUGUAGUCUCUCUUAUUUCUUUCUUUCCCUUUCCUUCGUUUUUCUAUCGCAAUUCUCGAACUUCAUUGACGAUCAAGCUCAAGAUUAUGAUUGUCCAACCGCCACGAUUUCAACUCAGUGGGUGAAUAACGCAAAAGCUACUCACGUCACUCGACAUGUAGAUGGAUCAAUCGUGCGGGCAAUUCUACUCCGAGGCAAAGGAGGUUCUGGCCCUGCCUAUGCCUACGGCUUCUAUUGUAAUGGUACCUGCAACACUUACCUCUUUGCUGUUUUCAUCGUCACAGUUUACGGUAGUGGCGUAACUAUUGAAUAUAUUGUUCCAUAAGUAAUGUGGUCUAUCAAUUGAAACAAUUCCGUAAAGAUCGGAGUGACAUUGGAGCUCGCGUUCGAAUGUGAUUUGGUGUUGAAAGAUACUGAUGGUAUGGUUGCUUGGUCCACAGAUACUUCUGAAAAGUCCGUCGUAGGCUUGAACUUGACAGAUUUGGAGAACCUCGCUUCAUUUGAUAAGGAAAAUGUGAUUGUUUGGCAGUCUUUCGAUGAGCCAACCAACUUGCUUGUCCUUGGACAAAAGUUGAGGUGGGGGCAAAUAUUGAUGUCGAGUGUUUCUAAGAAAAAUUGGAUCAUUAAUGAUAUGAUUUCGCUUUCCAUGAUUGGCGAUGUUUUAUGUGCUCAAGUGGAGACUAAUCCUCCUCAGAUAUAUUUCGAGCGUGAAGGUUCAACUACGAAUGCAAGCAUCGAGUUUCCAUAUGUUGAGUUUGUAGGGGGAAGCUUGUUUUGGAUCUCAGAUUCUAAAUUUUUUGUCUUAAUGUCAUUCCCUUUACGAUCUUCCACACAAUACAUGAAGCUGGGCUCGGAUGGGCAUUUGAGAGUGUAUGAGUACAAUUGGUAUGGCGAGCAUAAAGAAGUGGCCGAUCUUUUCACAGGUGAGGUUAUGGCGAGGACUAUGUCUAUCUGAGAGUGUGUGGGCGAUAUGGAAUUUGUUCCAAUGGGCAAUGUAGUUAUCCGACUUCGAUUGGGGGAACGAGCUAUUUCCAGCAAGUAGAUAAUAGGCAACCUAAUUUUGGGUGUUUUGAGAAUGUUCCAUUAUCUUCUGGGACUUCAAAAAAUCAAAGUCUUCGGGAGCUCGAAAAUGUCACAUAUUUUAGUUUCACUCCAAAGCUCGAGAACAUAGAUGCUUUAAGUUGUAAAGAGGUCUAUGCAAAGAAUUGUUCCUACAAAGCAGCUAUAUUUUGGUCUCAUUCUGAUCGCACUAGCGCCAGUUGUUACUUACCAACUCAGGUGUUUUCACUUAUGAACAUUGAUGAGAAAAUGUUUUCCUAUAAUUCUGCUGCGUACCUUAAAGUACAAAAUGUGGCCAAUAAAGCUCCUUAUACUCCGGUUGACAAUCGUAUGAGCAACCAUCUCCCUGUAAUACUUGGGUCUAGCCUCGGAGCUCUCUUUGCCAUGAUGAUUUUUAUCGUAGCUAUAGUUUUGUUUGUUCACAAGAGAGCAAAGGAGGAUUACCUUGAUUAAGUACCUAGAGUGCCCACUAGAUUCAUGCACAAUGAUCUGAAAACCAUCAUAGAUGGAUUCAAUAAAAAGCUUGGCAAGGUGGUUUUGGUUCUAUUUUCGAAGGUACUCAACAUCACAAAAGUUGCAAUAAAACGCCUUGAUGAUUUUAGGGCAGGUUAAGAAAUCCUUUCUAGCCGAAGUUGAGACUAUCAACACUCAUCACGUGAACUUGGUAAGACUCCUGGGAUUUUGUGUUGAGAAAUCUCAUAGGCUCCUUAUCUAUGACUACAUGUCGAAUGGGUCUCUAGAUAGAUGGAUCUUUCACAAAUCCAAUGAAUGUGUUCUCUACUAGCAACAAAGGAAGAAGAUCAAUCUCAAUAUAGCAAAAGGACUUAAUUAUCUUCAUGAAGAUUGCAGACACAAGAUAUUUCACUUAGACAUUAAAUCCCCAAAUAUCCUCUUGGCUGGAAAUUUCAAUGCUAAGGUUGCUGAUUUUGGAUUAUCUAAGCUGAUAGACAAAGACAAAAGCCAUGUCGUCACAACCAUGAAAGGAACUCCCGGUUAUGUGGCCUUGAGUGGUGGAGUAAAGCAUUCACUAAAAAGGUCGAUGUGUAUAGCUUUGGCAUGGUAAUCUUGGAGAUAGUGUGUGAGAGAAAAAUCUUGGAUAGCUCUCUAGAUUAAGAAGACAUGCAUUUACUAAGCCUUUUUAAGAGAAAGGCAUAAAAGGAAUGAUUGCUAGACAUUGUGGAUAAGUCUAGCAAUGACAUGUAACUAAAUGGACCGUAGGCAGUGAAUAUGAUGAGGAUUGCUGCAUGGUGUUUGUGAAAAGACCAUACAAAGAGGCCCUCCAUGUCUAUGGUCAUCAAGGUGUUAUAUGGCGUCAUGGAAGUUCUAGAAGACCUGGAUUAUGACUUCACUGCUCAGGCUUCCACCAGUGGAGAAGGGAGAUUCAGUUGGAUGGACGUGGAAUUCAAUGCUACCACUAUAUCACUAUCCUCAGUCCUAGGUGGUCCAUGAUGACACUACAAAUUUGUAAGAACUUUUCUUCCCAAUAUGUCAAGAGGUAGAACGUGCGGGUGAUUGAAAUUUUUAGACUGUGAGGACUCCAUCUUCUCAUUCUCUUUUCAGGAUAAAAAAAAAAAAAAAAGGCUUGUGGCGUGAUAUCACUUCUCGUUUUCACUUUGCCAAUGAGUGAACUUUGCCAUAACUUGGCAAAGGAUUAAGUUGGUUAGGAUAUUGCAAUUUGAUUUUAUUGCUUAUGUAGAAACCAAUUGUGCUCAAGUUUGUUGUGUGCUAGUUUAGGGAAAGGGGGAACCUGUUGAAUCAUUUGUGCAAAGAGCUGUUAAAGACUAGUCAGCUGCUGGUAAUGUCUUUUGGUAGCUUUGCCAUGUUGUGGAUCCAAAUCAGAUUUGCCUUUUGGUUCCAACACUUGAUAUCUUUCAGAUUCAAUGACUCUACCUUCCAUGUCUUCCUCAUUUCAAGAUUAAUGGGCUAUUUUUAGUCCGUUCUGCAAGUACAUGAUUAAAACCGAUAAAGAUAACGGGAGACUUUCAUCACUAGUAAGCUUGAUUUUUCCUAGCGACUCCUAAUGUAUCAUAGGUUAAUAAUCUUAAUUUACAGCUUCUUAAGGAUCCAUCAAGGUUGUCCAGCGACAUAUAUUUGCCAAAAAUAAAGAACUGAGAUAUUUGGGCAUUCAAGAUUCAAUUUUGCGAUCUUUAGAUAACACCAAUCAUCCUCGAUAACCUCAGUUUUUCCACAUUCAUUAAUCAACAUUGAUCCAAGCAUACAGAUUCAUCAAAUUUAAUCAGGGAUAAGAAGCUUGUCUGGGUCUUAUUUGGUCCCGGAACUGCUCACACAAUUAAGAAAGUUCAGAGCGAUCUGACGUGACCCCCCCUGCCAUGCCGUGGCACCUCUUGAUUGGAUAUGAUCAUGGCCGGUCGAAAAAAAAAGUCCCCUGGAGCUCAUCCAAAGGCCCGAGCUACGGUAACCUCUCGUAAAGUCCUCACUCUUCCCGGCACAACUCACUAGCGACGGAAGUAUUUCUUCUUAUUCUUCCAAUUCCUCUGCUUUGUGCCCUUCGCCUUCUCCUCUUCUUGAAGUCUCCGAAUCGGAGUUGCCAUAGUAAGUUAUUGCAGAUCACGUGGAGAAAGGAUAAUCUCACGAUGAAUCUAUCUAUCUUCUCCUCGGCCAUGGAAGGCAUUGCGUGGAGAGGAUGGCUCUACACGGUGUUCAUUCAGUACUUCGUGUUCGCUUGCCAGUUCCUUCACCUUCAGCCUCUCGUCUCAGCCCAAGGUACGUCAUUCUGGCUUAGAUCUGCGAACUCGUUGUCGGAUGGAGGCUUUGAGAGGUUGUAGUGCGCUCUAAAGCCUGAGCAACUAGCUUUCUAUUUGAAAAAUUUAUUGAUCAUCGUCGCCAUUGAUUUUGCAUGGGGACACUAGAAAGAGAAUGUUAAUGAGGAAAAUUAGAAUGAGUAGUACCAGCUGUGUUAAUCCAUGCAUUUUCAUUUUUGUCAUCAUAUUACGGAGUUGAAAAUUAAGAUACAUAGAGCAAGAGCUGUACUUGUCCCCCCUCCUUUCAAUCUUCAUUGUAGCAUCAAUUGGCCCAGAAUGUUCGAUUUAAACGUUCCACGACAUCUAAAUUGAUCAUCGCCUAACGCAAUCCUAUUGAAAUGUUAAAUCCUCCCCACAUAGAAACCUUCCUACUAUUAAAAAUCCGCUACCCUGACUACAGCUUAAAGAUAGAGCCACAGAGAGAGAAAGAGUUUUUGUCCGGACAGACGGUGAUCAUACAAGCAGUUGAGCACGUUGCAGAGAUGACUUCAAAAAAUAAGAGGAGAAAAUUUAUUGCUCUGCCCAGACUUUAUCGUAUUUUGCUCUUUUGGGUACGUACCCGAAUACUACGAAGAAAAUUUCUUGCUUUUUUGAUAAUUAAGUGAAUUUGAUUAGAAUAAACUGUGGAAAAAAAAUUAAAUUAGCUUAGCUUAGAUUAAAUUCGACUAUGUAACACAGUUCACGCUCUUUAUCGAGAAAAAAAUUGUAUGGAUUUUCACUAUUUUCGUAAAAAAAAAUGGUAAACAUAGUUUGUACAACUAUCAAUAAAAUAAUAAUCGAAUUAUUAUAUUAGAGAAUUCGACUAACUAACCUUAGAAAAUGCAAUAAAUGCUAAGAAAAAGAAGGUAGGAAAGUUAAUUUCUGAGCAGGAAAAGAAAUGAUAAGUCGAUUUUUACUUUUUCUAAAGAAAUUGGUAGGGAGGGCCGAUCACCGGGUGGCUCUCCCCCCUCUAUCAAUUGUGAUGUGUCUUGUAUGGGUGCCAUACGCAUAUAUGACAAAAGUAAGAAUGUAUUUUCUAACUUUAACAUGUAUUUGAUAUCAGUGAACUUUAUUUUGAUUAUGGAUAGUUUAAUAAUUAUCUUGAGUAUUUGUUAAAUAUUUUUUAUUGAAGGGAUCUUUGAUCUUCGAUGUAUUAUUGGGUAUAUCACGAUGAUAAUCAAUGUAUUGAAAUUCACCAUAUAUUCUUAUUUAGUUGCUUAAGAAGUAUUUUUGAGGCACUUUUAAAAUAAAUCUUUUUGAUAUCAGGUCUUUAUACUUUUUAAAGACACUUCACUGCUCCAAGUAGGAUUAGUUAGUUCUUUAGAAGGAAAAUUCUAGUGGCAAUUUCCAAGUAUUAUGCAAAGAAUACAAUCGGCCAGUAAACUUUCCGAUUUGGUCCGACCAAUUUCUAAAUUUUUUAUAAAAAGAAAAGUUCAACAAGAUCCUCCCAUAGGAAAUUUUCCUUUGUUAUUAUAAAAAAUUGCUUAGGUACAUGUAGGACGAAUCAAAUUAGUAAUAAUCAAAAGAAUCUCCCAUUGCUUUUUUUUUUUUUUUUUGGAGAGAAUUCAAGACUCGGCUAAACUAUAGAAAGAUAUAGAGCCCGAUUGCAUUUUUCUCGUAUAACAUUUCGGACAUGGCAUUUUUUUCUCUCGCAUUCCGUGCCUUGUGCCGUAUCAAAUUCGAGUAUUCAUCAAGCACAGUCGUUGGGUGCCUUUUUUUUUUUUUUUAAAUAAAUGUCGCCCGAGGAGAGAAUAAGGAAGCUAGAUGCGUCACGCAGAUAAUGUAGCUGCGCAAAGGGGAAGCAAUAGGAUAAACACCGCCGGUUGCGCCGGUUGCUUUUGGCCUUUCUUCUUUUCUUUUGAGUGUUUCGCAUGUAAAGAGAGAUACUUCGUUCCAUGUUUUUUUUUUUUUUGUCAAAAGGUGAAUUUUCAUUUAUCAUAUAAGCGGAAAACUGUGGUGGCCCGCUACCGGGGCGUCGAUACAUAAAAGAGCCCAGAGGCUUGAGGGAGGGGAGGCCCACCAAUUCGGAGGAAGGGUCUUCAGGCGUUGGUUACGUGCGGCCCAAUCCGCAACCUGGUUUGCUAAGCGAGGACAGAAAGCGAGGCCCACUCGCGGCAUCCGCUAGAGAAGAAGUCGACAAAUCCUCACCGCCCCACGUGCGUUAACUUCAGUUCCCGUUCGUGCUUCAAGCUGGAUAACACGAUUCUGCUGUCAGUUUCCAAGAUAGCUUCGCAGAAGUCUUUCUCCUUAAAAAACUUUAGGGCUUCAAGGACCCCUAGGGUUUCAACUUGCACGCUUGAUUCCGCCCAAACAUUCUUCGAGAAUCCAUCUAAUAGGGUGCCGGAGGAGUCCCGCACGACGCAGGCCACCGCUCCCUCCGUCGAUCCUUCCCCUAACGAUCUGUCAACGUUCAGCUUGAGGCAGCCGAGCUUCGGAGCUCGCCAGGUGGGUUGGAUCUCCGGUUCUUUGGUUUUCUUUGCUGGUUCAUCUCCAGAUCCCCACUUUUGGUAGCUGAUUUGCUGAGAUCUUGCUAGAUCUAUCACUUUGCAGGCCUCUGGUUUGGUUCCUCGGAAGAUGAAAUCAUUUCGGCCCUUCCAUACCUGCCAUAGGAGAGUGCCGAUUGUCUCUAGAGAGGGGAGGUGCGGGUCUUUGCUUGUAAAUUUUGUCAGCUAGUCAUCUAUGCGUUUGACUUCUUGUGCGUCGGUUUUCUGUUUUAUUUCCAAGCGAUUCCAUACCCCUGCAACCCAAGGGUAGAGGAGAAGAGUAUGUUCGAUUGUUUCCACCGUGGCUUUGCAUAGGUCACAUAGCGGGUCAGGUGAGAUCUUUCUUUUCCAUAGAUUCUCUUUAGUUGGUAGAGCGUUUUGACAAGCCCGCCAUAUGAAAAACUUCACUUUCGGGUUGGUUUUCAUGUGCCAAAUUGCGUUCCAUAAUGCUGUUGGGGUUUGGUAUGAGGAGGAAGGGUGCCGAUUGGCUGUGUUUUCUGUGAUGUUGUCUCUCAGCAAGUUGUACCCAUUCUUGAUUGUGAAUGAUCCAUGUUGUGUGCCCGUCCAUACUAGUUCAUCAUUAAAAAAAAGGACCAUUUAUUGGUAUUGCAAGAAUUUCCUGUGUAGUUUGAUCAUCAAACAGAUUUCUUACCAAUUUCAUUCCACGCUUGUGUGUCCGGUAAUAUUAACUCUGAGACUUUCUUGGGAUCGUUUCUGUUUGCCGGCCCUCCUAUUAAACCUCUUCUCAGCCAUUUAUCUGUUCUGAUGUUAACUGAUUCUCCGCUUCCGAUCGACCAUCGGACUGAGUACGCAAUAGCCUCUCUUCCAAUUAGCAGACUUUUCCAUCCCCAUGAAGGGUUACAACCAGAAUCAGCAUGCCAAAACUCUGAGCGAUUGAAAUAUAGCCCCUUCAUUAAUUUGCCCCAUAGCGCAUUCGGAUUUUUAACCAUCCUCCAGGCUUGCUUCCCCAAUAAGGCUUUAUUAACAGUAACCAGAUCUCUGAAACCCAUUCCUCCUCUAUCUUUUCUCAUCUUCAUGAUUUCCCAUCGUUUCCAAUGCAGACUAGCCUGAGCAUCAUUGUUUUUCCACCAUAAAUUUGCUAUUUUUUUUCUCUAUCGCCAUACAAAUUGACACGGGGAUUUUAAAAACUGACAUGGCAUAUUGUGGUACCGCCUGCACCACUGAUUUCAAAAGAAUUUCUUUACCUGCCUUUGAUAUGAGUUGCUCAUUCCAGCCCUCCAGUUUCAUGUUGAUCCGAUUCAGCAUCCACCCAAACAUUUGCUUUUUUGAUACUCCCCAAUCAGAUGGUAGUCCCAGAUACUUCCUGUUCGUUNNNNNNNNNNNNNNNNNNNNNNNNNNNNNNNNNNNNNNNNNNNNNNNNNNNNNNNNNNNNNNNNNNNNNNNNNNNNNNNNNNNNNNNNNNNNNNNNNNNNCCUUUCACCUUCAUUGUAGCAUCAGUUGACCCAGAAUGUUCGGUUUAAACAUUCCAUGACAUUUUAAUGAUCAUCGCGUAAGGUACUCGUAUUAAACCCUCCCCACAUAGAAACCUUCCCGGUAUCAAUAAUCCACUACCCCGACUUCCACUCUAACACAGAGCCAGAGAGAGAGAGAGAAAGCGGAACUUGUAACUGAUGGUGUAACUUCUUAAGUAUUCAUAACAGCGAAGCUCUAGCGUAUAGCCUAGGAGAAAGAUGGAAACAACAAGGUAAACGAUCCUAAAUGCCAACUUCCAUGACCAAUAAAGUACCGACAGACACUGUUUAGAAUCGUCAUCCAUGUGACAAAAUAGGAUCAACCGACCUCGGCCCAGCGAUCCAACUCAGUGGGAGGAAAAACUUCUUAUGAUGCAUGAAACGAUCAAUUAGACCCGGGCUUGGGGGGGGGGUGUGUGGAGGUGGGCGGGCGGUGAUCGAUUGAAUAGAGUUAAAAGAGAGUAUUAUCGAAGAGCAAGAAAAGUAUUCGGAUAUCUUCGAGGUCGAUUCGAUCGCAAGUUGCUGCUGCGCUGAGGAAGCAAGCGAUAGAGAGAGAGAGAUUUUGUCCGGCCAGACGGUGACCAUUUAAGCAUUUGGGUGCGUCACAGAGAUGACAAUGAAAAAACAAGAGUAGAAAAUUUGUUUGCUCUGCCGAGACGUUAUCGUUUUAGCUCUUCUAGGCACGUAUCCGAAUGCUUUUCUUGCUCUUUAAUAAGUAAUAAGUGAAUCCUUUUUUUUUUGGGGUCAAAUAUAAGUUUAGUGAAUAUGAUUAUAUUAGAUUAGUAAACAGGAGAUUAUGUAACAUAGCUCACUCUUGUUAUCAAGGAAAAAAAUCGUAUGGAUUUUCACUAUUUUUGAAAAAAUAGCUUACUCAACCAUCAACAAAAUAAUAAUUGACAUUAUCAUAUUAGAGAAUUCAGUUAACCAAUCUUACCAAAUGCAAUAAGAUUAAAAGCAAAGAAACAUGCUGAAGAAAGUAACAAAGUUAAUUUCUAAGUAGGAAAAAAAUGAUGUGCUGAUUUUAUUUUCAAUAAAGAAAUGGGCGGGGAGGGAUGAUCACCGGGUGGCUCCUUCGUUGAUUGUGAUGUUGUAUUGUAUGGGUGUCAUAUUCAUGUACGGGAAAGGUAAGGGUAUGUUUUCGAACUCGAACUCGUAUUUGAUAUUAGCAAACCUAUACUUUGAUUUAUGGUCAUUUUAAUGAACAUCCUGGGUACUUGUUAAAUAUUUUUAUUAAGGGGAUCUUUGAUCUUCCAUGUAUAAUCAGGUAUAUUAUGAAGACAAUCAAUGAAUUGGGAGUCGCAAUACUUUUUAUUUAUUUAUUUGGUUGCUUAAUAAGUGUUUUCGAGGCACUUUUUAAGUAAAUCUUUUUUAUAUCAGGUCCUUAUGCUAUUUAAAAAAAAAAAAAAUUCACUGCUUCGGCUCGGCUUAGUAAGUUCUUCGAGAAGAAAAACCUAGUGGAAAUUUCCAAGUAUUAUACAAAGAAUGUAAUAGACCGGUAGACUUUUUGGUUUGGUAUGAUCAAUUUCUAAAUCCUUUAUAAAAAGAAAAGUUCAAUGAAAUCCUCUCAUCGGAAAUUUGCCGUUGCUACUAUAAAAAAUCGCUUAAGUACGCGCACGUCAAAUCAAAUAAGGUAUAAUCGAAAAAAAUUUCAGAUACUCUUUCCAAUAAAAAAAAUUUCAAGAUUCAACUAAUCCUAGAUUUUGAGCGUGAUUGCAUUUUUCGUGUAAGCUAAUGGACCCAGUAUUUCCCCCCCCCCUCUUGCUUUCCGUCCUCCUAUCAACCAAUUUCGAUAACAAGAGAAAAGAAGGGAAAGAUAAGCAGAUGCGUCACGCAUAUGAAGGUGCGGCAAAGGGAGGAUUAGGAUAAACACCUCCCGGUCGGACCGGUUGCUUUGGCCUUUCUUCUUUUCUUUCUUACUUUUUUGCAUUUGGGCAAAGACGAGAACUUCGUUUCUUGUUUGACGGGGUGCAAGCCUCUUCUUCCAAUCCAAAACACCAAGAAAAGAAAAAGUUCAAAAUUAAAGGAAAGUUGCAAGUCUCUUCUUGCUGCUUCACAUGCGAAUCACGCUGUACUGCAUGCCAUUCACAUUAUUGAGUGGACUUCUUGUGCAAUUUUCCUGUUUUGCUUUCAUCUUGACUCAAAGUCGUCGGUCUCUUAUUUGCAUCUUCUUCCCUCCUCUCUUCCAUUUCUCAAUCAUCUCUCUGCUCAGAGUUUCACUGCCGGCCAUGGUUUCACUCUGCAGUCUCCCUUCUUUCUUCCUUUCCUUUUCCUUCGUUUUGCUAUCGCCAUUCUCAAACUUCAUUGAUGCUCAAGCUCAAAAUUAUGAUAAUCCAACGGCCGUGCUUUCAACACGGUGGACGAUUAACGCAACAACUACUCCCUUCUCCCGCAAAGAAAAUGGAUCGGUCGUGCAGGAAAUUCUAUUCCGAGGCACAGGAGUUACUGCCUACUCCUGCGGCUUCUAUUGCAAAGGUAGAUGCACCUCUUACCUCUUUGUUGUUUUAAUCGUCGAAAUUUUCAGUGAUUUAAUGCCGGGGAGGGACAGAAAUCCACGAGUAGUGUGGUCUGCCAAUCGAAACAAUCCCAUAAAGAUUGGCGCGACGUUGGAGCUCACGCCUGAAGGCGAUUUGGUGUUGAAAGAUGCUGAUGGUAGGGUUGCUUGGUCCACAAACACUUCUGCAAAGUCUGUUGUAGGCCUGAACUUGACAGAUUUGGGGAACCUCGUAUUGUUUGAUAAGGACAAUGCGACAGUUUGGCAGUCCUUUGAUCACCCAACGGACACACUUGUCCCCGGACAAAAGUUGAGGCAUGGGCAAAAAUUGACGCAGAGUAUUUCUGAGACAAAUUGGACUGUUGAUGAUAUGAUUACGCUUUCCGUGAAUGGCGAUGGUUUAUCUGCUCAAGUGGAGACUAAUCCUCCUCAAAUCUAUUUCAACUACGAAUUUGGAAAUGAGGAUGCAAGUAUCAACAUUUCAUAUGUUGAGUUUGUAAAUGGAAGCUUGUCUUGGUUCUCAAAUUCUACCUCGAAUGGGACCUUGUUUUCAAUCCCUUCAGCAUCUUCAACACAACACAUGACGCUAGGCUCAGAUGGGCAUUUGAAAGUGUAUGAGCCUGGGGGGGGUAGAAGUGGCCGAUCUUUUCGAAGGGUAUGUCGAUGACUGUGCCUAUCCGACGGUGUGUGGACAAUAUGGAAUUUGUUCCAAUGGGCGAUGUAGUUGUCCGGCUUCAAGUGGGGGGGACGAGCUACUUCCAGCAAGUAGAUGAUAGGCAGCCUCAGCUUUGGUGUUUCGAGAAUGUCCGUGUCUGUGGGGCUUCACAACAACAAAUUCUCUGGAGCACGAAAACAUCGCGUAUUUAGUUUCACUCCAAAUCUCAAGCACAUAGAUGCUUCAAGUUGCAAAGAGGCUUGCACAAAGAAUUGUUCAUGCAAGGCAGCUAUAUUCCAGUAUGAAUCGAAUCGCACUAACGGCAGUUGUUACUUACCAACUCAAGUAUUUUCACUUAUGAACGUUGACGAGCAAACAGGUCUUUAUAAUUCUACUGCUUUCCUCAAAGUACAAAAUUUGACCAAUGAAACUCCUUAUACUCUAGUUGACAAUCAUAUGAACAACCGUCUCCCUGUAAUACUUGGGUCUAGCCUUGGAGCUCUCUUUACCAUGACGAUUUUGAUCGUAGCCAUAGUUUUGUUUGUUCAAAAGAGAGAUGAUAAUCAAGCAGAGGAGGAUUACCUUGAUCAAGUACCCGAAGUGCUUAAUAGAUUCGCAUACAACGAUCUGGAAACCAUCACAAACGGAUUCGAUAAAAAGCUCGGCGAAGGUGGUUUUGGUUCUGUUUUCGAAGGUACUCUAAGUGACGGCACAAAGGUUGCAGUGAAACGCCUAGAUGGUUUCAGGCAGGUUAAGAAAUCCUUUCUAGCCGAAGUUGAGACUAUUGGCAGAAUCCAUCACGUGAACUUGGUAAGACUCGUGGGAUUUUGCACUCAGAAAUCUCACAGGCUCCUUAUCUAUGAGUACAUGUCGAACGGGUCUCUAGAUAAAUGGAUCUUUCACAAAUCCAAUUGUGUUCUUGACUGGCAACAAAGGAAGAAGAUCAUUCUCGAUAUAGCAAAAGGACUCAAUUAUCUUCAUGAAGAGUGCAGACAGAAGAUAGUUCACUUAGACAUUAAACCCCAAAAUAUCCUCUUGGAUGGAAAUUUCAAUGCUAAGGUUGCUGACUUUGGAUUAUCCAAGUUGAUAGAUAGGGACCAAAGCCAAGUCAUCACAACUAUGAGAGGAACUCCUGGUUAUUUAGCCCCUGAGUGGCGCAGCGCAGUAAUCACAGAAAAGGUUGACGUGUAUAGCUUUGGCGUGGUAAUCUUGGAGAUAGUGUGUGGGAGAAAAAUCUUCGAUCGCUCUCUAGAUGAAGAAGACGUGUAUUUACUGAGCCUUUUUAAGAGAAAGGCAGAAGAGGAACAAUUGUUAGACAUUGUGGAUAAGUCUAGUGAUGACAUGCAACUAAAUGGACCACAUGCUGUGAGUAUGAUGAGGAUUGCCGCAUGGUGCUUGCAAGGAGACUAUAUGAAGAGGCCUUCCAUGUCCAUGGUCAUCAAGGCGUUAGAGGGCAUCGUGGAAGUUCAAGAAGACUUGGAUUAUGACUUCUCUGCUCAGCCUUCCACUAGUGGAACAGUGAGAUUCGGUCCCAUGGAUGUCGAAUUCAAUGCUACCACUGCAUUAUUACCCUCAAUCUUAAGCGGUCCACGAUGACGCGGCAAAUUUAUGGAAACUUUUCUUUGUAGAACAUGCAAGCGAUUGUAUUUUCAAUCUUUGAGGACUCCAGCUUGUUAUUCUCUGUUUUAGGCCCUGAAAAAAGAGUGGGAUGAUAUCAUUUCUCGUUUUUGCUUUGCCAAUGAGUGGACUUUGCCAUAACUUGGCGAAGGAUUGAGUUGGUUAAGAUGUUGCAAUUAAGUUUUAUUGCUUAUGUAGAAACUAAUCGUACUCAAGUUUGUUGUGUCCAAGUCAUCUAUGUAAAAUGCUGCUAAAAGACUAGUCAGCUACUUGUAAUGUCUUUUGGCAGCUUUACCAUGUCAUGGUUCCAAAUCUAAUUUGCUUUUUGGUUUCAACACCUAAUAUCUUUCGGAUUCAAUGACUUUACCUCCGUGACUUCCUCAUUUCAAAAUUAAUGAUCUAUUUUUUAGUCCAUUCUACGAGCGUACAAUUAAAACCGAUAAAGAUAACAGGAGAAUUUCAUCAUUGAUAAGUUCGAAUUUUUCCUUGUGACUCCUAAUACAUCCUAGGUUAAUAAUCUUAACUACCAGCUUUUUAAGGAUCUAUGGAGAUCGUUUCGAGGCAUACGUUUGCCAAAAAUAAAGAGCUGACAUGUUUGGGCAUUCAAGAUUCGACUUUCCAAUCUUAAAAAACGCUGAUCAUUCGCACUAACCUCGGCUUUUCCAGUCUUUAAUCAUCAUGAUCCAAGCGUGCUGAUCCAUCAAAUUUAUCCAGGGAUAAGAAGCUUGUCCGGGUCUUAUUUGGUCCCGAGCACAAUUAACGAAAGUUCAAAGCGAUCUGACAUGGCCCCCUGCCAUGCCGUGGCACCUCUUGAUUCUCUUGAUUCGAUCUGAUCGCAGCAGGUCAACAAACCAUAGCCCACGUGCAGCUCCAUUGGCCUGAGCUAUGUGUAACCUUUCGCAAAGUCCUCCCUCUUCCUGGCACAAACUCACUAGCGACGGAACUAUUUCUUCUUCUUCUUCUUCUUCUUCUUCCAGUUCCUCUGCAUUUGCGUCCUUCACCUUCUCCUCUUCUUGAAGUCUCCGAAUCAGAGUUGCCAUAGUAAGUCAUCGCAAAUUGCACAGCGAAACGAUAAUCAGUACAUAACAUCCCCAAAAAGUAUAAGACAAGACAAUAAAACUGAUGUGAUUAUAAAAAUAAAAAAUGUACGCCAGCAGAAAGAAGGCUGAGAGGAAGAAAGAAGACGACAUAUGGCCUAUGACUUCCUGAGACAUCUCGAGCAUUACAUAGGACCGUCUGCAAUGCAUAAGCAUCAGAAAUACAGCAUAUUUAAUAUCAACAGCCAGUGGUCCAUUUCUGUCUUUACAGUAGCCCAAACUGGAUCCAGCUUAUAAAAGAGGAGUUUACUCUUGUUGCACAGUGUCAGCUUGCCAUGCAAAAAAGCAGAAGUGUAAAGAGACACCGCAGCAUUCUUUUCUUCGCUUGUUUCCCCCUAAAAGAUGUCAAGGUAGUCUCCAUAUGGCUAUGAAGCUCAAAGUAAGAGACAAUUACAAAAUGCUGUAACAUUUGCUUCCUGAUAGUUUAUGCAACAGAUAUUGGACAAAUGGAGAGCUAGAAGUGCAUACAGCCACACACAGAGGGCUCAUUAAUUCAUUAACAUUAAGGAACAGAAUAUCAAGACAGAAAAAAUAUAAAUAUUAGAAAAUGCCAAGCCACACUAAAAAACCCUUGCUGUUUUAGUUAUGAGUGAAUCAAGGUUUACCGUGUAAGAUUUUGACUUAAUGACUACUUUUCCAUUUCUCUGGAGAAGUAAGCUGUUAAGCAACCUGAUAAUGGGAUUGACAAACUUCUUACAAGUUACAUAGAGUAUAACAAAAUUUCCAAAUACUGCUCACAUUUUCAGUCCCUGUAAGAUUGUUUACAUCUAUUCUCCAUGAGGAGCACAUAGUAUAAAUUACAUGUCUCUCCAAUAUUUACAAAACAACCAUAAAAAAGCCCACCAACAGAGCCAGGGUGAUCACUAUCUUUUCUUCAAGCAUGUGUGUUUACUAAUACAAACAGACGGAGAAACUCCUAGAAAGGCGGAGCCUUGUGAACAUGGUCAACUGGACUUCCUGGACACAACCAUCAUCAAGCUAAGAGAAAACGCUGCUGCAAAAUUAGUUUAGCCAAAAUCUGAUGAACAAUGGUUUGAGAAGUCAUAGCUAGACAAUCGGAUGUAUCCUACAAUCAGGACCACAUGCAUCUCCACAGAGGGUGAUAACUAUCUCAUCUCACAACAUCAGGCCCCUUGAUUUUGCAUUAAUGAUCACACCAAUGCAAAAGCCAAUUGCUCAUUGGAAACUCAAUUGGAUCUCACAAGGCCCUCUAAUAGGGAGCCCACCAGGAAAGCAUUAUUCCACUUCUUGUUAAAGGGUUACUAACUCCCAGUCCUCAACACUACAGGAGAGUAUCGCCACAACAAAUGGAACUUCCAUAGGAGUGCACGCAGAUCUGAAGGACCAGAGCCAGUCAGGAAAAUCCUCAUUGUAAUAAGCUUUCCUUCGAAUACCAGACAGUAGUAAUGUACAACUAGAACCCUGUGCAAUAAGUUGAGUUGUGGAGAUCUAUAUUGAACAGAGGAAAUUGAAAAAUCCUACUAUAAUAAAGAUCAAUUAAUAUCCCAGCAACCAGACCAUCGAAAAACCCUCCAAGGAAAAAGAGCACCAUAAAGUCCAGAAGAUGGGAUCACACAAUCAAAUUAGGUAGCUUCUUCAAUCACCUGAUAAAUCAAAAGAGGGCCUGCAUCGCCAUUUGCAGUUCAGAAUGUAUAAAGCAAAGGUUAUGACUAAGCUAAAACUAGUCACCAACAUCUAACUAAACAAAGCCCCUCUAAAAUAACUACCAAUUGAAGUAAAAUGAAGACUACAUAACCUGUUUUAUUCUGAAAAAUGAAGAGAAGGCUACAUAACCUCUUGAGCACCUGUAUUUAUCAACUCAAACAUGACUGAAAAGGGGACUCAAACGAGAAUUUCUCAGAGAGAGAGAGAGAGAGAGAGAGUCAUGUAGGAGGCUACCACACGAUCCAACAAUCCUCACCUGCAUAUGAAGACGUGUCCUUCCAAAUUCUCCAUAUAACAAAAGUCAAGCAAGGAAAAUCAUACCAUCCGUACCCAACAAAACCUGCACAACAGAAACAAGCAAACCCAGUCGAUGCCAAAAGUAAUUCAAUUUAACUCUAGGUCUCAAUGAUAUCAAGCCAUCAUGCUUGUAACAUUAGGGCUGGGAGGUACUAUAAGCCUAGUCUAUGCACUAGGACACCCUCUGUGAUUUUCUUUUCGAUGACUACCGUAUUUUUUGCAAUUUACAUUCAUCAGGCAUAAUGAAAACUAAAUCAAAUGUACACUAUCAUGUGCAUCAUAAAACAAUGAUUAAGUAAAAACUAUGUCCACUUGAAUUGACAUGAAAUUGGUACAUAACNNNNNNNNNNNNNNNNNNNNNNNNNNNNNNNNNNNNNNNNNNNNNNNNNNNNNNNNNNNNNNNNNNNNNNNNNNNNNNNNNNNNNNNNNNNNNNNNNNNNUGGUUGGUAAAUGUGCCUUCAGAUUUCUUAGAUAUUUUGACUGAUAAAUUAGAAGAGACAUUUCCUAUUUAUUUCUUAGAUUAGUUAUAGAUGUUUUUGGUGUAAAUAUCUCUUUUUAUGUUGAUGUUUUCCUCUGUAUAUAUUACUUAGUGUAGUGGAUAGUUGUAUUAUAUGAAAGCAUUAUUAUUCUAUUGGAUGUCAAAUAUUAUUUGCUUUCUGUUAAUUGUUGACUGCUAUGAGUAGUUCAUAGAAGUUUUUUGUAACUUCAUAGAAUUUAUUUUGCAUAAGACAAUUAUAUUAAUGAUAAUUUUAAGUUAAGAUUUUUGGAGGAUGAUUGGAAACAUAGUGACCUUUUGAUUCUGAAACCUUAUCUGAAAUUGUUCAUUGAUAUGAUGGGUCUGUGCAAAGUGGAUGCAUAAAUGAUAGGCAUUAAUUAUUUGUACAUAUAUGUCUGAUGUGUUCAGAUUGAUGGUUUCAGCAACUAAGAACGUAAUUGCUGAUAUGAACGACAACAAUUGUGAAAUAUUGAAUAUGAAGAUUCAAUAUGUGUUGGAAAAGCAAAAAGCACUAGAAGCUCUUGACCAUAUUAUGGAAGAUCUUGAGGAUGUCGUGCGCCACCUUGAGCUAGUAGAGGACCGCCUAACAGCAUUUGAGCCGAAAAUGGACAUUUGCAAUGCUGGUUCUAGCUCAGAAAGGGCUUUGAGCUCUAAGCGCAAGCGUAUUGAUUCGUUCAAUAUGUGGAAAUGCAAAGGAUCAAGUCCUUAUUACAAGAAAUCAAGAGUUAACCAACACAAGAGAGGAAAACGUCAUCAAGUGAAGAAAAUGUCAAUGGUGAGGUGUUACAAUUGUGACAAGAAAUGUCACUAUGCUCGCAACUGUUGUGAGCCGAAAAAGGUAAACAUCUUUUGUACAUUUGAGAACUUUGCUUAUGUGUCAAGUUCUGUAUUAUUGGCUGAAUCCAAUCAUUUGUGGACUGUAGAUUCAGGAGCGACAGACCAUAUAGUGAAGGAUAGAGAAUCCUUCGUGGAAUUCCGACGAUUCCAACUGGAACUAAGUGGAUCUAUGUAGGAAAUCACUCCAGAGCUGAAGUUAGAAGGAUUGGCACAUGCCAAUUGAACAUGCGUGGUGGACGCACCUUGUUCCUACAUGAUAUUCUAUAUGCUCUGGAGAUUCGUCGAAAUUUAGUGUAUGUUUUGGUAUUGGUUAAACUUGGUUUUUAAUAUUAACUUCCAUAAUAGAGGUGUGGAUUUGUAUUUGGAUACAAGCUACUAUGGUUGUGGUUAUUUUCUGGAUGGUUUCAUUGUAUUAGAUAUUGACUAUGUCAAUGCAAAUGUUUGUAUUCCCUUCUCAUUCUCCUACUCAUAUGAUAUGAUGUGGAGUGGGUGGGCAUGCUAGACUUUGUCAUAUUNNNNNNNNNNNNNNNNNNNNNNNNNNNNNNNNNNNNNNNNNNNNNNNNNNNNNNNNNNNNNNNNNNNNNNNNNNNNNNNNNNNNNNNNNNNNNNNNNNNNNNNNNNNNNNNNNNNNNNNNNNNNNNNNNNNNNNNNNNNNNNNNNNNNNNNNNNNNNNNNNNNNNNNNNNNNNNNNNNNNNNNNNNNNNNNNNNNNNNNNNNNNNNNNNNNNNNNNNNNNNNNNNNNNNNNNNNNNNNNNNNNNNNNNNNNNNNNNNNNNNNNNNNNNNNNNNNNNNNNNNNNNNNNNNNNNNNNNNNNNNNNNNNNNNNNNNNNNNNNNNNNNNNNNNNNNNNNNNNNNNNNNNNNNNNNNNNNNNNNNNNNNNNNNNNNNNNNNNNNNNNNNNNNNNNNNNNNNNNNNNNNNNNNNNNNNNNNNNNNNNNNNNNNNNNNNNNNNNNNNNNNNNNNNNNNNNNNNNNNNNNNNNNNNNNNNNNNNNNNNNNNNNNNNNNNNNNNNNNNNNNNNNNNNNNNNNNNNNNNNNNNNNNNNNNNNNNNNNNNNNNNNNNNNNNNNNNNNNNNNNNNNNNNNNNNNNNNNNNNNNNNNNNNNNNNNNNNNNNNNNNNNNNNNNNNNNNNNNNNNNNNNNNNNNNNNNNNNNNNNNNNNNNNNNNNNNNNNNNNNNNNNNNNNNNNNNNNNNNNNNNNNNNNNNNNNNNNNNNNNNNNNNNNNNNNNNNNNNNNNNNNNNNNNNNNNNNNNNNNNNNNNNNNNNNNNNNNNNNNNNNNNNNNNNNNNNNNNNNNNNNNNNNNNNNNNNNNNNNNNNNNNNNNNNNNNNNNNNNNNNNNNNNNNNNNNNNNNNNNNNNNNNNNNNNNNNNNNNNNNNNNNNNNNNNNNNNNNNNNNNNNNNNNNNNNNNNNNNNNNNNNNNNNNNNNNNNNNNNNNNNNNNNNNNNNNNNNNNNNNNNNNNNNNNNNNNNNNNNNNNNNNNNNNNNNNNNNNNNNNNNNNNNNNNNNNNNNNNNNNNNNNNNNNNNNNNNNNNNNNNNNNNNNNNNNNNNNNNNNNNNNNNNNNNNNNNNNNNNNNNNNNNNNNNNNNNNNNNNNNNNNNNNNNNNNNNNNNNNNNNNNNNNNNNNNNNNNNNNNNNNNNNNNNNNNNNNNNNNNNNNNNNNNNNNNNNNNNNNNNNNNNNNNNNNNNNNNNNNNNNNNNNNNNNNNNNNNNNNNNNNNNNNNNNNNNNNNNNNNNNNNNNNNNNNNNNNNNNNNNNNNNNNNNNNNNNNNNNNNNNNNNNNNNNNNNNNNNNNNNNNNNNNNNNNNNNNNNNNNNNNNNNNNNNNNNNNNNNNNNNNNNNNNNNNNNNNNNNNNNNNNNNNNNNNNNNNNNNNNNNNNNNNNNNNNNNNNNNNNNNNNNNNNNNNNNNNNNNNNNNNNNNNNNNNNNNNNNNNNNNNNNNNNNNNNNNNNNNNNNNNNNNNNNNNNNNNNNNNNNNNNNNNNNNNNNNNNNNNNNNNNNNNNNNNNNNNNNNNNNNNNNNNNNNNNNNNNNNNNNNNNNNNNNNNNNNNNNNNNNNNNNNNNNNNNNNNNNNNNNNNNNNNNNNNNNNNNNNNNNNNNNNNNNNNNNNNNNNNNNNNNNNNNNNNNNNNNNNNNNNNNNNNNNNNNNNNNNNNNNNNNNNNNNNNNNNNNNNNNNNNNNNNNNNNNNNNNNNNNNNNNNNNNNNNNNNNNNNNNNNNNNNNNNNNNNNNNNNNNNNNNNNNNNNNNNNNNNNNNNNNNNNNNNNNNNNNNNNNNNNNNNNNNNNNNNNNNNNNNNNNNNNNNNNNNNNNNNNNNNNNNNNNNNNNNNNNNNNNNNNNNNNNNNNNNNNNNNNNNNNNNNNNNNNNNNNNNNNNNNNNNNNNNNNNNNNNNNNNNNNNNNNNNNNNNNNNNNNNNNNNNNNNNNNNNNNNNNNNNNNNNNNNNNNNNNNNNNNNNNNNNNNNNNNNNNNNNNNNNNNNNNNNNNNNNNNNNNNNNNNNNNNNNNNNNNNNNNNNNNNNNNNNNNNNNNNNNNNNNNNNNNNNNNNNNNNNNNNNNNNNNNNNNNNNNNNNNNNNNNNNNNNNNNNNNNNNNNNNNNNNNNNNNNNNNNNNNNNNNNNNNNNNNNNNNNNNNNNNNNNNNNNNNNNNNNNNNNNNNNNNNNNNNNNNNNNNNNNNNNNNNNNNNNNNNNNNNNNNNNNNNNNNNNNNNNNNNNNNNNNNNNNNNNNNNNNNNNNNNNNNNNNNNNNNNNNNNNNNNNNNNNNNNNNNNNNNNNNNNNNNNNNNNNNNNNNNNNNNNNNNNNNNNNNNNNNNNNNNNNNNNNNNNNNNNNNNNNNNNNNNNNNNNNNNNNNNNNNNNNNNNNNNNNNNNNNNNNNNNNNNNNNNNNNNNNNNNNNNNNNNNNNNNNNNNNNNNNNNNNNNNNNNNNNNNNNNNNNNNNNNNNNNNNNNNNNNNNNNNNNNNNNNNNNNNNNNNNNNNNNNNNNNNNNNNNNNNNNNNNNNNNNNNNNNNNNNNNNNNNNNNNNNNNNNNNNNNNNNNNNNNNNNNNNNNNNNNNNNNNNNNNNNNNNNNNNNNNNNNNNNNNNNNNNNNNNNNNNNNNNNNNNNNNNNNNNNNNNNNNNNNNNNNNNNNNNNNNNNNNNNNNNNNNNNNNNNNNNNNNNNNNNNNNNNNNNNNNNNNNNNNNNNNNNNNNNNNNNNNNNNNNNNNNNNNNNNNNNNNNNNNNNNNNNNNNNNNNNNNNNNNNNNNNNNNNNNNNNNNNNNNNNNNNNNNNNNNNNNNNNNNNNNNNNNNNNNNNNNNNNNNNNNNNNNNNNNNNNNNNNNNNNNNNNNNNNNNNNNNNNNNNNNNNNNNNNNNNNNNNNNNNNNNNNNNNNNNNNNNNNNNNNNNNNNNNNNNNNNNNNNNNNNNNNNNNNNNNNNNNNNNNNNNNNNNNNNNNNNNNNNNNNNNNNNNNNNNNNNNNNNNNNNNNNNNNNNNNNNNNNNNNNNNNNNNNNNNNNNNNNNNNNNNNNNNNNNNNNNNNNNNNNNNNNNNNNNNNNNNNNNNNNNNNNNNNNNNNNNNNNNNNNNNNNNNNNNNNNNNNNNNNNNNNNNNNNNNNNNNNNNNNNNNNNNNNNNNNNNNNNNNNNNNNNNNNNNNNNNNNNNNNNNNNNNNNNNNNNNNNNNNNNNNNNNNNNNNNNNNNNNNNNNNNNNNNNNNNNNNNNNNNNNNNNNNNNNNNNNNNNNNNNNNNNNNNNNNNNNNNNNNNNNNNNNNNNNNNNNNNNNNNNNNNNNNNNNNNNNNNNNNNNNNNNNNNNNNNNNNNNNNNNNNNNNNNNNNNNNNNNNNNNNNNNNNNNNNNNNNNNNNNNNNNNNNNNNNNNNNNNNNNNNNNNNNNNNNNNNNNNNNNNNNNNNNNNNNNNNNNNNNNNNNNNNNNNNNNNNNNNNNNNNNNNNNNNNNNNNNNNNNNNNNNNNNNNNNNNNNNNNNNNNNNNNNNNNNNNNNNNNNNNNNNNNNNNNNNNNNNNNNNNNNNNNNNNNNNNNNNNNNNNNNNNNNNNNNNNNNNNNNNNNNNNNNNNNNNNNNNNNNNNNNNNNNNNNNNNNNNNNNNNNNNNNNNNNNNNNNNNNNNNNNNNNNNNNNNNNNNNNNNNNNNNNNNNNNNNNNNNNNNNNNNNNNNNNNNNNNNNNNNNNNNNNNNNNNNNNNNNNNNNNNNNNNNNNNNNNNNNNNNNNNNNNNNNNNNNNNNNNNNNNNNNNNNNNNNNNNNNNNNNNNNNNNNNNNNNNNNNNNNNNNNNNNNNNNNNNNNNNNNNNNNNNNNNNNNNNNNNNNNNNNNNNNNNNNNNNNNNNNNNNNNNNNNNNNNNNNNNNNNNNNNNNNNNNNNNNNNNNNNNNNNNNNNNNNNNNNNNNNNNNNNNNNNNNNNNNNNNNNNNNNNNNNNNNNNNNNNNNNNNNNNNNNNNNNNNNNNNNNNNNNNNNNNNNNNNNNNNNNNNNNNNNNNNNNNNNNNNNNNNNNNNNNNNNNNNNNNNNNNNNNNNNNNNNNNNNNNNNNNNNNNNNNNNNNNNNNNNNNNNNNNNNNNNNNNNNNNNNNNNNNNNNNNNNNNNNNNNNNNNNNNNNNNNNNNNNNNNNNNNNNNNNNNNNNNNNNNNNNNNNNNNNNNNNNNNNNNNNNNNNNNNNNNNNNNNNNNNNNNNNNNNNNNNNNNNNNNNNNNNNNNNNNNNNNNNNNNNNNNNNNNNNNNNNNNNNNNNNNNNNNNNNNNNNNNNNNNNNNNNNNNNNNNNNNNNNNNNNNNNNNNNNNNNNNNNNNNNNNNNNNNNNNNNNNNNNNNNNNNNNNNNNNNNNNNNNNNNNNNNNNNNNNNNNNNNNNNNNNNNNNNNNNNNNNNNNNNNNNNNNNNNNNNNNNNNNNNNNNNNNNNNNNNNNNNNNNNNNNNNNNNNNNNNNNNNNNNNNNNNNNNNNNNNNNNNNNNNNNNNNNNNNNNNNNNNNNGGUACUCUUACUUCUCUCUUCAUGUUUUCCUUUAAUAACGGUGGACAGUCUUUGCUGAAGAAUAUCCCUGAUUUAUUUAAGUUGACAGCUUGUCCUGAAGUAUAACAAUAUUGGUUAAUGACAGAUUUUUUUUCCGACUCUCAUAAUCAAAACAUAUCAAAUUUAUUAGCUCUUGAGAACUGAACUCCACUUCCACCUCCAUUUGCUCAUCCCAUAAUACCGCCAUCCCCCCCCCCCCCCCCCCCNNNNNNNNNNNNNNNNNNNNNNNNNNNNNNNNNNNNNNNNNNNNNNNNNNNNNNNNNNNNNNNNNNNNNNNNNNNNNNNNNNNNNNNNNNNNNNNNNNNNGUUUAGAGUAUAGAGCUAGGAGAAAGAUGAAACAACAAGGUAAAGGGUUCUAAAUAGCAACUUCCAUGACCAAUAAAGUACCGACAGACACUGUUAGAAUCGCUAUCCACGCGACAAAAUAGGAUCAACCGACCUCAACCGAGCGAUCACCAACUCAGUGGGAGGAAAAACUUCUUAUGAUGAAUGAAACGAUCGAUCAAAGUGGGAGCGACGAUCGAUCAAUGCGAGUUAAAAAGAGCUUCUGCAGGCAGAGAGUACCUUCGGGGUCGAUUCGAUCACCGGUCGGCCGCUGCGCCGAGGAACAAUGACCGAGAGCCAGAGCAAGUGAGCGAGGAAGCAGUUGGCGUGCGUUGCAGGGAUGACAAUUUAAAAAACAAAGAGGAGAAAAUGUGUUUGCUCUGCCCAGACGUUACUUGUAUUCGCUCUUCCGGGAUAAGUAUCCGAAUACCUUUCUGCUCUUUAAUAAUUAGUGAAUCCUUUUUUUUUUUUUUUGGUCCCAUAUAAUUGGUGAAUUAGAUUGGAUUAUAUUAGAUUAGGAGAUUUUGUAACAUAGCUCACGCUCUUUACCAAGAAAAAAAUCAUAUGGAUUUUCACUAUUUUCAUAAGAAUAGCUUACACAACCAUUGACAUCAAUAUAUUAGAGAAUUCAGUUGACUAAUCUUAGAAAACGAGAUAAAAUUAAAUGCAAAGAAAUAUGAUGAAGAAGGUGACAGAGUUAAUUUUUAAGUAGGAAAAAAAUGAUGAGUUGAUUUUAUUUUUAAUGAAGAAAUGGGCAGGGAGGGGUGAUCACCGAGCGGCUCCUCUUGUUGAUUGUGAUGUGUAUUAUAUGGGUGUCAUAUUAUGUACGGCGAAGGUAAGGGUAUAUUUUCGAACUUGAACUCGUACUUGAUAUUAACAAACUUUAUUUUGAUUUAUGGUCAUAUUAAUGAAUAUCCUAGGUACUUGUUAAAUAUUUUUAUUAAGGGGAUCUUCGAUCUUCAAAAUGUAAUUGGGUAUAUUACGAUGGCAAUCAACAUAUAGGAAGUCAUGAAUUUUUUUUAUUUUAUUUAGUUGCUUAGUAAGUGUUUUGGAGGCACUUUUAAAGUAAAUCUUUCUUAUAUUGGGUCUUUAUGCUCCUUAAAAAAAUAAAAGACUUCACUACUUCAGCUCAGAGUUAGUAAGUUCUUCGAGAGGAAAAACCUAGUGAAAAUUUCCAAGUAUUAUGCAAAGAAUGCAAUAAACUAGUAAACUUUUCGAUUUGGUAUGAUCAAUUUCUAAAUCUUUUAUGAAAAAAAAAGUUCAACAAAAUCCUCCCAUAGGAAUUUUGCCAUUGUUACUAUAAAAAACCACUUAAGUGCGCGUGCGUCGAAUCAAAAAAGGCAUAACCCGGAAAAAAAAAAUCUGGUACUCUUUCCAAUAAAAAAUAAUUUCAUGAUUCAACUCAACCUAAAUUUAGAGCAUGAUUGCAUUUUUCAUUUAACAUAUUGGACCUGGUAUCUUUUUUCCCCUCUCGUUUUCUGUCUUCGUGUUGUACCAAUUUUGAGUACAAAGAGGAAGGAAGAAGAAAGAAAGGCAGGUGGAUGAGUCACGCAUAGGUCGGUGUGACAAAGGGAAGAUUAGGCUAGACACCACCGGUCGGACCGGUUGGUUUUAGCCUUCUUCUUUUCUUUCUUACUUUUGGUGCGUAUGGACAAAGACGCGUUCUUCGUUUCUUGUUUGACGGGGUGCAAGUCUCUUCUUCCAAGCCAAACCACCAAAAAAAUAAAAAAUAAAAUAAAAUAAAAAUAAAGAAAUAGUUGCAAGAUCACGCUUGACUACAGUCCGUUCACAUUAUUGUAAGGACUUCCUGUGCAAUUUUCCUAUUUUGCUUUCAUCUUGACUCAAAGUUGACUGUCGGCCUCUCAUUUGCAUCUUCUUUCCUCCUCUCUUCCUCUCUUCCAUUUCUCAAUCAUCUCUUUGCUUAGAGUUUCACUGCAGGCCAUGGUUUCAUUCUGUGGUCUCCCUUCUUUCUUCCUUUCGUUUUCCUUCGUUUUGCUAUCGCCAUUCUCAAACUUCAUUGGCGCUCAAGAUCAAGAUUAUGAUUAUCCAAUUGCCACGCUUUCAAAACGGUGGACAAAUAACACAACAGCUAGGGACUUCCCCCGACAUAGAGAUGGAUCGAUCGUGCAGGCAAUUCUUCUCCGAGCCAAAGAAGCUAAUAGCCCUGCCUUUGCCUGCGGCUUCUACUGUAAUGGUAACUGCAACUCUUACCUCUUUGCCAUUUUCAUCGUCCAAGUUGAUGAUAGUAUCGGCUCAAUUGCUUUGGCUAGUCCACAAGUAGUGUGGUCUGCCAACCGAAACAAUCCUGUAAAAAUCGGCGCCUCAUUGGACCUCACGUCUGAAGGCAACUUGGUGUUGAAAGAUGUUGAUGGUACGAUUGCUUGGUCCACAAACACUUCCGGAAAGUCCGUUGUAGGCUUGAACUUGACAUAUUUGGGGAACCUCGUGUUGUUUAAUGACAAUGAAAUUGUUUGGCAGUCCUUUGAUCACCCAACCGACUCACUUGUCCUAGGACAAAAGUUGAGGGCUGGACAAAGAUUAAUGCCGAGUGUUUCCGAGACAAAUUGGACCAUUGAUAGUAUGAUUACGCUUUUUGUGAAUGGUGAUGGUUUAUUUGCUCAAGUGGAGACUAAUCCUCCUCAGAUUUAUUUCAAAUUAAGUGGUCAAAAUUUGAAUGCAAGUAUCGAGUUUCCAUAUGUUGAAUUGGUAAACGGAAGCUUGUCUUGGUUCUCAAAUUCUACCUUGAAUAUGAGCUUGAUUUCAGUCCCUCAAACAUCUUCUGCACAAUUCAUAAAGCUGGGCUCGGAUGGGCAUUUGAAAAUGUAUGAUAGGUUUUAUGGGCUUGAAAAAGAACUUUUCGAAGCAGUUCUUAAAGACUGACUAUCCGACAGCGUGUGGCCAAUAUGGAAUUUGCUCCAAUGGUCAAUGUAGUUGUCCAACUUUGAGUGGGCAGACGAUCUAUUUCCGGCAAGUAGAUGAUCAGCAGCCUCAUCUUGGGUGUUCCGAAAAUGUUCCAUUGUCUUGUGGGGCUUCACAUCAACAAAUUCUUCUGGAGCUCGAAAAUAUCACGUCUCUUAGUUUCACUCCAGAUCUCACGCACAAAGAUGCUUCAAGUUGUAAAGAGGCCUGUGCAAAGAAUUGUUCAUGCAAAGCAGCUAUAUUCCAGUAUGAAAGGAAUCACACUAAUGGCAGUUGUUACUAACUCAGUCUUUUCACUUGCAAAUGUUGCCGAGUAUGGUUAUAUAAGUUAUACUACUUUCCUUAACGUACAAAUUUGCCUAAUGAAGCUCUUAUACUCCGAUUGACAAUCGUAUGAGUAGCCAUCUCCCUACAAUACUUGGGUCCAGCCUCGGAGCUCUCUGUCGUGAUGAUUUUCAUCGUAGCCAUAGUUUUAUUUAUUCAAAAGAGAGAUGACAAUCAAACAGAGGAAGAUUACCUUGAUCAAGCACCUGGAAUGCUCAAUAGAUUUGCGUACGGCAAUCUAAAAACCAUCACAAAUGAAUUCAGUAAAAAGCUUGGCGAAGGUGGUUUUGGUUCUGUUUUCGAAGGCACUCUAAGCGACGGCACAAAAGUUGCAGUAAAACGCCUUGAUGGUUUUGGGCAAGUUAAGAAAUCCUUUCUAGUUGAAGUAGAGACAAUCGGCAGCAUCCAUCAUGUAAACUUGGUAAGACUCGUGGGAUUUUGCACUGAGAAAUCUCAAAGGUUCCUUAUCUAUGAAUACAUGUCAAAUGGGUCACUAGAUAGAUGGAUCUUUCACAAAUCCAGUGAAUGUAUUCUCGACUGGCAACAAAGGAAGAAUAUCAUUCUCGAUAUAGCAAAAGGCCUUAAUUAUCUUCAUGAAGAGUGCAGACAGAAGAAGCAGGCUAUUAAGUAACCUGGUAAUGGAAUUGACAAACUUACAUAGAGAAUAACGAAAUUUCCAAAUACCGCACACAUUUUCAUUCCCUGUAAGAUUGGUACAUCUAUUCUCCGUGAGAAGCACAUAGUAUUAACUACGUGUCUCUCCAAUAUUGACAAAACAACCAUCAAAAAGCCCACCAGCAGAGUCAGGGUGGUCACUAUCUUUUCUGCAAGCGUGUGUUCACUAAUACAAAGAGACAGAGAAACUCCUAGAAAGGGGGAGCCUUGUGAACAUGGUCAACUGGACUUCCUUUAUACAACCAUCGUCAAGCUAAUAGAAAACGCCCCUGCAAGAUUAGUUUAAGUCAAAAUCUGAUGAACCGUUAGACCCAAUGUUCUGAGAAGUCCUAGCUAAACAAUAGGAUAUAUCCUACAAUCAAGACCAUAUGCAUCUCCUUAGAGGGCGAUAAGUAUCUCAUCUCACAACGUCAGGCCCCUUGAUUUUGAAUUAAUGAUCAAACUGAUGCAAAAGCCAAUUGCUCAUUGGAAACUCAAUUGGAUCUCACGAGGCCCUCUAACAGGGAGCAUGCCGGGAAAGCAUUAUUCCACUUCUUGUUAAAGGAUUACUAACUCCCAGUCCUCAACACUACAGGAGAGUGUCGCCACAAUAAGUGGAACUUCCAUAGGAGUGCACACAGAUCUGAAGGACCAGGGCUAGUCAGCAAAAUCCUCAUUGUCAUUGUCAUAGGCUUUCCUUUGAAUAGCAGACAGUAGUAAUGUACAACUAGAACCCUGUGGAGAAGUUAAGUGGAGUUGUGGAGAUCUAUAUUGAUCAAAGGAAAUCGGAAAGUCCUACUACAAUAAAGAUCAAUUGAUAUCCCAAGAACCAGACCAGUGAAAAACACUCCAAGGAAGCAGGGCACCAUAAAGUCCAGAAGAUGGGAUCACACAAUCAAAUUAGGUAGCUUCUCCAAUCACCUGAUAAAUCAAAAAAGGGCCUGCAUCGCCAUUGGCAGUUCAGAAUGUAUAUAGCAAAGGCCAUGACUAAGCUAAAACUAGUCAUCAACAUCUAACUAAACAAAGCGCCUCUAAAAUAAUUACCAAGAAAGCUACAUAACCUGUUUUAUUCUGAAAAAUGAAGAGAAGGCUACGUAACCUCUUGAGCACCUGUAUUUAUCAACUCAAACAUGACUGAAAAGGGGNNNNNNNNNNNNNNNNNNNNNNNNNNNNNNNNNNNNNNNNNNNNNNNNNNNNNNNNNNNNNNNNNNNNNNNNNNNNNNNNNNNNNNNNNNNNNNNNNNNNUGUCUAUUCCAUAUACUCCUCAACAAAAUGGUGUUGUGGAAAGAAAAAACAGAACCCCACUGGAAAUGGUUAGGUCCAUGAUGGCGCAUACUAACUUACCUAUCACUUUUUGGAGUGAUGCGUUAUUAACAGCUGCCUAUAUACUUAACCGGGUGCCUUCCAAAUCAGUUACUUCCACUCCAUAUGAGUUAUGGAUAGGUAGAAAACCGGACUUAAGUUUUCUUAAGCCAUGGGGUUGUGCUGCCUAUACUCAUGAGUCCUCUCACAAAUUUGGGAAAUUGGGUCCCAAAAGAAAUAAGAGUAUUUUCAUAAGAUACUCCGAAUACUCGAAAGGGUAUGUGUUCAUAGGUGAGUAGAAAAGUGGGAGUAUAACUUAAUUUGAAUCACGAGAUGUCACAUUCUUAGAGAAUGAAUUUUUUAAGAAGGGCGAAAUAGGGGAAGAUUACUCCUUAUUUGUAAUCUUGGAUCAAGAUAAUGAUAUUAGUGGAGUUCGUCCAAGUGGGAGUAAUAUGAGAAGUGAUGAAUUGAAUUCAACUCAUUCUCAAUUGCAACCACAUGAUGAGACGACGUCAUCAUUAUCUAAUCCUAGUGGGAGCAUAAUGGGAAAUGAUGUGCUAAGUGUACAAUCUCCCAUACGGCGAACAAGUCGCCAAAGUAUUCCCCGUCGACGUUUUGACAUUGAAGGUGAAACUUUUAUGAUUGCUCUGUAAGAUGAGGAUGAGCCAAGAAAUAUUAAUGAGGCUCUAAAUUGCCCUAGUAAGGAAAAAUGGAUUCAUGCAAUGGAAGAGGAAAUUGAGUCAAUGAAGUCAAACCAUGUUUGGGAACUGGUUGAUCUUCCAAAAGGACACAAAGCUAUUGGGAACAAAUGGGUUCUCAAAAUAAAGUGAAAAGCUGAUGGCUCGAUAGAAAGGCAUAAGGCUCGCAUUGUGGCGAAGGGGUAUAAUCAACAGGAAGGAAUUGAUUAUGAAAAAAUAUUUUCUCCUGUAGUGAGAUUUACCUCGAUUCGCAUUAUUUUGGCAAUAGUGGCUAGUAUAGAUCUUGAGUUACAUCAAAUGGAUUUAAAGACUGCUUUCCUCAAUGGAGAAUUAGAGGAAUAAAUAUAUAUGGAACAACCUGCUGGUUUCAUUAUAGAAGGCCAAGAAGGAAAGGUAUGUCGACUUUUGAGAUCGAUAUACGGCCUUAAGCAGUCAUCGAGACAAUGGUAUAUAAGUUUUCAUAAUGCCAUAAUGGCAUAUGAUUUUACAAUGAUAGAUGAGGAUCAUUGUGUAUAUAUCAAAAGAUCCAGAGAUCAAUUUGUGAUUAUAUCAUUAUAUAUUGAUGAUAUACUAAUUGCUGGAAGUAAUAUGAAGUUUGUUAAUACUAUCAAGAGUUGGUUGUCUUCCAACUUUGAGAUGAAGGAUAUGGGUGAGGCUGCAUACAUUCUUGGAGUUAAAAUUUCAAGAGAUCGUUCGAAGAGAUCGUUAUCUUUUUUCGCAAGAAACAUAUAUAAAUAAGGUUCUUGAACGAUUUCGUAUGCAAGAUUGUAAACCCAUAGGCACUCCUAUUGCAAAAGGUGAAGGAUUGAGCCAUAGACUGUAUCCAAGGACUCCACAAGAGAAGGAACAAAUGAAACAUGUUCCUUAUGCUAGUGCUGUUGGAAAGCUUGAUGUACGCUAUGAUGUGUACAAGACCUGACAUAUGUUUUGCAAUUGGAAUGGUGAGAAAAUACCAAUCCAAUCCAGGUCAAGCACAUUGGAAAGCCGUUAAGAGAAUACUAAGGUAUCUAAAGGGAAUUGCUGAUUAUACGCUGAGUUAUUAAGGAAAUGAUCUGCGACUCUAAGGCUAUUCUGAUGCUGAUUGGGGAGGAGAUUUAGAUGAAAGAAAAUCUACCUCUGGGUUUGUUUUCUUACCGAAUAAUGGUGCCAUAUGUUGGAGCAAUAAGAAAUAAACUUGUAUAGCCUUGUCCACGAUGGAAGUUGAGUUCGUGGCAUUAUCAGCAGCAGUAUAAGAAGGUGUUUGGCUUAAGAGAUUUUUGGAUCAUUUAGGUGUUAUUGGAAGUGUUGUAGAUUCAUUGUUGGUUAACUGUGAUAGCCAAGCAGCAAAAGCGUACACCAAAGAUCCAAAAUAUCAUGGCAAGACCAAACAUAUAGAUACCAAGUAUAAUCUUGUCAAAGAUAUGAUUGCACGAAAAGAUGUGAACUUAUAGUACAUAUUAUGCAUAGAAUGGUAACAGAUCCUAUGACAAAGCCAAUACCUAGAGAUGUUUUUUGUGGCCAUAUGAAAUCUCUAGGAUUGCGUAGAGGCUGAUGUACUGAAUAUUGUAAUUUCCCUAAGUGUUCACAUUUGAUGAAUUUGUGUUUUUCAUCAUUAAUGCCUAUGAAUCUUUAUUUGAUCUUUAUGCAUCUUAAUGCUCAGUGCAUUAUUUUAAGUUGAGAAAGUAUGUCGGACAUAUAUAAGAUUAGCCCACUCACACAGGUAAUCGCCUCUAUUUACUGUGUGAUAAAUAGAGAUGUGACUAUUUUUAAGCUUAUUAUCUAGGUGAUAAUCGAGAGCUCAAGCUUAAAAUACAUAAGUCGCCUUAACUGAGUGUUAAGAUGAGGACAUAAUACUUAUUAUGUCCGAAAGUAAAAUAACCCACAUAUUUUACUUUAUCUGUCUAUGAUGCCAGAUGUGAGUUCUGAUGAAUUUUGUGAAUGAGUAGAUACGUGAACUCAAGUUAGACAUUGGGUAUGUCUGAACUAUCAUCUAUACGGUAUUGAAGGUGUAAACAUACCCUCCAUGGGAAAGGAGUUAAUACCGUAAUACGUAUUUCAUACUACGUAUGCAUGAGACGACCAAUAAGAGUAGCAAAAGUUUGAUCUCAACUUUUAUGCCGUGUGAGACUCUCGAGGAAAGGAGUUCCUCAAUAUUUUAGUGCCCUCAUGACUCUACUUAUUCUCAAGAUUUCUAUUUAGUGUUUGCUAUCUUAGAAUGUUGCCAAUGGUUAUGAGUUGAUUCGAUCUAAUGGGACAUUUCUAGAAUAGCAAGCUAAACUGAAAUUUGAGAGUUUGAAGGAAGAGGAGAUCGAAUUUGGAGAUCACAUGUAAUUUUUAUUCACUGGUUAACCAAUUAUGACUGUUCUUUGGGAUAAUCAUAAUUGUGAAUACAAUAUAUAUAUAUAUAUAUAUAUAUAUAUAUAUAUAUCAUUGUUUAAAAGAGAUCAAGAGAGAUAUAAAUGUGAUCGAUCGAUCUAGGGAACUGCAUACUAAAUCUACUCAGGAUGUGAUGCCCAUUAUGAGCUGCUAUAUAUUCCUAACAGAUGUAUGGCAACGAGCUCUCAAAGUAUGAUGGUCGCACGGAUUAUUCACCUGUAUGAAUGUUGAAGAGAGGUAAAGAGAAUCCUGUUCGGCCCACCAUGUGCGAGUGGGAGAUGAUGGUUUUAUUAAUAUUGUGAUGGGCCUAAGUUGGCCCGUCCGCCCAUGUUGGGCCUAAAAGCCUAGCCCACAAAAUUAGGGCCCAUGAAUGGAGGGAUACGUUGAAGAGUUGUAACUUUUGGGAGGACGUCUUUUGCUGAAGGGACAUGUCUUUUGGAGAAGACGUAUUUAAGGGGAGAAAAGAAAAAAAGAAAAGGCACCUUUUGGACGUACGCGCACUUUUUCUUUUCCCCUCUCCCAAAAACCAACGUAAGUUUUCUCCCCUUUUGAACCAACAGUAGGCUCCUUGGUAGACCGGGAUCAGAUUCUUCCUUGAUCUUCAGCAUUGGUAUUUAAUCUGUGGCUAACAAGGUACGCUCGAUUCCGUGGUGUGCUUUAGGAUCGGUGAUACAUGUUCUUUCUGGGCUCGUCUUCCGCAUUCGUUUUAAGGGUUCGAUUUAGUGUCGAAUCCGAUUUUUUUGGAAUCCGACAAUCCCAACGAUAUUUUCCCCAACCUAAUUUUGUGUCAUAAAAGACCACAAAUGUUACUCCUAAUCCAAUCUACCUUCUAUAAAAUGUGUAGAUUUUUCACGCCGAAUCUAUCAUUCUCCAUGUCAAGUCUAUCUUGCAGUUAUCUAUUGUUGUGUUGACAUGCAUGCAUUUUAACAUAAUAUUAAACUUAAUACUGAUUGAUGGUAGAUUUGCGUCAGAGAUACCAAUUUGGUAUAUUUUGUGACACGAAAAAUAAAUUUAGGGUAAAUGUGUCAUGGAGUGCUAGUUUAGGAUUUUUAUGAGACAAAAGCCAAUUUGGGAUAAAGGUGUCAUGAGAGUAGAAUUUGGGAUAUUUAAUAGUAUUAGCACUAGUUAUGUUUAGAGACAGUUCCUUAAGGAAGAACUUGAUCUAAUAUAUUUAAAUAAAUAGGGAAGUCAUCGGGGUGAAGCUUCAUAGGAAGAAAAUUUCUUUCUUGGAUUUGGGUCCACCGAUUUGAGUUCAACAAUUUCUCUAGACGACCAUCUUCCAUCAUUUUGAGGUGAUGGUGCAUUGCAUGCUUCAAGACAAUUCCCUGCUUCGAAUGAGUUUAGAUUUAGGAUUGUAGGCAUUAGAGUGACUAAAUAUAACUUUGAAAGGAUAAACGUAAAUGAAAAAACAAGCCCUGGGAGCAAAAGAUAUUUUCGCUGUACAUAACAAUACAUGAAAUCCUCAAUCUUGGAACCUUAUGACUCAAUUCCAAGGCCAGAGUUUCUAGUUCUAGCAAGUAAUGUCACAAACCGUUGAGAAUUGAACCAUGAUUUUUAACAUGAACAAAUAACAGCAUAAGCACAAAAACAAGGAGACAUUGCGAAACCACUAGUGAAGAUUGCCACUGUAGCUAAAGAAAAUAAGCAAAAUUUGCAAUUACUAACACAAAUUUCUACAAAAAAAAAAAAAGAAGAAAAAAAAUCAUGCUCAACAUGAAUAGAAAAAUAUUGGAAAGAGAGGUGAGACCGAGGGCGGGUGUGAGAAAAUGCCACAUGAGGAAGAGAGCUUGAGGGUGGUAGGCAUGAUGGAACACGGUGUGAGGAAGAGAGCUCGAGGGCAGUGAGCAUGAGGGAAUGUGGCUUGAGACAUGGAAGAGGGAGAGUCGUGAGGCAUGAGAGAGGAGAGUGAAGAAAGAGAAGCGUUUGUAGGGUUUUUGCUCCAUAAAAAGGCAAAAAUGGAAUUACGUCUAAUAAAUGAUGGUGAGAUGGGAAGUUAAGAUAUUUUCAUUAAACCAACAAAGUAGAGUUUUGAAAAAGCUAAUUCUUAAGAAACCUCCAAUUUUUCAGUCUCUUAAAGGCAUUUGCAUAUGCUCAAAGGACUUUAGAGCCCUAAAGUCCAUUCUAAAUAUUGAACCAAACAGAGAAACUUGGGCUUAGGCUUUGCAUUGAAAAGCUCCAAGCCUUGAUGAUGAGACUUUGGGGCUGGAUUGAGCCUGGAUUCAGAAGAGCCGGAUUCGUGCAAGUUCAUCACAUCAAAAACCCUAAAGAAAUCCAGAUCCUGCAUGAAAGCUACAGGCCCAGACAAAAAGUUUUUGUAUUUGGUCCAAACCCGCUUGAUAGCAAAAGAUUUGUCCAAACCCGAUCAAAUAAUGAGUCGUCGAUUAGCAUCGGUCAUGGUGAAUCACUUCCACUUGUUCUGGUUUUAGGUCAGUCAUCGGCAAUCUUCUCUGUUUUCGACUUUAUUUGUUGCCCUGGCAAAAGGUGAUGGAAUUUUUUACCAGUGCCGUGCACGUGGGAUUGAGUGAAAAUGCGACCUCAUUUGCUGCGUCUUCCUCAAGACCGUAAUGGAACUUUUGACCAGUGCCGUGCACGUUGGAUUGAGUGAAAAUGCCCGACUUCAUUUGCUGCGUCUUCCUCGGGGACACGGAGGGCGGUCCACUUUCUCCCCAUCGGGGAAGCACUGGGACCACCUUUAUUCCUUUUUAAUUCUUUAAUCCGGGCUCUGUCAAAAGAGGGAAAAAAAUUCCAUUUUACCUCUGCUUUCUGUCUCACUCUCGGUCUCUCUCUCCCCGAGAGUGAUCGAUUCGAUCCAAUCUAGUUCCAUUUAGGAAUUAGGAAUCGAAUUGGAAGGAUUGAUUCCUAAUUUUUAGGAUAAAAAAUUAGACCGGACCGAUUUAGGAUCGAGAACUGGACCGGACCAACCGGUCUAGUCCGAUCUGGUCCCAUGAAACGAAUUACUUAGUAAGAAAAUUUAAAAAUUAAGAAAAAUACAAGAAUUUUUACUAUUUUUAAGUUUUAUUGCUAUUUUAAGAAAUUAAAAAAUCAAUUUAAAAAAAAAUGGAUUGACCGGUCCGGUCCGGUCCAUUCCGGUUCCACCCCAAAAUUAGGAACCCCAACAAUUACCGGAACUAGGAAUUGGACCAAUCCCUCUGGGAACCAGACCACACUGGCCAGUCUAGUCUGAUUCAAGCGAUUCUCGGUUUGGGCAGUCCGAUAUGCUAACCCCUAAUCUUAUCUUGUCUCCAUGACCAAAUGAAUCACGAUAACUUUACAUCAUUGAUCUCCACUUCACGUGCAAUGAGAGCCGUGUUCGGCCUGGAGCAACGAUCGUGAAGUCGGAAGUACCCACCCGCAUCGAUGUUGGAGCAGCUCUGUGACAGUGGUGCCGGUGAGCAAAACGGUAUUAGGGCGCUAAGCUUAGAGUGGAAAGUGGGUCUAGGGUUUCCUGGUGAUUGAGCAUAGCAAAGUGUUAGAAGCAUUUUGGAGAAGAAAGUCACAGUUUGAUUAAACAAAAAAAAGUCACGUGGUCGUUUCUUGUGAGAUGGAAUGUGGUACCGUUUUUAUUGAGAAAAAAUAGGGUGUUAAGAUUGGAUUAAUUUAGGAGAUUAUGUAACAUAGCUCACUGUCUUUAUUGAGAAAAAAAAAUUGUACGGAUUUUCGUUAUUUUCAUGAGAAUAGCUUACACAACCAUCGCCAAAUAAUAAUUGGCGUUAAUAUAUUAGAGAAUUCAAUUAAUCAAUCUUUAAAAAAGCAAUAAAAUUAAAUGCUAAGUAACACGAUGAAGAAAGUAACAAAGUUAAUCUUUUAGCAGAAAAAAAUGAUGAGCUGAUUUAUACUUUUUCUAAUAAAACAAUAGGCAGGGAGAGAAGAUCGCUGGGUGGCUCCUCCACCGAUUGUAAUGUGUAUUGUAUGGGUGCCAUAUUCAUGAAUGGCGUAGGCGAGGACACAUAUUUGAACGUUAACUUGUAUUUGAUAUAAGCAAACUUUAUUUCAAUUUAUGGCCAAUUUAAUGAAUAUCUAGGACACCUGUUAAAUAUUUUUAUUAAAGGGAUUUUGACCUUCAAUGUGUAAUAGGAUAUAUUACGAUGACAAUCAACAUAUUAGGAGUUGCAAUAUUUUCUUAUUUAGUUGCUUAAUGAGUGUUUUCGAGAGACCUUUUAAAUAAAUAUUUUUUAUCUUGGAUCUUUAUACUUUUUUAAUACACUUCAAUGCUUCGGCUUGGAUUAAUAAGUUCUUUCAAAGGGAAAGCCUAGUGGAUUUUUCCAAGUAUUAUGCAAAGAAUGCAAUCAAGUAUUAUGCAAAGAAUGCAAUCGACUAAUAAACUUUCGGUUGGUAAGAUCAAUUUCUAAAUCUUGUAUAAAGAGAAAAGUUUAACAAAAUCCUUCCACCAGAAAUUUGCCAUUGUUUCUGUAAAAAACUGUUUGAGUGAGCGUACGUUGAUUCAAAUAAGGUACAACUGAAAAAAAAUCUCUGAUACUCUUUCCAAUUAAAAAAAUUUCAAGAUUCAACUAAUCCUCGAUUUUGAGCAGGAUUUACAUGGCACUGUUUAGAAUCAAUAAUCCAUUACCCUGCCUUCCACUCAGACAGAGCCAGAGAGAGAGAGAGAGAGAGAGAGAGAGAGAGAGAGAGAGAGAGAGAGAGAGAGAGAGAGAUUUUGUCUAGCCAGACAGUGACUAUGGAAGCAUUUGGGUUCAUUGCAGAGAUGAUAAUUACAAAAACAAGAGGUGAGAAUUUGUUUGCUCUGCCCUGAUAUUAUUGUAUUCGCUCUUCCGGGGUACGUGUCCAAAUACCUUUCAGCUCUUUAAUAAUUAGUGAAUCUUUUUUUUUUUGGUCGAAUAUAAUUGGUGAAUUAGGUUAGAUUAGAUUAAAUUAGGAGAUUAUGUAACAUAGCUCACGAUAUAGAAAAAAUAGUAUGGACUUUUACUAUUUUUGUAAGAAUAGCUUACAUAACCAUUGACAAAAUAAUAAUUGGCAUUAAUACAUUAGAAAAUUCGGUUAACCAAUCUUAGAAAACAUGAUAAAAUUAAAUGCAAAGAAACACGAUGGAGAAAGUAACCAAGUUAAUUUCUAAGUAGAAAAAAAAAUGACGAGGUUGAUUUUAUUUUUAAUAAAGAAAUGGACGGGGAGGGGUGAUCACCAGGUGCCUCUUCUGUUGAUUGUAAUGUGUAUUGUGUGUCAUAUUCAUGUAUGGCGAAGGUAAUGGUCUAUUUUGAAACUUGAACUAGUAUUUGAUAUCAACAAAUUUUAUUUUGAUUUAUAGUCAUUUUAAUGAAUAUCUUGAGUACUUGUUAAAUAUUUUUAUUAAGAGAAUCUUCGAUCUUCGAUGUGUCAUCGAGUAUAUUAUGAUGACAAUGAAUGUAUUGGGAGUCACAAUUUUUUUUAUUUAAGUACUUAAUAAGUGUUUUUGAGGUACUUUCUAAGUAAAUCUUUUUUUAAGUCAAGUCCUUAUGCUCUUUAAAAAAAAAAAUAUUCUAAAUCUUUUACUAAACCAGCGAAAGGUAUUUUUUUCGGAGUACAAGAGGAAAGAAGAAGAAAGAUAGGCGGAUGCGUCACGCAUAUGUAGGUGCGGCAAAGGGAAGAUUAGGAUAAACACCUCUGGUCGGACCGCUUGCUUUUGGCCUUUCUUCUUUUAUUUCUUACUCUUUUUUUUUUUUUUUGGCAUUUGGGCAAAGACGCGUACUUCGUUUCUUGUUUGACGGGUUGCAAGUCUCUUCUUCCAACCCAAACCACAAAAAAGAAACAAUUAAAAAAUUAAAGGAAGAUUGCAAGUCUCUUCUUGAUGCUCGACAUGCGAAUCACGCUGGAAUGCAUUCCACUCACUUUAUUGAAAGGACUUCCUGUGCAAUUUUCCUGUUUCGCUUUCAUCUUGACUCAAAGUCGUCAGUCUAUUAUUUGCAUCUUCUUUCCUCCUCUCUUCCAUUUCUCAAGCAUCUCUCUGCUCAGAGUUUCACUGCAGGCCAUGGUUUUACUCUGCAGCAGUCUCCCCUCUUUCUUCCUUUCCUUUUCCUUCGUUUUGCUAUUGCCAUUCUCAAACUUCAUUGCUCAAGCUCGAGAUUAUGAUCAUCCAACCGCCAUGCUUUCAACACGGUGGACGAAUAACGCAACAGCUAAUCACUCCACCCAAUAUAGUGCUGGAUCAGUUGUGCAGAAAAUUCUAUUCCGACGCGCAGGAGUUACUGCCUACUACUCCUGCGGCUUCUAUUGCAAAGGUAAGUGCACCUCUUACCUCUUUGCUGUUCUAAUCAUCAAACCUGACUAUAGGGUGGACGGAAGUCCACGAGUAGUGUGGUCUGCCAAUCGAAACAAUCCCAUAAAGAUUGGCGCAACAUUGGAGCUCACGCCUGAAGGCGAUUUGGUGUUGAAAGAUGCUGAUGGUACGGUUGCUUGGUCCACAAACACUUCUGCAAAGUCCGUUGUAGGCCUGAACUUGACAGAUUUGGGGAACCUCGUAUUGUUUGAUAAGGACAAUGCGACAGUUUGGCAGUCCUUUGAUCACCCAACCGACUCACUUGUCCUCGGACAAAAGUUGAGGCAUGGGCAAAGAUUGACGCAGAGUAUUUCCGAGACAAGCAGAGUAUUUCCGAGACAAAUUGGACCGUUGACGAUAUGAUUACGUUUUCCGUGAAUGACGAUGGUUUAUCUGCUCAAGUGGAGACUAAUCCUCCUCAAAUCUAUUUCAACUACAAACUUGACACUGGGGAUACAAGUAUCAAGAUUUCAUAUGUUGAGUUUGUAAAUGGAAGCUUGUCUUGGUUCUCAAAUUCUACCUCGAAUGGGAGCUUUUCUCUUUCAAUCCCUUCAGCAUCUUCAACACAACACAUGACGCUAGGCUCAGAUGGGCAUUUGAAAGUGUAUGAGCCUGGGGGGGUAGAAGUGGCCGAUCUUUUCAAAUGGUAUGUCGAUGACUGUGCCUAUCCGACGGUGUGUGGGCACUAUGGAAUUUGUUCCAAUGGGCAAUGAACUUUGCCAUAACUUAUGUUGCAAUUAAGUUUUAUUGCUUAUGUAGAAACUAAUCGUACUCAAGUCUGUUGUGUCUUAAGUCAUUCGUGUAAAAUGCUGCCAAAAGACUUGCUGCUAAAAGACUAGUCAGCUACUUGUAAUGUCUUUUGGCAGCUUUACCAUUUCAUGGUUCCAAAUCUAAUUUGCUUUUUGGUUUCAACACCUAAUAUCUUUCAGAUUCAAUGACUUUACCUCCGUGUCUUCCUCAUUUCAAAAUUAAUGAUCUAUUUUUUAGUCCAUUCUACAAGCAGUACAAUUAAAACCGAUAAAGAUAACAGGAGAAUUCAAUCAUUGAUAAGUUCGAAUUUUUCCUUGUGACUCCUAAUACAUCCUAGGUUAAUAAUCUUAACUACCAGCUUUUUAAGGAUCUAUGGAGAUCGUUUCGAGGCAUAUGAUUGCCAAAAAUAAAGAGCUGACAUGUUUGGGCAUUCAAGAUUCGACUUUUCAAUCUUUAAAAAACGCUGAUCAUUUGCAAUAACCUCGGCAUUUCCAGUCUUUAAUCAUCAUGAUCCAAGCGUGCUGAUCCAUCAAAUUUAUCCAGGUAUAAGAAGCUGGUCCGGGUCUUAUUUGGUCCCGAAACUGCUCGCACAAUUAACCAAAGUUCAAAGCGAUCUGACAUGGCCCGCUGCCAUGCCGUGGCACCUCUUGAUUCUCUUGAUUCGAUCUGAUAGCGGCAGGUCAACAAACCAGAGCCCACGUGGAGCUCACCCAUUGGCCUGAGCUAUGUGUAACCUCUCGCAAAGUCCUCCCUCUUCCUUGCACAAACUCACUAGCGACGGAAAUAUUUCUUCUUCUUCUUCUUCUUCUUCCAAUUCCUCUGCAUUUGCGCCCUUCGCCUUCUCCUCUUCUUGAAGUCUCCGAAUCAGAGUAGCCAUAGUAAGCCAUCACAAAUCGCACAGAGAAACGAUAAUCAGUACAUAACAUCCCCAAAAAGUAUAAGACAAGACAAUAAAACUGAUGUGAUUAUAAAAAUAAAAACUGUACGCAAGCAGAAAGAAGGCUGAGAGGAAGAAAGAAGACGACAUAUGGCCUAUGACUUCCCGAGACAUCUCAAGCAUAACAUAAGACCGUUUGCAAUGCAUAAGCAUCAGAAAUACAGCAUAUUAAAUAUCAAUAGCCAGUGGUCCAUUUCUUUCUUUACAGUAGCCCAAACUGGAUCCAGCUUAUAAAAGAGGAGUUUACUCUUGUUGCACAGUGUCAGCUUGCCAUGCAAAAAAGCAGAAGUGUAAAGAGACACAGCAGCAUUCUUUUCUUCGCUUGUUUCCCCCUAAAAGAUGUCAAGGUAGUCUCCAUAUGGCUAUGAAGCUCAAAGUAAGAGACAAUUACAAAAUGCUGUAACAUUUUCUUCCUGAUAGUUUAUGCAACAGAUAUUGGACAAAUGGAGAGCUAGAAGUGCAUACAGCCACACACAGAGGGCUCAUUAAUUCAUUAACAUUAAGGAACAGAAUAUCAAGACAGAAAAAAUAUAAAUAUUACAAAAUGCCAAGCCACACUAAAAAACCCUUGCUGUUUUAGUUAUGAGUGAAUCAAGGUUUACCGUGUAAGAUUUCGACUUAAUGACUAUUUUUCCAUUUCUCUGGAGAAGUAAGCUGUUAAGCAACCUGAUAAUGGAAUUGACAAACUUCUUACAAGUUACAUAGAGUAUAACAAAAUUUCCAAAUACUGCUCACAUUUUCAGUCCCUGUAAGAUUGUUACAUCUAUUCUCCAUGAGGAGCACAUAGUAUAAAGUACAUGUCUCUCCAAUAUUUACAAAAUAACCAUCAAAAAGCCCACCAACAGAGCCAGGGUGAUCACUAUCUUUUCUUCAAGCAUGUGUGUUUACUAAUACAAACAGACGGAGAAAUUCCUAGAAAGGCAGAGCCUUGUGAACAAGGUCAACUGGACUUCCUGGAUACAACCAUCAUCAAGCUAAGAGAAAACGCUGCUGUAAAAUUAGUUUAGCCAAAAUCUGAUGAACAAUGGUUUGAGAAGUCAUAGCUAGACAAUCGGAUGUAUCCUACAAUCACGACCACAUGCAUCUCCACAGAGGGUGAUAACUAUCUCAUCUCACAACAUCAGGCCCCUUGAUUUUGAAUUAAUGAUCACACCAAUGCAAAAGCAAUUGCUCAUUGGAAACUCAAUUGGAUCUCACAAGGCCCUCUAAUAGGGAGCCCACCAGGAAAGCAUUAUUCCACUUCUUGUUAAAGGGUUACUAACUCCCAGUCCUCAACACUACAGGAGAGUAUCGCCACAAUAAAUGGAACUUCCAUAGGAGUGCACGCAGAUCUGAAGGACCAGAGCUAGUCAGGAAAAUCCUCAUUGUAAUAAGCUUUCCUUCGAAUACCAGACAGUAGUAAUGUACAACUAGAACCCUGUGGAAUAAGUUGAGUUGUGGAGAUCUAUAUUGAUCAGAGGAAAUUGAAAAGUCCUACUAUAUUAAAGAUCAAUUAAUAUCCCAGCAACCAGACCAUCGAAAAACCAUCCAAGGAAGCAGAGCACCAUAAAGUCCAGAAAAUGGGAUCACACAAUCAAAUUAGGUAGCUUCUUCAAUCACCUGAUAAAUCAAAAGAGGGCCUGCAUCGCCAUUUGCAGUUCAGAAUGUACAAAGCAAAGGCUAUGACUAAGCUAAAACUAGUCAUCAACAUCUAACUAAACAAAGCCCCUCUAAAAUAACUACCGAUUGAAGUAAAAUGAAGACUGCAUAACCUGUUUUAUUCUGAAAAAUGAAGAGAAGGCUACAUAACCUCUUGAGCACCUGUAUUUAUCAACUCAAACAUGACUGGAAAGGGGACUCAAACGAGAAUUUCUCAGAGAGAGAGAGAGAGUCAUGUAGGUGGGUACCACACGAUCCAACAAUCCUCACCUGCAUAUGAAGACGUGUCCUUCCAAAUUUUCCAUAUAACAAAAGUCAAGCAAGGAAAAUCAUACCAUCCGUACCCAACAAAACCCGCACAACAGAAACAGGCAAACCCAGUCGAUGCCAAAGAUAAUUCAAUUUAACUCUAGGUCUCAAUGAUAUCAAGCCAUCAUACUUGCAACAUUAGGGCUGGGAGAUACUAUAAGCCUAGUCCACGCACCAUGACAUCCUCUGUGAUUUUCUUUUCAAUGACUUCAGUAUUUUUUGCAAUUUACAUUCAUCAGGCAUAAUGAAAAACUAAAUCAAAUGUACACUAUUAUGUGCAUCAUCAAACAAUGAUUAAGUAAAAACUAUGUCCACUUGAAUUGACAUGAAACUGGUACAUAACCACGAAACCAUAAGCGCUGGGCAGGUACUUAUAUUUGUUGGCCUAUGUGAAGAUGUUAAUAUACUCUCAAGCCAAAGAGAAGGGCUUUCUAUUUGAGUAUCUAAUUGGAAAAAAAUGUCCUUAUUAGACAAAUAAACCAGCAGAUGUUCAGAAAAAAAGCACAAGUGGGCAUUCUUUGUGUGCAAUAGGUGCUGCUAAUUUUAAGGCCUCUUGGAGCCUGAGCAACUGGCUUUCUAUGUGAGUAAUUGAUUGAUCAUCGUCGCCACUGAUUUUGCAUAGAGACACCAGAAAGAAAUGUUAGACGAAGAAAAAUAGAAUGAAUACUACCGGUUGUCUUAAUCAACGCAUUUUCAUUUGUGCCAUCAAUCUUCAGUUUAAACAUUCCACGACAUCUGAAAUGAUCAUCACGUAAAGUAAUCCUAUUGUAAUGUUAAACCCUCCCCACAUAGAAACCUUCCCAGUAUCGAUGAUCCACCACCCUGACUUCAUCUCAAAGACAGAGCCAGAGAGAGAGAGAGAGCAAGGAUCUUGUAACUGAUGGUGUAACUUUUUAAGUAUUCAUAACAGCAAAGCUGUAGCAUAUAGCCUAAAAGAGAAGACCGACAAUCUUAAAGGUGAUGAUCGAUAGGAGCGAGUUAGAAAGAGCUUCU